rnacentral:lncRNA from 1 species
UAUAUAUAUAUAUAUAGUCGAUAUAUAUAAAUAUUUUUUGAAAUAAACAACUGCUUUACAUUGUUUUAUAUGAAAACCAAUCUCUUAGCCUUAUCUACUUUCCUGCCAUUUUAAUUUAUCUUACCAACUGUUGAAGCAAAUAAUUAACCAGCAGAUAAAGGGGAGGUUCGUCGUGGUUCCCCUACAACUGUGGAACGACCUUUUCAAAUUCAGUGUGCAUAUAUAACUUCUAUUUCUUUUCUGCUCAUUUUCAAGCAAUUCACGCAUAUGGUGUUACGGUAAUUAAACGCAACGUACGUGCAAAGAGCAAUGAUCUAUCAUGUAGUUUUGAGUGGAAUGUACGUUGUAGAACUUUUUAAAUUUCAAACAGGACAUUAAAUCUAACAUCUAAAUUAUAUAACCACUAGCUAGUUGUCUUUUUUUUUUUUUUUUUUUUUUUUUCUGGAGAAAACGGUAGCACGCUACCUGCUUCAUUCAACGAAUAGGUAGUUGUCAUUAUAUAAUUUCUUACAAUGUCUAGAACCACUUUUGGGUGAUUUCUUGAAAACUUUUAUCAACUGUACGAUAACUUAAUUUGAAAAUAAAACUGCUGAGCAGAAGAAAGAAUCAUUACAAGUAUAUAGGUUAUGUGUCACAGUGGUGACAAAGAGAGGUUCAUUAGGAGAGGCUCCAUUGAGUUGCACCUGUCCCUGGCCAAGCUUAACUAGACGCAUUAAACUUAUGAGCUCGCUUUUGGCCCAAACCUAACCUACCAGACUAUAUUUCCUUGCUUAACGUACAAUAAUAUCAUUACUACUUGUGAGUCUCUUAUAGCAUGUAAACUCUCUUUGUCGUUUCAACAGUUAAAGCAAUGCAAGCAAAUGAAUUACUUAAAAACGAGAAGGGCGUUUCAAAGCUCACAACAACAUUAAUGUAAUAAUGGGUCCUCCUCGGCACGUAUACAAGCAUUCUUUGUCUCUUUAGCUCAUUAUCACGAAAUUUGUCGGGGGUUUCUGAGCAUGUCUGUUACAACUCACUGCUGCAAUGUCACUGCAAUGCAUGCCAAGCGUGCAGAGGGAUUUCUCUUUUGAAUUAAGUGCAUCCACUCAAAGCACCUCUCUCUCUCUCACGCGCGCGCGCGCGCACAUGCACAUACAUGUUGCCUCACGACUGUUGCUGAGUUCAUCUUUCUUAUGAAUGAAACAGUUAGCUUGUUAUUCCUUUUUACAAAGAAAGAAUAUAUAUCUCACUCAUCCCCUUUAAGGACUUCAUCUAAGUUCCCGCUCACCUCUCUCUCUCACUCUCUCUCUCUUGCUCGCUCUUGCUCUCUUACUCGCUUACUCACAAAAAUCUAUCUAAAUAUUUUGAGUUACUAAAUGUUACAUCUUUCCUGUAGUGGAAAAUACUUGCUUUAAGUGGAAAGGGAAAAUGGAUUAUAGGGCAACAAGUGGAAACUUCAAAAUCUUAGCGAACAGAUUAAUUUGGCCUGUUAGAUUUGCUCGUUGCUUGAUCGAUAACGACAAGCUUCUAAUAAACGAAGUUAACGACUAACACGUUCAAUAAGGUUCUUAUAUGUGAAUAUUUAGAAGUCUGUAAAACAAUUUUUUUAGUUUCAUUUUUUUUUUUUUUGGGUGCAGUUUUGUCAUUAAAGAAUAGCACACAAAUAUAUAUGUAUAUACAUGCAUGCAUGUUGCAACUAUAAGUUUCUAAUGUGAUGUGAAUUUAGAAUGCACGAACCAGCUAAUCCAUGUAGCUUCUCAAGUUAAAGAAAUAAAAACUUUCUGUGUAUUCCUCCUCUUGCAUUAGUAUUAGACUGUUGACUAUAAAUAGAACACCAAAUUAUUGAUAGUUUAAAUAGAACCAUUUGCAUUAAAAGUUGAAACAGACACACACAUGAACACAUAAACAUUAAUCCUAAAACUACUUGCAUCUAAUUUUACGGCACAUUAGGUGACUCCAAAAUAAACACUAAGUCCAUAUGUAGAACAUCUUAAAACUAAGACACAAACAUUAAACAACGCAAAAACAUAUUGAAAAAUGGAACCAUUGACUCAAUUAUCAUAGUUCGCGACCUGGUGCCUGAUUGAAUAUGAAUGAAUUCACACCAAAGCCGAACUCACCAUUGUUUCAUUUAUUAUUAUGAAGCCUAGAUGCAUAUUUUAUGCCUUUUUCUUGGGUGAUUGAGUCUCACGCUCGGAUUCUUCAUCAUUUUCCUUUGCAAGGUCACCCUGAUUAUUCAUAGGUUCCUUCCCCUUGGAGGCUUGACUGCUGUUAACAUCCCCUCCAGUAGUGUUCUUGGCCACCUUUGAAGCAUCGAAGUUCUUUGAAGGAUUGAUCACAACACCUUUCCCUCUCUCGUAACUGAAAAAAGGGAAAUGUAGAGUGGCUCUGGGCUUCUUGAACAGUGUUUGCGGCACUACAUUGGGCACCUUCCUAGUCUUGCUGUGGGAGCUCAUAUGCCCUCCGUAAGCUUGCGCAGUAGGGAAAUGGACUCGGCACGUGCGACAAGUGAAGGCGGCAUUGUUCUCCUGCGAUCCCGGAACAGGAUAUGAGAGAGGCUGGUUCAUAGUUGUGUGGACAAUAAUGCUGCUGCUUGUAGAGUUGAGAAGAUUUGUAGAAUCCGGGAAGGGAAAAGAGUUGAAGCUGUUGUAGUAUUGAUUGUUCGAGGGCCAGGUCAUAUUCGUACCGCUACUAAGUUGGUUCCUGAGUUGCGGAUUGGUAGUUGCUUCCCCUAAAAGAUGAGUCAUGCUUUGGUUUGUAUGAACUGUCGGCAGAGGGAGACUCGAAACGGGGAAGAGAGGGGAGAUUGGCGCAAAAGAAGGAUUGGUGGAGUUCAACGGAGGGCUAUACAUUGAUUCAACUAGCUCAAGUUCGGCUUGACGAACAGCCCUUUCAUCUCCUUCAAGCAAGGACAUGAAAGAGUAAUUAGGGUUUCGGGUAUUGGGUACCAAAUCAUGAGUGGAGGGAUAAACUGGUUGCUGGUAGUUCCCCAUGAGGGAUUGCAUGUAAGUGUUGCCGAUCGUCGACAGAGGAAGAGGAGGAGGAGGAGGAGGAGGAAGCGAAAGGAGAGGUGGUGGUAGGGGAAGGCAUUCGGGAAAGGCGCGUAACGUCGAAUUUUGCAUAUUACUGGUAGGCAUUAUCACUUCAUGAAGAGGAGUGAGAAGUGAUUCUGAAGAGUAGUUCGAAUCCGUGCCUUCAUUUGGAGGAAGGUUUGGAUCCAUGGCGGCAACGGCGGUAAUAGUGGUAAGGGGAAGAGGAGGGCGGAGAAGAGGAGAGCUUACAUAUAAUGCUAAGAGAAAUGCUAAAGAGGGGGAACAAUGUGUGACGCAAGGUUGGUGAGGAGAUAGCGGGGGGGGGGGGGGGGGGAUAUAAGGGUGUAUUCUCUGACACAAAGGGGUGUAGGGAUAUCCAGGUGGUGUAAAACAAAGGCAACCAUUGUAAGUUGACAUGCAUUUCUUGCAGGGGUGUGUUUGAAUUAGGCAACUUUGUUUAGAACCCGAGAUUUCUAUUUUGGGGCUCCUACGCAGGAAUUUUAUCUAAAGUUACAUGAGAAAAGUAGUUUUUUUUUUACUUCUUUAUGUGUUGUUCUCUUUUGAUAUUUUCAUGGCAUAAAAAGGAAAUGUAAGUGGAGAAAAAGAUAUAUAUAUUUGUACAUCAAGUAUAGGCUCAGUAUGUUGUACGUUUAAGUAUUAGCUUAUAAGAGACCAUUGAAAUUUCAAAAUUGGCUAACUAAAAUGCAUUUACUUCAAUUUCUUCCUCAAGCCAAAAGGCACUUUUUUAUUCUUCAAAUCUUUUAUUCAACAUGAAAUUAUUUUUUUUUGGAAUAUUUGCAUGUAAAUCUAUCAUAGAUUUUCUCACUAUCUCACUGAAUUUCUGAUUUUUUUUUUUUUUCUGUUGUGUCUCCAAAGUGGUACCAUAUCUUCUUAUGGUAUGCAUUAACUACAAAUUGGAUUAAGAUAAAAAGAUCGAAAAAUGAGUUAGGCAUCAUGAGCAAUUGAGAAGGGCCAUUUGCGGACCCCACUCUCUUGUUUGCAUUAUAUAUAUACACUAUAUUCUCUAUCUCUGGAAAAAAUACGAAUGUUUUAAAUAUAGUCUUAUAUUUCUUUAAUUAUCAUUAAAAGAUACGCUUUCCUAGUAAGCGUUUGGCAACGUCUUUUCUAAAGCAGAAGAACAUCUCCUUUAAUUUACAAACACCUUUUUCAUGGUAUGUCAAAUAUAGACAACACAAGCCACGUCCUCUCAUACACCUCACAACAACCACCAAGCAAGUAUCACUUUACUGAACUAUUUUCAAAUUUGAAUUGAAGAUGAACAAAUGACAGGUGUGUCUCAGUUCAUGCAAGUAUAUACAUAAGUACUUGCCUGUCUUAUAUGAAAAGUUAUUUCCUCCCUAACGUCACCCAUUGCAUUAAUAUUGCAUUAAUUUGCAUAUAUAUGGGGUUAACACUUGAUUUUGAGAUAUCUCUUGGAAUGGAACUGAGGAGUGUUUUUUUUACUUUUUCAUAAAAAAAAAGAUAAGCAUUUUGUUGAAAUUAAUGAAAAUAAUUUUCUACACCAAUAUACAAAACUCUUACCAUAAUUUGUGAACAUAUUUUCACAGUUAAAGUUGAAUAAUUUUCUUAUCGAGAACUUAAAAGUUGAUUACUAUACACUUAUCCCUACACAAAUUAAGCGGAGAAAAAUGAAAAAUAAAGAAGCCAUAAAGUAUUACUGUUUUCGGCAUUCAUGGCCAAUAAUCAAUUGCAAAUUUAUUUAAUUUCUAAGGCAAAAUUUGUGCAUCGCAUGGUUUUAUAAAUAUCCGUUCUAAUAAUCUCACGUCGGGAGAUGGUGGAAAGUAUUACAAGUGUAUUAGGAUGUCCACAUAUACUAGUAUUAGUCACUUACUUUUAUGUUUAUAUAUAUCCUAAUUAAAUCUAUCCUAUUUUUACACAGUUACUAGUCCAUUAACUGUCAAUGAACAAAAGGUAUUAUGCUAAAACUCGGAAUGACUGUUAUAGCCCUUUUCUUUUAUUUUCCUACACAAACAAUUAACCAUUCAAUGUUAGCAGAUAUCUUAACAAUAAUAAAAUCUUGAUGUGGUCACUUAAGUCGAAUUUUAAGUAGAGUUAACCAAGCUAUAACCUCAGUCAAAAAAUAUAUAUAUAGUGCAACAUAUGAGCAAUAUAUACACAAACAACCAUUCAAUAUUAGUAGAUAUCUUAACAAUAAUAAAAUCUUGAUGUGGCCACUUAAGUCGAUUUUUAAGUUAGAGUUAACCAAGCUGCAACCUCAGUCAAAAAAUAUAAAUAUAGUGCGACAUAUGAGCAAUAUAUAAAACCUAGUGCGAACGUAUACAUUUGGGCGCAAAGCUUUCUUUAUUCAGGUGUAUGACUGAGUUCAAAAUUCCAACUCUCUCCAUGGAGAUUGUUAAAUACGUCCUAGACGUACUCAAUAGUCAAAAAUCCUCAAUCUUUCAUUAAGGAUCAUUCCAUUAAUUACCUCUACUAUCUUGUACAAAAUAUAGAUUCGGUCUAGAAAAGCUAGCUUUUUUGAUGAAUAGGAGAUCAGUAUAUAAGGAAGAGCCUCUCGAAUAUGUAUUUUUGGAAUGUUUAACUUGAGAAUAUGGUUCGUCCAUUUUUCAAACGACUGAGAAUUGGUGAGGGGCGAUCCGACAACCGAGAUGUGCAUUUGUACACUUGAGCAUGUGCCUACCUGUUGUUGCCCCCUCGCAAGCGAAUAGAGAAUUGUUAAUUAGUUACCAUCAAUAUCUCAUUGAGCAAUGAUCAACGCUGUUGGCCGCCAACGACCUUCGUUGUUAAAAAAGAUUCCAGUAACUUACUGCCAUGCCAACACAAUGCAAUAGAAGACACGCUGGCCGGCCUGCCAUUUUGCUUUUCUUACUUCCUAGUUGAAAUAUAUUAGUUAACCUUUCUACCAAUGUUAAGUAGGGAUUUAUCCAAAAUUCUUGUACGUAGAUUGACUUAUUGUCGUUUUCGAGAGUGUAAUUCCUUGUAGAUCGACUUAAUGUCGUUUUCGACAGUGUAAUCACUACUACAAAAUCAUCAUUUAGCGUCAUUUACUCUGCAGCAUUUAUCUAAAUGAUGCUAAUUAAUAUAUUUAACGGCAUUACUUGAUAAUUGCCGCUAAAUUUAAUAGUUUAACAGCAUUUUACUAUUAAUGCUGCAAAAUAACAUAAAUUAGCAGCAUAAAUUAGUAAAUGCCGCUAAUGUUGCCGGCAUUUUCUAAAAAAUGAUGCUAAAUGCAAUAAAAUAGCAGCAUUUAUUGCUAAAUGCCGUCAUUAAACAAUAUAUAAUUAUUAAUAUAUCUCAUUUUCUACUUAACUUUAAAAUUUUUAAAUUAAAGUUUGAAAAUUUAGAAUUUGAAUUUUAAAAAUGUGAAACUUAUAAUUUAAAAACUUAGAACUUAUAAUCUAAAAUUUUAGAUUUUAAAUUNCGAAAUUCUGUGGCUUAUCAUAGACUGAAGGUUCAUUAAUUAUGCUUUUAUAAUCAACACCACAUAACUGUUAUAAUGAUCUUUUGAUUAAGUUUCAAGAAUAUACCUAAUUCAUUUUCCUAAUGAAUGAAGCAGGUAGCUUGCAACCUAUUUCUCAAAAAAAAAAAAAAAAGUUUCGAGAAUAUAAAUCUCAACAUAGACAUAUUUGCACCAAUACAUCUAAAAAUUCAAAUUCUUGUCUAUAGUUUUAAAAACAACUCGUAUCCGUAUAUAUCCCACUCAACUUUCCCCUCCUGUUAUAUAUGCUACAGAAAUAGUAAAAACUUGUGAAAUGCCCAUAACCCCUAUUCGAUGCCUUUAAAUAUUGGCAGGUACACUUAGAAGCAUGCCAUUUCUAUUCAUUCGCACCAUUGCUCUUGAAUAAAGUGGACGACUAUGCAACCGGUGAUCAUGAUCGUAGCCCGAGUCUUUUAGUUUGAGGAACCAUAGUUUAAUUUAGACUUUCCAAUAAUAUAUGCUCAACAUUGUGGAUUGUCAAUUAGGAUCCCCAAUAAUUAAAAAGAAAUUGCAGGUAUGAACACCCUCCUACUACUUAUGCAAGUGCAUGCGCAUGCAUAUUGUAUCUCAAAAGAAACAACUGAACAACAUCGAAAACAUUCACUACUACAUAAGAAAAGGAUAAAAAAUUGAUAUAUUAUGAAAGAUAGAGAUGCCACCACUACCCUAAUUAAGUUCAAUUAUCUCAAACAGGUUGAGAAAGACCAAAGCAUAAGACGCUUCACUUGCUAAUAUGACUAAGAAACCAAACUCGAUCACUAGGACAUCUGCAACUAAAAAGAUAAAGGACAUGACACCAAUUACAAAUGUAGGCUCAAGUCUAACCCUUUUGCUUUGGCUUCUUCCUCCUCGCCAGCUCCAAUAUUUGUCUCCGCCAUUGUCGGACCACCAAUAACAUUAGGCAGAAGAAGGUUAGCCUCUUUGUAGCCUCCACUGUGCUCUGUAACUAGCGGGUGCCGCAUACUUUCUCCGUCAGGAUAUGACUUCAUUAGCGGCGCAAAACCCUUCAGUAUUUCACAACUCUUAUCACUUUUGUCGAUGGCUUUGAAGUUCCCAGUUGUAGACCCUGAGCUAAUAGCGAGAGGUGCAUUUCUAGUGAUCCCCCUACGUUCAUAAAGGAUAUCCUCAAUACGUCUUUUUCCCUUACGGUCGACAUGGACAUCAGGUAGGGUUAUGUAGUUCCCUGUUCUAAGGUCUGAGUCAAUAACAAGAGGUGCAUUUUGAGUUAUAACCUUAGGUUCAUAAGGGGUACUCUCAGCAGCUCUUUCUACCUCACGAUCAUGGCCGUCGAGUAAGGUCGGAGGAUGUAUAACACUAUUAUGGAUAGUAGGAACCAGCCUGGGUGAAGGAAAAAACAUGCUCUCAGUAAAGUUACUAGGAUUAGGGUUUGGAGGUGCAGGAAUGUUAUUAACCGCUGCGGCCUGGGCCGGCCUGGCGAUCGCAGAUCGGAUGAUGGAGCGAAUGCUCGGGCGGUAACUAUAUCUCGGGGACGAUCGUAUCUGCUGCAGUAACCCGCGUGCAACACCGCGACGAUAGCCCUGUGGUGGCUUGUAAAUGCAAGUUGAUGUGAAAGGAGUGAGAUCGACAGUCGGAGGGUCCAACAUAGCCAUGUCAGGCUGCCGUUGUGCAUUAGCCGACCCUUGAUCGGCCGUCGUAUUUUCAGACCUCCUGCUCAUAGUGUGGGCAUUAUGGUGGCCGGCAAAAGCAUACCGGUUGCCAAAAGUUUGGCUACAAUACCAGCAAACGCUGGGGGGUUCAUUAUACUCAUGUAGUGCACCGAAUGCGGAUACGGAUGGCCUCGCAGCCGAGGAGCUUGAGACCGAUGAUUGAGGGGAGGGAGGAGGGCCCUCCAUAGAGGAGAAGAGGUGGGGUGAAGAAGAGAAUUGAGAUAUAAGUGCUGAGAGGAGACUUGGUGUGAGAAGGAUGGUGUCUAGGGUACCUGCAGCGGAGUUUUUAUAGGAGAUGGGGAGUGAGGUUUUAGCUAGUACUGUUGCUGGAGAUUCCCAAGUAGGAACUAUCCUUUUUUUUUCUUUUUUUUUUUUUGAGGGAUAGGUAGCAUGCUACUCCCCUCGUUUAUUUUAUUUAGAAAUAAAUUUAGCUGAAAAUAUGAAUCAAUUAGGAUUCAAACUUGGGUCUCGGAUACCAACCACCGAGCCCUUUGCCACUUGUUUUAGGGACAGUCUAUCAAAAAUAAGUUUGGAACAACCAAAGCAUCAAUUUUGAGUAAACUAUUUUCUUUUUUAUAAGCAUACUAGAUAUAUAAUUUUUAAGUAAAUUUACUGAUUUACAAACCAUGCUAUAAAUUAGUGAAGUGAUAUAAACAACAUUAAUUACCUAGAGGAAAUUAACAUUUCUCUUUAUUCUUUUUUUUAAUUAAGAGAGAUCAGAAGGAUAACAUAUUAUUCGUUUUAUUUUUUUUAAAAAAAAUAAAAUUUAAUUGAAAAUAUGAAGCAAUUAGACUUCGAAUUUAGGACCUCGAAUAUCGAUCAUCAUGCACUUUGCCAUUUUUCUUAUUUUGAUAGAUGAUUUUUUUGAUUUUAUUUUAUUUUUAUAUGUUGAAAGGUCUUCCUACGAAUAUAUGAGUUAAUAAAAAAUUACCAUAUUAUGUAUGUUAAUAUAUCAAUAACAAGUAAGAGGAGUAUUUUGAAUGGCCUAGGGCAAAACGCAGGUAAAAAAAAAAAAAAAAAAAAAAAAAAAGGGNACAUCAGUUUUAAUUAAAGUAAUGAAACGUAAAACGUUCGACCUGCAGCCAGGAGGGGUUGUUGGGAUGGGAAACGUGUGCUAAGCGAGGAAUUCUACACUGUCACACUUGCACCACGUCAUCAAUAACAAGCCAAUCACAUUCCUUCUUUUCAAACAAAAGUACAAUAAAAAUACUUUUUUACAAUCAUGAUAGGACAUAUAUUCUUAAAAGGAUUAAUUUGAUUGGUUUGUUACGCCACGUCACUAAUAUACCCGUUGCAUUCUAGAAUUUUUCGUGCUAAGCCGUUAAGCAGCCAAUGGCGUCGAGCCUUUCUAGUCUUCAGAGAGUCAAACACGGGUGCUCCUGCACCAGAAAUUAAAGGGCUGCUACGUACGCGUUUCAUGUGUGGUACUACUUGUUCUGGUGCGUAUGCGUAUAUACAACCAAAUGAAAAAGCUGGUACUGCCACAUGCAACUGAAGAGUACUGGGUAAGAGAUAAAAAACACUACCACAAAAUAUGUAUUAGACACUGCUUUUUUUUUUAUAAUAUUUUAUUUUAUUUUUUAAUAUUUGAUACGUGUCGAUACCAUAAUUAAGCGUUAUAAAUAAACAUAUUUUUAUCAAAUACUGAUAAAAAUUUUUCAACGCUAUAUUAAAAUAUCGAUAUAUUUAUUCCGAUAUAUUUACUUUCGCAAACAUCGAGAUUAUUCUUACUGACGUUUUAAUUAAAGCGUCACUAGUUAUUAUUUAAAAUACUUUUAAGUGUAAGAUUACUUAAAUUUAUGCUUGUUUUGUUGUCUAUUAGUACUCUGGCCAAAGUGGACGGGCCCAUUUGGGUAUGUGCAUUGUGUGAGGUGCCCAUUAAUUUCUGUAUAUAACUUAACUCUGUAAUCUCAUGUACGCGCAUUGAAUAAGAAGAUUCACUGAGAGAGAUUUCUCUCAUUUAUAACUUGUUACACAAAUUAUAUUGAUCAACGUUUUUAUUUCUUUCAAAGGUAACGAACUAGGCCUGAUAGGCCAUACUUCUCUUUACUGCUUUUCAUGUUCGCCGUUAAAAUAUAACUUGCGUGUUUUAUCUUUAAACAAGCUACCGCCAACCCCAUCACCACCAUCACCCGAAAAAAGAAAUUAAAUAAAAAAUAAUAACGAAUCCGUCUAGGAUCUUGAUAGAUCAUCCUGCUGCUGUUUUAGGAAGUACAAUAAACUGACAUUGUUUUCUACUCAUAAGUAUGAGAAGCUGCGUGAAAUUUUGUCCUUACCGCGAUCAUCAUCUCUAUGAUUUGUUAAACUACGGUGCAAUGUUCUAAUAAGUAUAUAAUAAUUUGAUGGACUUCAUAUGCGCAUGACUCUUAAAAUUUGGAGAAAUUUUGUAGGUACCUGGCCUAUAAAUUUGGCAAUAUCAUGACUACCGCGUUGUAAUUACACCACCAUGAGACAGUACAAAUUUCUCCAACAUAAAAAUGAAGCCCUAGGCCGCAAGGAAUCAUCCUUGCAUGGAGACCUCCAGUGAAGGAAAAAUUAUGUAAUGCAUUGGUUAUAUUAAUGACGUAACAUCCCCAAUCAUUCAAAUGGAUCUUUCUAAAUUAAUCCGUCGUAUUUUUGUUAUAUUUUUUUUUAACAAAAAAAAAUAUAUAAUUAACUUGUUAUUGCUAAUAUGAUACAAAUAUGACACAGUAAACUUUUUCCUCGUGGAACCCACUGUCAUCCAAAUUCAACUCAUUAAUGCUUUUUAAAAGCUAAGGGUAUGUUUGGCCUGACUUUGUUAGAGCUUGACGAGAGGUGAGGCUCUAUGCUGUAGGCUCCAUGUUAGUUGUCAUCAACCUCUUAGGUGUGCAUGCAACAAUAUUGCAUGGCUUUACAAAGGUUCUAAAUAAGAUUUAGAAUAGGAAAAAAAAAAAAAUACAAGAUUCUUAGCUCUUCCAAAACCUAUUAUUGAGUAGAGAGCUUCAUAGCACAAUAAAGUUCACAAUAACAUGCUUCUAUCUAGGCAAAACAAACACGAGAAAUGCAACUUUGACAACACUAUGAAAGGAAAUAAUAGCCUGCAUUACACAACACUCUUUUAAGUUUUAUGUUUGAGCGGGAUUCCACAGGAGGUGCCUUAUGCAAGCAGCUUGGUAUGAGCUGAACCAGCUAAAGGUGCAAAUUCAAGUCCAAGCUAGGAGGAGUAGCUGAAGAAGCCAUCGGAUGAGAACCCAGAGCGUCCAGAAGGUUCAGAGUAACUCCAUCACCAUCGUUUCGUCCAAGCAGAGGCGGCAGGUCUGAUCCAGCAGCAAUCGAUACACAUUGAAGAGGCAACAAGUCCUUAACUGUAGCACCCAGCAUAUAACUUUGCACAGGGUUCGCGAUAGCAGCAUUUCCUGCAGUUGUUAAACUUACAACACCACGGUUCAGACAACUCAAGGGAAGGGGUAAAUUAACACCAGGGUGAAACUCCCCAGCCAUCUCUUCCUCAUGGCGUGGACCAUUGAAAGGAAAAGUAGGCGAUGAGUUGCCUGCAAGACCUGAACGAAGUUGGUGAUGUGGCCUCUCAUAUACAAUGCCCUUUCCUUUUGUAUCCAUUGUUAAGUUAACCCUAGGUGCAAAAUGACUUGGCGACAUAGGGUUAUUGGGGUUAUGUGAUGGUUGUGCCAAAGUAGGUCUCUCGAUCAGGCUAGGAUGGGAUUCGAGGUGAUUCUGGCAAUAUGGUUGUGGAGUUGGUGUCGGUGUUUCGGUCAAGUUAGGAGGGGAAUGCACAUCUUGGGGCAGAUUAAAGUGGCUAUUGUGACUUCGAUCAUAUGGCGUCUGGGCUGCUAUAGCCCCUUGCAUCAAGCUUGGCAGGGCUUGCAUAUCUUGUGUUGGAGCAAAGUUGCCGGUGCUUCCUAAAAGGCGGCUACGGUGAAACUGAAGUUGCGCUAACAUUGCCCUAUGUACCCAAUUGGACUGGGCAUUAACAGGUGAGGCUUGACGGCGUGCAUGCGGUGCAGAAGAACUCCUCUCUAGGCGGUGAGCAUUCUGGUGGCCGCCUAAGGCACGGCCGUUGCGGAAUGUUUGACCGCAAGUGGUGCACAAAUAAGGAUGGGUGGUCACCCUAUCAGCCCUGGUCUGAGACACUCUCCUACCAGUCCUCCUACGCCUUAUCAUAGAGGCCAUGGAGCCAGCGGACGGAGGGGAGGAUGGGCGAGGAGGCCUCGAGGAAGAUGGGCCUUUCAUCUUUUCAAGGGCAAGGACGACAAGCAAGAUUGUUUGAUAUCAAAGAUUAUGUUGUCAGGGAAUUUGGUGGUAGGAAAGGGGUACUUAUAGGAGGUUGGAUAGUCGAAAAAGUUGUCUUAUUGGGAGUUAGUAAAUCUUCAGGAGGAAUCCACAAAAAUUUGCUAUUAUCCCUACUGCAUCAGUGGAGGAAGGAAAAUAUUUUUGAUUGGCGGAGAGACUACUAAGCUUUUCCUAGUAAAGAUUCAUUUGUUUUGUCUCUCUCUCUCUCUCUCCCGCUAUAUAUAUAUAAACGAAUACUCUACAAUCUCAGCAUAUUAAUUGCAAGAAUCCACAGCAAAAAUCUAGUCAUUCAUGACUUGCUUUUCUUACCUGCUCUUCUAUUUUCCUUCUUGUAAAAUGAGAAAUAGAUAUUUCAUGCAAUUAGGUGGUUAAGAUCAUUGCAUUACAAAAAAAAUAAAUAGUUUGCACGAUGAGAUCAUCAAUUUACAGAAUUAACAGUAGGAGAUAGAAAGUCAUUAAACGUGAUUUGCUUUCCCUUACCAGACUUUUCAUGUGUAUUUUCCUCGUCGGAAAAAAAACUAUGCAGCCAUUUUACAAACAGAGUCAAAUAAUUAAUUGCUUCAAAUUUAUGUUCACAUUUUUUUUACUCGAAAGUGGAUAAAUAUGUUUUUGGUAGGGAGAACUGCACAAACUCAAAAUUUAUGGCAGUUUCACUGCAAACUGUAGCUAGAGAUUCACAACAUAAAAAAUCUUAAUUGUGAGUUAAUACUUACCUUACGAAGUUUUGCUGGUAUCCAGAAUGUGCCAUAUGAUAUUCACCCACAGCUGAAGUUGUUUAUAUGCCGAUGCUUAAUAGUCGUUGCAGCUACCUGCGUUCAGUAUGUAAACUGUUUGGAAGUAAAAGGGCAAGUGUUAUGAAUGUAAUGUUCAAUAACUAGAGUGAAUUUUUCAAACUAUGACAAACAAAUAUAGUUCUACAAUGCAGCGCCAAAAUUUAUUAAGUGUAUCCAUCCUAUUCUUAAAACCUCCUGAACUCGGAAAAAAUUAAAAACAGGAAAUACACUCAAAAGAACGACACUGCAGAAAACGACAAGUUCAAUUUAGGAAUCAUAUCUUUCUGCCAGAAGAAGCAAGGAAUGCAGGUUCUGCAUCCAAGAUUGGCAUUUGAUCAUGAGGGUCUUAUGGAGAAAGCAAUGACAUAUGUAGGACGCGCUUUACAUGGAAGUUGCAACUUGCAACCAUCUGGCAUGUCUAUCAAAGUGUCUAACCAUGAAUUUACAGUAUUUGUGUCCUCUUUGUCGUACUGUAGUACUUUAUAACACCAGGAGUUAAGCGACCUGGAGUAUCCCAAUGAAAACAGUUUAGUAUCUGAUUACUAUAUAGGGGUUAGUGCUUAUGAGUCGGAAAUCAGAAGUGCAAGCUAAAAGCCUAAAACUACUGUUUGUCUAUCUACUAUGAUGUUUCCAUCGCCAUGCUUUCCAUACACAGCAUCACACCGAAGCAACAAAGUUAAGUUCUUCAAGGCCUUCGCCCAGCAACAUUCAGCAGAAUAUGGAAUUUAUAGUUGAAUCAUAUACUCAUAUACAUGCAUAUGUCUCAUAUCUACUAAACAUUUAUCAGAUCACCAGAAGUUUAACUUCUGCAGCACAAGAUUUGGAUGUGCAUUCAUGUGCUUUAGGACAUAAUAUUUUGUGAUAUUAUCUUUAUUUUCCACAAAUUUUGGUCCCCAAACUUUAAAAUCAUGCAAUUGAAGGAUGUUUGAAAAGUGAAAAAGAAAAAUUCCAAAUCACUCACCCCGUUGGACUCUAUAAGGGCUAAUUUGAGAAAAAUGAAGGCUUUGAUGGCAACUUUACCAUCUUGAUACCUCUCCCCAUGGCAACUAAAUUGAACAAUUCACUUUGGCUUAUCAAGCAUCCUGCACGAUGAAUUAUGAUGGUCAGCUUAUCAAAUUGAAAAUAUUUUAGCUUGCAAGAGCAGAGGAUUAAUGAUGUUGAAACGAAACAUUAAGUUUUAAAAAAGGAAUUAUCAACAUAUCUUUAGGACAUAUUUUGUUCUAACACUAACAAAGAGGCAAGCCCAGCAUGCAGACUCUAAACCCCUUUAGCUAGAGAGAGACAGUGAAAUUGGGGCUUGCAAAAUAGAAUCUCAUUAAUCCCUGCUAUAAUCAUAAAAACAGUAACUGUUUUUGUGUCAACUCUUGCCUUUUUUUUUUUUUUUCCUGAGCAUUCGGAAGGAGGGAUAAUUAAAAGCCAAUGAAGGAGAAUAAGAAAGGAGAGGGUGAGAGUCUUUUGCAUCCUACGAAAACUCUAUAGACUUGGAACUCGUAACAUGCACUGCAUUAUCCUGCAGCAGCACACACAUGAUACUGCUUUACUGCUCAAUUAUUAUGCUUAAACUGUUAAACAACAGCACCAUGCCAAGUAAUUAGUCAAAAACUUCUCAGCAUGUGGCUUUAGAUUAAUCACGAAUUAUCAUCCCUCCUUGGCUAUACCUGUUUUCAUUGACACCGUUCUACGAUGACAAUGGCUAGAAUCCUAAGAGACAAUAUAACAAACAGUUUACAGGCAAAAGAAGCAGCUGAGAAACAACCAACCCUGACAGCUAAUCGUCCGCAACAAUAAAACGAAAAACAAAAAAAACAAAAUCUGAAAUUCCAAGCCAUCAACAACAAACAUCUUCGAAAAUCCCACAAGCUCAUUGCCAGAUUCCAAUAAAAGCACAAAAAAGGGAUCAAAUUGACACCACCGUCACGGGAGUAGUAGAGUUAUACCGCAGUUCAGAAAAAUUUACAUAUGUAUCAUUACUAGGGAUUACUAGGGUUUUGAGAACCGAACGAAAUUGAACAAUUGCGGUCUCGGUCUAAUCCGACGACGGUUUGGCUUCGUCCCCUUCCUCCGGUGAGGAGGAGGGAUUCGCGGCGGGUGCGUCGUCGGGGUCGCGGUUGGGGUCGGAGCGGGCGAUGGAGCCGCGGAUGCCGUCGAGGAAGGGCUUGAACGCCGUCUCCACGGUCAGCCACGCCAACACCAGCCCCCCCGCCACCACCAACGCCGUCUUCAGGGCGCCGCCCUCGCGAUCGCCCCCUCCUCCUCCCUUCGCCAUCUCCCCCUCACCACUGCUCGACGCUUCGCUCUCCUUUUACCCCAAGGGAGAAAUUGGGGAAUGGCGACGCGUGGUUGAUGUUUUUUAUUCGGUUUGGAAGAAAAAAUUUCCAACAUACAACAAAAGUUAUACUUCCGACUAAUCAAUUUUUUUUAAAAAAAAUUUACACAUCACAUUAUAUUUGUUUAAAAAAACAUUUUUAUUAUUAUUUUUUUAAAAUAUGAUAAGUUAGAAAAAUAUAAUAUGGUAUAGAUGUUAAAUAAUGGACUUUCUCGGAUGCACACUCUUUAAUUAAGAAUUAUAGAAAGAAGAAUUUGAUUUAUCCUCGCACCUAAAAGAAAAGGAGGAAAAUGAAAAAGAAUCGAAUGUCCACCGCUCCAGUCAAUUAUAAGCUAUUAACGUGUCAAAUACGCAGGUGAGAGUGGGUUUCGUAACAGACGAAAUUGCGCUGCUGUCUCCUAAUUUCUGAAUUUGAAGCAACUGACUUGACUUUUCGAACUGUAAUGAAUGGCUUGUUUUGUUCCUCCUCUUCUUGCGCAACUUCCGUACCAAGCACGGGCCUUCGUCCCGUUUGGUCACUCGUUCGGGCGGACUACAACCGACAACAGUGUCGAGCAGAAGCAUGUUUAGGGCUUGCAACCAUUUUGAAGCUCCGCCUAAUAAUAAUAGGUUUGAAGCCCGCGCUUUUGCGUAAAGUGCCGGCCAUAUACUCGGGCAUCCAACUUCCAAAAUUUGAAAUUGUUUCAUUGCGCCGUGGGAGGAUUAUUGUUUUUUUAUUUUUUUAUUUUUAUUUUUUGAGAAAUAGAUAGUAUGCUAUCCGCUUUGUUUAUUUCAUUUAGAAAUAAACUUAGCUAGAAAUGUGAAUCAAUUAGGAUUCGAACUUGGGUCUCGAAUACCAACCACCGUGGAAGGAUUAUUAUUUGUGCAAAUUCAUGGGUUUGUUGGGUUGGACUAAUAUUUCAGCAAUUAUGUUUGAGUAAUGUUAUCUGCACAUUCAAGCAGUCAGUAUAAUUCUUAUAUUCUACCGAUCUAUGAAUUAAUAAUUUUUUAUUAGUUUUAUUAAUUUAUUUUUAAAAUAUAUUUAAAAUCUAAAAUGUAUGAAUAAAUCGUUGAAAGCUUUACAUUUUAUUUUUGAGUGUACAUGUCGCAUUUCUUUUGUGGUUUACUACACAUUGUACCAGAAUGCUGUCGAUACUCCAUAGCUUCACAUCAUCACAUGUGAGCUCGUUUCUAGAUCUCAUGCAUUUGAAAGACUGAUCAGUUAUGCAAGUGUGUGCGUGUUUUUUCCUAUGAAGCAAGUGAUUAGUUUUGCUACUUACGAUUCUUGAAUCUAAGUGUUUUUUUUAUUUUUUAGAGAUAUGUAGCACGUUACCUACUUUAUUUAUUUCAUUUAAAAAUAAAUUUAAUUGAAAAUAUGAAUCAACUAGCAUUCGAACUUGAGAAAAAGCCUUUUGCGAACUAAGAUUCUUGAAUCUAAGUUGGAACAAUAAAAUACAGAUUUAGAAGAGCAAUUAGUAAAGGGGACAUUGGCCCAUGGUUAGGGCGGCAGAGUUCCUCCUGAGUUAUACUGCAUAAAACUACACUUUAUCACUACGAGAGAUUUCUCCUUUUCUUUACCGAGAAAUGCUAUUUACGAAACUUAACAAAAUUAUUGUUAUCAGUCCUUUGGUAAAUAAUUCUGCCUGAAAAAUAAAAUUUCUCUAGAAGACCUAAUUCUGCCAAAUAAACCGUAAUGUGCGCACAACAAGACUUACGCAUGAACACGGUCACAUUCCAGUGGCUCACCAUUUAUUAGCCGUCGGUACAGCCAUCCAGGCACAACAUUGAUGGUCAAGAUUGUAGAUGCGAGAAUUGUAAGGGAUGCGUCGCAUUCCAACUCUUAUAUGCAAGAAUGCAUAACCUAGACGCUUUUCUUUUAGCCACACACGAUCGUAUUUAUAAUUUAUUAACAUUUUCUGUUCGAACCGACUAUUUCUAUCGCAAGUAAUAAAGAAUUUAUUGAUUGAUAUCCAAAAUAUUAAGUUCGAAACCUAAUUAAUUUAUAUUUUCAGCAUAAGAAGUUUUUUUUUAAAAAAAAUAAACAAAAAUAGUAGUACGCUAUAUUUCUCUCCAAAAAUAUAUAUAUAUUUUCUGUUCGACUAAAUUUAUUAGAUCGGUUGGAGCUGUGUUUCUUGGACCACCCACCCACGUUGCGGAGUGUAACAUGCUACCUAUUUUUCUGGUGGCUCGAUGUGAUAUUGGAGCGGACCCUCUCCACACAAUUUUGGCUCCAACCACGGGAAUCAAUUGCCAAGAACUUGAUGGGAUCUUUUCACCUAUCACGACGCUUGGCUUGGCAACUAAAAUAAAUCUAGUAAAUUAGUGAUGGAGAAUAAUGAGGUUGUAGUCUCUCCGAACAUAUAUAGAUCAAACUGGAAUGCGAGAUCAGUGGUUUCCUUUUCCUUUCGUGAUCGAUGAGUUAAGAUCUUUAGAUUUUGUGCACAGAAACUUAUAGCAAGUUGCCGUUAAUGUUUACCGGAGGAUAUGAGUAGCUACAAUUUCAUAAUACUAUUGAAAGAGAAUAUUUAAUUACAUUGCACGGUCUGCUUAAUAACUUAAAAGAAUUGAAAAAAAUAAAAAAUAGAAAUAGAUUACAUUACAUUUCUAGGAUUGAUAGCAGAUAACAGUACUCUUGAGCGUCUCAGAGUUGUAGAUCUGUUGGAGUGCGGUCGAAGUUUCCUCCCUGGUAUCAGUUCUCAAUAUAUAGAUCACUUAAUAAUAACCAAAAUACGACGAUCGACGAAUAAUAAAUUAUCUGGCGCAUAAUUUCUAGCCAACCAUCCGUCCCUUCGAUUCGAACACCAUUAAUUAAUUUCCAUCCCCAGAAAAGCAGAUUAAAAAAAAAAAAAAAAAACGAACAAAAAUAUCUGAAUCUGAAGAUCACCCAUGCAUGCUUCAAACUAGGCGUGCUCCAAUUAAUUCUUUCCCGCACUCAUUGUUCGAGCUGCUUGGCAUUGUCGAAAUUCUGCACGUAGUUGAUGGCAUCGUACCUGAAUUUCUGCGUGGUCGGCAGCUUAUCGGAUCCGACGAGCUUCCGAACCUCGGAGCGCAGUUUGUAGAAGAUGUGGCGCAAGCUACCUUUGCUCUGGCGGCCGAGGACUGCAGUCUCCUCCUCGUUCAUCUCGAGGUCGCCGGCGAAGGCCGGCUUCCGCGAGAGGAUCCAACGCCAGCCCAGAUCCCACCAGCGCCGUAUCGGAGCGGCCGUGAAGCCGAAGCCGAAGCCGCCGAGGACGGAGGGCAUGGACUUGGACCUCCGGAAGGCCCAUUCGGUAGAGGCCGAGGAUAUGGGCUGGAUCUUGACCGAGAAGGAGGAGAUCCGCUUCCUAAGGCCUAUGAGGUGGGUGUCCUUUUGGGCGCCUUGAGAAAUUGGGAGGUCGUCUUUGAGUGGCAUGCUCGGAAAGAACCUUCUCUUUUGGAUGCUCUCCAGGAAGGUGGCCAUGCUAAUCUAAUGAAGCAGCACAAAGAGAUCUAGAGAGAUGAAACAAGGAGAGAGGGAGAGAGAGAGAGAGAGGUGACUCCUCCACCUCCUCUGCUCCUUUUGUUGUUAGGAGGAGAAGAGGGGGAGCAGAGAGAGCAGCGACAUAAUGGUUCACAGCCUUGGACAGGCUGGUUUUAUUGGUGUAUGGAGUCGGGUGGGGGGCCAUGAAGUGUUUUAGAGUUUCUUCUUUUGUUUUACCAUUCUUUUUUUUUCUUUUUUUUCUUUUUUUUUGAUGAUUUUAAACCCAUUUCCUAAUAACGCACCGGUGGAAUUUUUGUGGCAAUUUCUCAACUAGCUAGCUCAUGGUGGCCCUUGAUAGGUUGGCCUAAGCCUCGUGUAUUGACUUAAAUUGAUCAGUAUUUUGCUCCGCGGACUGAUCAUUCCUAGAGCAAGUGGCAAAGAGCUUGGUGAUUGGUAUUCGAAACCCAAGUUCAAAUCCUAGUUGAUUCACAUUUCUAGCUAAAUUUAUUUCUAAAUGAAAUAAACGAAACGGGUAGCUGUUACCUAUCUCUAAAAAAAAAAAUAUUAUACUCCGCGGCGGAAGAUUAGGUUGGAUUGAGUCACAUUCGAAAUGACGUGAUAGUUAGUUGAGUCAAGUCAUAUUCGAAGUAGCGUGAGGCUGAUUAAAUCGAAUUACAAUCGAGAUUCGUUAACGUUAUACACUUUAAAUGAAUUGAUUAUAUAUUUCUAACCGUUCGAGUUUUUGGAAUUAAUAAUUAGUGUCAACAAUCCGACGUCAUGCAUCAAGUUGCAUGCUGUCCUAUUUUAAAGCUUACCUAUGGUUCAUAAAGCAUUGUAAAGUAAACUGGUUUUGAAAUUUGGUAGGAAGGCUCAAUCAAGGUUGUCCGAUCAACAUUGGUUAAUCAAACUCACUGAAUUGAGCAAGCACCAGUGAAUAUUGGUGUGCUUCACCAAUGUUGAUCAUGUAAUUCUGGUCCUAAAUUGGUUUCUGGUUGCUAUCAUUAGCCAGUGUUGGGCAUACAUCUCUUUAAAAUGUUUAAUUUUCAAUUGCCUUUGACUAUUUCACAUUCACAUGCAUGAGAUCAUCGUGGGAGGAAUCGCUCAGCUGGCAAAGCAUAUUUUAUGGAAAAAUAAAAAAGAAAAAAAAAGAGGGAAAAGAAAAUAUCUGAGGGCUCAUGAAAUGCGGAUAUUAUAUGUUGAAAAAUAGAGAUGCGGUUGAAACAUUCAGGUAUUGUGUAUUGGCUUGUUGUAAUUGACUAUGUUUUCCAGCUUUUAGAACCUAUUCGCUUUUGAUUCCUCAACCUACUCAUUGAACUGUAUUCUCCAAAAUUUGUCCUCGUUAUAAAUAUUUAUAUUUAUAUUUCUGUAGAAAAUUAAGUCUCAUCUCUCUAGAAAAAUUUUUAAAAAAAUUUUAAAGAAAGAGAGAGAAUUGUAGGUGAAUCUAAACAAGUAGGAUCAGCAUUUUUCUUUUUCUUUUUUUUUUUUUUACGAUCAAUCAAAUCGAGGUAAAUAUAUAUCAUCGCUAAUAAAAGAAGGCAUGCAUGCAAACAUGAUGGCCAUUUCCUUCUUUUUUGGAAAUUGUGUUAAGUAUAAAAAUAUAUGAACUCCGUUCUUUAUUAUCUUAAAUUUUUAAAGUAUAAAUUGUUUCACAUGGUGUUAGAGUAGAAAGUUCUGAGUUCGAGUCACGUCAGAAUUCUAACACUAUUAAUUUUCUUUCAUUUAAUUCAAGUCCACGUCAUAAGUCCUACAAGAAGUUUAAAUAUAAAAAUAUAUGAACAUCGUUUUUUAAUAACUUUAACUUUUAAAAUACAACGGUUAUUUCACAGAUUGAACAUGUUUCCUCAUGCAACAACUUUAACAAAUUUUUUUUUUCUCUCUUUGGGAGUGUGUCAUUAUUAUUUUAUUAUGAGAGAAUGGUAGUUCUCCAUUUUGCUUUUUUUUUUUUUAUAUAAGAUAGAUUUAAUUAAAAAUAUAAAAUAAUUAGACUUCAAAUUUGUAAUCUCGAAUAUUAAUUAUUAAAUCGUUUAUGCCUUGCGCUAGAAACCUCAGUGUGUUUUCUUUUUUUUUUUUUAAUUAAGAUCUCACAGAUAAUAUACUUCGUUGUACACUAACCACGGGAAAAUAGGAGGGCGAAUGAGUUGGUGCGUUUGUGACGGUGGGCCUUGAAGAGCUGUCGGCUGGAAAGUCCGCUUCCAAGAACAUCUCCCCUCAUCAGCCUCGUCUCUAAUUCUUUCUUCUCCUUUUGCUUCUUCUCGCCGACACCUCCUGCAUUUAAUAAAAAUAGAAUAGGAAAAAGAAAAGAAAAAAGGGUUGUUAGGAAGAGGGGCCCAUCAGUCUCCCACGUGUAAGAAGAUGAGUGGCCAACAAUUUGGUGGCGGUGAUGGUGUUUAACCGGCCCUAACAAGGGUGCAGUUUUUUUUUUUUUUUUUUUUACAGUUCUAUCUAGUGUUGGUGUAAAAAGUUUGGUUAAUUAUCAAUCGAAUAGGUCAUUUAAAAAGACAAGGUUCGUCACAACGAUUAACCGAGCCAGUGGUUGAGAUUUAUUUUGCCUAGACCAUUAAAUCGAACAAUGCAUAGAAAUUUUCUACUCGCACGAUCUGCAGAGUUUCGCUUCAUCGAUUGUGAGGUGUUAUGUGCAGUUGUUUGACAUUAUACUUACAUAAGCUAACAAGCACUAUGGGUUGGUGACAUAGUAGGUCCGUCCUUAAAGAUCUUAUUAAUGUGGCCUGAAAAGGUCUGUGAUGAUUUGCAUCACAUCAUCCCAAAUGAGAAUAUCAUUGCAAUUUGUGAGUCUUCUCUGCUGUUAGGGUGGUUAUGUCAAGUUACUGGGGCCCAUUAAUGGAUUGUUUGAAGGCUUUGGAAUUUUUAGUACAUUACACCACAGAUAAGGGUUGAUCUGCCUUGAUUCCUACGUUUAACAUGGAUUUAUGCUCACCUGCUGCUAAUUCACUCGUUCUCCGUCAGUGCUCAACCCUGCAACACAAGUUCCCGCUUUUUCUAAAAUCUUAACCCUCUCAUUCUCUCUAAUCUCGACUCUACUUCUCUUUCUAUUUCUUUAAUUAUGCUCUCUCUUUCUAAUCUAUAUUAUCUCUCUCUUUUUUCUAAAAAGAUGUUGAAAUUUCUUUAUAGUAUUAUUUAAAAUUAAUUAAAAAAAUAAAUAAAUUAAUUAUAUAUUUUUCGUAAUCUUAAAUAAUAUUAACUAAAUAAUAUGGCCGUACGAACCAAAUACCGAAAUACUAUAUUCCUAAUACAGGAAGGAUAUCAUUUUACUCCAAGUAAUCUUUCAUAGUGCGAACCAAACGCGUCCUAAAAGUAAAGAAAUAUAAAGGACGGCAAUGAGUUUCUGAGGGGAUAGAUUUCAAUUUGAUUUUGGACAUGUUUUACGAGGGUUACAAUAAUUUCCAAUAAAGCAUUUUAUCUAAGAUAAGAGUAGUCACUCCUCUCUCUCUCUCUCUCUCUCUCUCUCUCUCUCUCUCUGUUUUCUUUUUCUUUUUUUUGAAGACCUUUAAGUUGUGUUGCUUCGCAUGGGCGUGGACUGGGCUAGGCCAGAAGCCCUAUGGUUAGUCUCAUUGGCUAAUUCGUCGAUCGAGUUGGGCCUAGUCAAAUUAGGUUUGUUGACUACGUUGUUGGGCCUAUUUAAAUCAUUUGGGCUGCCGAUGAUAUUUCAGGCAAGUGUGUGGAACUUCAAUUGGAAUAUAUAUGCAUAGCGUCAUAUUUUGUUACCACUCUCUACCUCUCUCUCAUACGCGCGCCGAUACAAAAGACACACAGUGAGAUUACAUGACAAGAGAAAUGCAGAAUCACCUCGUGCUUGUUGUAUCAUUUGUAUGUUUUCAUUUUGUAUAGAGUUGUUCGCUUCGUAUGAGAUUUUUGUUUGAUUGAGAUAGUCACUCGAUUGUCAAAACUUUUUUACAUUAGAAAAGUCAGUUUUUAGUUACCACAGUUGUCUCUUUACUGAACAAGCAAUCAUUCUGUUUUCUACACUAAAAAAAAAAGAAAAAAAAAGAAAAAAAAAAAAAGAGAAAAGAGAAAUGAAUAUUUCUAAAGAGUUAAUUACCAAAUAGUUGAAUUUCAGGUAUUUUCCAAUAAAUAAAUCUAGUGACAGGUGCCCCUCCUUUUCAGGAUAAUCUGCCACCAUUUGUGCUUUUUAGAUGAUUAAUCAAUCAUUUCCUCAUCCACUUUCUAAAAUAGUGUACGGCAGUUGAAUGAUGGUAAUUAUUUGUUAGUUAGUAUUUGAGGAUUGCCGAUAUACCCUUCACAACUUUCCGGCUUUUAUACUUAUCCUUCAAAAAUUAUUGUGCGCAAAUCUAUCAUUCUAAAAUAUCAAAUUAUUUCAAAAAAACUUUCAAAAUUGGGUAGAAAAAUAGAAACUUUCAAUAAAUUUAUUUGAAAUAAAAUUAAACAUGAAACUCGGUUACUUAUUCAGGGGCACAUAGGCAAGUACCUCUUAUUUUUUUAAAUGAGGUUGGUUUGUCUUCUUUUGUUUUUAUUAGCAGGCUCAGUUGAUAAUAGAUGCAGUACUCUCAACUCUAACUGCUACAUUAGAACAUGGUUAAAAAUUUUUAUGGAACCUAUAUGAAGAAAUAGCACGUAUCAUUUCACUGCUGUUUGAUCUGUCUUAUACUUCCAGGUGGCAGGAGUUGAAUUCAGCAAUCGAGAUACAUGUGCUUUAAGAUGAUAAAUAAUUAUCCACGAGCUUCAACCCAAAGGGUGUAAAAUAAGAAUCAAAGCUAAUGCGUGCAAGAUUAAAGUCCCCAACCAGCUUUAGAUGUAGCUACACUGAGAAAAUUAUAUUUAUUUGUGUGCUGGAUUAAUACGGUCUUUAUGGUUAAGGAUGUGCUUUCAACUACAAAAACACGAAAAGAUUAAUUACUGGUGGGGCAAAUCGAGUUCGGUGGUAGUCAAUGAGGCAACUAAGAUGGAAGUUUCUCCCAACUAAGGCUUUUGUUUUUGUUUUUGUAAUAUGAAGCCUGAUUAAUAUCUGGGCCUAGAGCUCACAAGUUACUGCUACAGUUCCCCCAACAUAUAUAUUUUUAGUUGCUGCCAAUUAAGUACCCACAAAUUAAAUGCAAAAAGGACCAAAAUAAAAAGAACCGACGCAGCAGAAAGAGUUAUGCAUGGCUUGUAAAAAGAUAAUUGAUAAUGCUGGUCAAUUAUGACAUCUAGAAGUCUAGAACUACAUUAAUUUGCUUUAUCUGUUGACAAACUAUCUGACACAAUUCCCCAGUUUAUUGAGUACCAAAUAGCUUUUCAAGUUAUUCAGCAAACAAAAAUAUCGCUAAUCGUCCUUGAAUUGUUGAAACAAAAAGCCAAAUAUUUGCAGCAGCAGUAGUUUCUUUGCUAAGCCAAAGAAGUUACAACUGCAGGUGCAUAAAAAGAGGAUUAAACUAAGUCAUCCGGCAGCACUUUAAACUGAAGCCUCUACCUUCCUGACCAACCUACAGGCCUUGCUGUGCUUUAGCCAGAAGCCCCAAACAAUUGAAGUGCUUAUUUUCUUUCAAGCAACAAAGGUUGAAAAAGCUAUAUAUAGGCCUGCCUCUUCUUUGCACCUCCCUCAUUGGCAAACUUGAUUUCUAUAACUCUCAUGGCAUCAAAGCUCUUCUUUCUCUCUUUUCUGCUUUCCGUUACAGCUAUCUGCUGUGCUGCCAGACAAAAAUUCUCUCUCGCUGGCUUCUCCGAAGAGGAUCUGAGAUCCCCAAAGAAUCUGAAAAAUCUCUUUGAGAACUGGGCAGCGAAACACAGCAAAAACUAUGCGAGCCCAGAGGAGAAACUGAGGAGGUUCGAAGUGUUCAGGGACAAUGUGAGGCACAUUCACGAGGGGAAUAAAGAGAAGAGGAGCUACUGGCUCGGCCUCAACGAGUUUGCCGACAUGAGCCAUGAGGAGUUCAAGGGCAAGUAUCUUGGCUUGAAGAUGGGGAGAAGGGAAGUCGUGCGGAAGUCCUCGAAGUCGACCUUCAUUUAUCAGAAUGCUUCUUUCCUCCCCAAGACGGUGGACUGGAGGAAGAAGGGAGCCGUGACGCCAGUGAAAAACCAAGGAGCGUGUGGUAAGAGCUCUCAUUUAUCAAUAUACACCACAAUUCUUUUAGUACUCAUACCACAUUUAUCAGCCAUCGAUUAGAAUCGAAAACAAGCAUUGAUUAGAAAUAAGUGAGCAACUUACAUCUUUCUCUGUCAGAAGUUACACAUCUCGCAGCAUCCGAAGUCAACUUAAAUCUUUCAAAGUAAGCCAAACGUUUAUUUUUCAAUUGUACAACUAUCUAUGUAGGGGGUUGCUGGGCUUUCUCGACGGUGGCAGCGGUCGAAGGAAUAAACCAGAUCGUAACAGGGAACUUGACGUCUCUAUCCGAGCAGGAACUGAUCGACUGCGACACAGUAUUCAAUGAAGGAUGCAGCGGAGGUUUGAUGGACUAUGCUUUUGCAUUCAUCAUUGCGAAUGGCGGGGUCCACGCUGAGGAUGACUACCCUUACCUCAUGGAAGAAGGCACCUGCGAGGAGAAGAGGGUAAAUUGAGCAUAAACACUCACUCUUGUUCAUGGUUUUUCUUUUUUUUUUCCCCACAUAUACACCCUUGCAAAUAUGCACAAUUUCAUUUGUAUUUUCCUGUGUGAUGCUGAGAACUUUAUACUCAAUAACUUUCCUUUGUCAUGACAUUUUAGAGUCGCGUUAAAGUCGUAAGCAUCACCGGCUUUCAAGAUGUGCCGGAGAACAAUGAAGAGAGCCUGCUCAAAGCGGUGGCUCAUCAGCCUGUAAGCGUUGCCAUAGAGGCUUCUGGUAGUGACUUCCAAUUCUACAAAGGGGUAAGGAGAUUAAUUACUAAGACACAUAAACAAAUUUGUACACUACGCGACUUAGAGUAAUGCGAGGUGGUUGAUUGCAGGGGAUUUUUGAUGGAACUUGUGGGACGGAUCUGGAUCAUGCGGUGACGGCCGUUGGGUAUGGGUCGUCGUACGCCCAAGAUUACUUCAUAAUAAAGAACUCAUGGGGAGCGGGAUGGGGGGAGAAUGGGUACAUAAGGAUGAGGAGGAACACAGGGAAACCUGAAGGGCUUUGCGGCAUCAACAAGAUGGCUUCUUAUCCUAUCAAAUGGAAAUUGAUCAGUUGAACAUCACAUGCCUGAAUUAUUCAACAAAAAUAUUAUAUGAUGUCUAUGUAGAUUUCUCCAGAUAAUUCAAAUAAUCUACGAAUUGUGCAUUGUCAAUCGGAGUGUAUAUUACUUAUCGGGACGAAUGUUAGUUUGUGAGGAGAAACAAAAAAAGAUUAUGCUCAGAUUUAAUCUACACACGAGAACCAUAGGCAGUCAGCACUUCGUAAUAUUCGCAUAAUGCCUCAAUUAAUUAAUUAAUCCAACAAAUAAACCGAUAAGAAACAAUUGUCCUAUAAUUUUUUUUUUUCUUUUGCUCCCCCUUCUUUUGUUUUUUACAUGUAUACGUAUGUACCUAUCUUACAAGUCCGGAGAACGCCCACAAAGAGGCGAGUUGCUCCUAUUCGACGGGCUCUUGGGCACCUCGUUCCCGGUAACAACGAUGCCCAUCACCACCUCCUCCGCGUUCCCACCAUUCUCGUUCUCCCUGUGCGUGCUUCCUCCUCCCUCGUUCUCCUCCAACGACCUCAUCUUCGUCUCCGGCGUAAACACAUAGGUGUGCACCAAACCAACUACACAGACCCCCCCCAGUAUGAUCAGCGCGUACAUCAUCCCGAUCCCCGGCUCGUAACCUUGCUGAAUGUUGGCCCGGUUAUUAUCCUGCGAUGCCCAGAGGAAACCGACGGCCCCGACAAUCGCCCCGACCUUUCCGGAGGCGCCGGAGAUGCCGUGGCAGGUGGACCGGAACCGGGCUGGGAAGAGCUCGGCGGGGAGGAUGAAGGUGAUGGUGUUGGGGCCGAAGUUGGAGAAGAAGAAGGUGAGGGCGUAGAGGACGAUGAACCAGGCGUUGGUGUGGUCGUGCCAGUAGGCGUCGUAGGGGCCUGCAAGGGCGAAGAGGAAGACAGCCAUGAAGGAGAACCCGAGCAUCUGGAUGGGGCGGCGGCCGAUGCGGUCGAUGAAGUACAUCGUGGCGAAGUAACCCGGGAUGGUGGAGGCGACCGCGAUGAUGGCCUGGAACUUGGCGACAUUGUAGGCCUCCUGGUAGGCAUUCACGUGGCUGGCGCGUUGGAACCAGGGCAGGUAGAUUUGGGACUGGAAUAAGGUGCUGCUGUAGUAGGGCACGUCCACAAUGAACCACGCUGCCGCGCACGCGAACAGGUUGCGCCCAUGGUAGCGCAGGAACUCGCGGGAGAAGAAGCCGUACGUCGAUGUAGGGUGAGGAGGAGGUGGUGGCGGUGUUACCGAAGACGGAGAGUGGCGGAGUGCAUCGGAGCCGUGGAUGUCGAGGUCGAAGUCGCCCAGCACCCGCCCCAUGUCGGCAGUGGCCUUCAUCACGUCCUGCUCCACCAGAGCUGUGAACCUGCGCGGCAAGAGCAGAUUUGAAUGAUUACCACGUAACCCGGCCGAUUCAAAUAGUUGGACAGGACAUUCAAGGUUUCAGUUGGACCUGUUGAGAAUUGCAGGACUAGUGCUUUGCCUGGGCACUCAAUACACGAAUCUACUGAACAUGGUUUCGUCCGCAUUGAACUCGGAAACAAGUUGAACGUGUAUAUACUCGAACAGUCCAUUCAAAGAACUCAAAGUUGACUGGUGAGACUUGGAUCUAAUUAGCAUUGCCUAACAACUACUCUGUUCCAAAUGCUUUCGACACCUAGGUCUGCAUUGUGUAAUUAGCUUGUAAGAGGUGCCUAAUUUUUUAUGUUCUAGUGUGGAUAAUUUUACUCCGAGCAACGUGCAACUUGAUGUAAAACUACAACUCCACAACUUGGCCUCUAGAAGGUCAUCAGAUUGUUCCAUGUCCUGGGCUUCACAAAAUAGACAAAGAAGGUAUUCUUUACUAAAAGAUUCCAAUCACCUAAGUACUCAAAAAAUUAAGCGUACUGACCACGAAAAGGCAGAUGAGACCCCAUAUUCCAAUAAAUGUUCAGGAUUUAAGUAAUCAACUUAAGAACUUAAAUAAGAUGCGAUGGCUCCUCCUAGGCUCCUAUGGACAAACUUUUAUUCGCCUAGACGGUAUCACAAAAGAAGAUUUCCGAAGCAUCUUGCGAUUCUCUGCAUCCCUCGAGGACUGUUAGGGCAUAUUUGGUUCACCUAUUUUAAACUAUGGAAUCAGAAUGAAAUUUAUUGAUUCCGAUAGUUGUCGUUUGUUUUAUACGAAUCGGAUUCCGAUUUUCAUUCCACUCCGGAAUGGGAAUGGCCGAAUCCAUUUAUGAUCUAAUCCGGCUUUGAAUUUUGAAUUGGCCCAUUCCAAAGUAAACUAUUCAAAAUUCUCUUUCACUAACACCUACUUUAUCUUCCUUCAUCACUCUCCUCUCUCUUAAUCAAAAGCAUCUUUUAAAAAUUCUAAAUUUCCAUUCCGAUUCCAUUCCAAUAAUAAACCAAAUAUUUUUGGAUGAUUCGUCAUUUCAUUUUUCAUUCCAAAGCAAUCCAAUUUUAUUUCUCAUUCCUAUUUCAAUCGUGAACCAAACAUGUCCUUAAGAGUAGUUUCAACCAGUUAAUCUGCAAUGCUUUGAUUAAUCACCCUAAAUUGAGUUAUCGCUUCUCUUUUCAAUGUUCUUUACUUCUUUUCUUUCUUUAGAGUAACUUAACUUGCUAUCCAGUUAUGAUGAUCAGCUAUAACACAUUUUAGCCGGUCUCUCCUCAAAAAGACCGAAAAAAGAUAAAUUUUACUACAAACAAUAUUAGAAGUUAAUCCCUUAAAUCUGAUCCUGGUGCUAUGCUUUGAGAUAAAAGAUGUUAACAUCUGGAGCAGGGCACUUGCAGCUACCACACUGAAGAGGGAGGACAAAUUUAGGCGAAAGGGAGGAAAAGGACUACAACUCUACAAGCACAAGGGGGCUCAAUGCAUUCAUUACUCAGAUGAAUUAGCUAAUAAUGAUAAUUAUUAUAUGCAUUACCUGGCAGUCUCCGGCAUGGCCAUCCUCCAGUAGUAGGUCAGCGCCGCCGGUAUGGCGCCUAUCAUGAGUAUGAGCCUCCACGCGAGGUCGGCCGCCUCAGGCGUGCGUAGUGGACUGAUGUCCUCAGGGUUUGUCGCCCGAUUGAACGCGGCCAUGACCGCCAUCGUGACGGCGGAGCUGGCCAGGAUCCCGAACCCCUGCAUCGAGAACACGGCCGCGAUGAACGACCCCCUCGUUCUCUUAUUGGCGAAUUCCGACAUGAUCGUGGCGGAGAGCGGGUAGUCCCCGCCGAUGCCGAUCCCGAGGAGGAAGCGGAAGAAGCAGAGGCUGCCGAGGACGCAGCCGCGGGUGCGGCAUAUGGAGAAGCCGCAGCCGAAGGAGCUGAAGACCAUGAGGAGGAGGCAGAGGCCGUAGACGCGUCGGCGUCCGACCCGGUCGCCGAGCGCGCCAAAAACGAGCUGCCCAAUCACGGUGCCGAGGAGGGCGAUGGCGACGCUGGCGGAGACAACAACGGGAGGGGUCACGCCGGGGUCGCCGCCGAUGGGCUCGUAGUAGAUGCGGCCGAUGAGCUUCAUCACGGGGAGGAUGCAGAAGAGGUCGUAGGAGUCGGUGAAGAGGCCCAUCCCGGCGAUGAGUAUGGCCUUGAAAUGGUAGAGCUGCGUGCGGGCGUGGUCCAGCGCCGUGAGCACCUUUAGAGACAUUCUCUCGAACACUCGGUGAGCGCGAUGAGUAGCUCCCAAUUUUUGCCUCCGGGUGACGAAGCUAAUGGAGCUGCGGCCGCAGAGCUAUGAUAGUUGGAAUCGGAUAUAACUACCGUACAUGCGAUUGUGAGGGUGCGUUGACAUGGCAGAAUUGAAUGAAUGGGAAGCGAGGGUGAGCUUUCCUGGAAUUAGUUAAUUUUAGAUUCCGGAGAAGAUGCUUACUGAGAUUUGGUCUCGGAUUUGAGCGCAUAGCGUUCUUUGUUCCAAGGCCGAGGUGAGGAUCCAGUGGUUGGAGGGUGCUUCCAAUAUGGUGCAAGAGGGUUUAUCGCGGGCCACGUGGAAGAAAGGAAUGUGGCAUGGAUGAAGAACCACGUGAAAGGUGUUUGCCAUUUUGGAGGCUGUGAUGAGUUGUUGAAUCAACCAACGGAAGACAAGUCAAAGUGAUUAGAUGACAGUAUUGGUUUGCUAUUGGGCAAAGACUUGGAGAAAUGAGCCAAGGUCUUCCUCCUUUCUAGAGACUUGAAAAUAAAGACUCGAAAAAUAUUAUAUUUUUCUCUUAAAAACUUAAAUUAUUAAAAAAUAAUAUAUUUAUAAAUUUUAAUUAAAUAAAAAAUUUAAAUAAUGCUAAGAAACUUGCAGAAUUAAAUAUUAAAAAAGCUACUCUCUUAAGGAAAUUCAGAAAAAAAUUAAAUAUUCAACACUCUUGUUUUAAGAGAAGUGUUGCAUGUAAAUAUUAAAAAUACUGUUUUUGAUAGUUUAAGUUUUUCGAAAAAAAAUAACUGCUUCAUAUAACUCAAUAGUUAUCACAACGAUCUAUAGCGUAAGUGAUAAAGAACCUAAUAGUUGGUGUUUCAGAUCUCAAGUUCAAAAUCUAAUCACUUUAUAUUUCUAAUUAAAUUUAUUUUUAAAAAAUAAGAAUAAAGCAAGUAUUAUACCACCGUUCGCUAAUAGUUGAAAAUUUUAGAAAAAAAAAUAAUUAUUUCAUAUAAUUCAACAGCUAAUGUUGCCGCUCACUCCAUAUCAUAGUUUGGGGUGCUUCAUGCCAACACAAUUAUUCUAAUUCUUUAAAGUUCAAAAAUCAUAAAAUAAAAAUAUUCUGAAAUCUUCUCAAAUACUGAAAGUGUAACAAUCUAGAGUGUCGAUAGAAGGACAAAGACUAAGUAGAGAAGUAUAAUAAUAAAGUAGAAAAAAAUAAGAGAGCAUGAACUGGGAUCUUAACUACAUCCAUGAGGAGUUUAGUCCUUGAGAGGAAGGAAUUACAGUAUCUACGAAGUGAGAGGACGGAGGGAUUUGGAGACUCUAAGUCAACGGAUCGGGCAACGCCAGAUGCAUCAAAGCCCAACUUGAGGCCCACAAUUCUCUUUAUUUAUUUCUUAUUAACAUUUACAGCUUAGUUCAUAUUUAUCUGUUAUUUACAUUUUAGUACUAUGUAUUGAGGGGUACAAAAAGCAAGUUGUAAACAUUUUACAGUAUUAACCAAAUGAAUUAAUACUUUCUCUCUCUUCUCUCGUAAACCUCUACUCUCUCUUACCCCCUUCUCUCUAUUUCCUUUUUUUUUUUUUUUUUUUCCUUCUCUCCUGCUCUAUCUAUCAUUCUUAUCGGCGACUAAGACUAAAAAAAUUCUCUAGCAGCUGCAAAUAGUCUGGAAUAUUAUAAAAAGAUAGUGACAUAAUCUUUACAAAAAAAAUAAUUCGAAUACUUUAUCAAAGGCAACAAUAAAAAUAUAGAACUACGAUUUAAAGUACCUACGAAUUUUCCAAAUACUCAAAAGAGUAUUAAAGCAAUUGGGGGCUACUGGGCGGAUGCAUGCCCACAUUUUCCGAGAUUUACUUCCGGGUCCUGCCUUGGGUAGGUGAGUGUAAGACUGGGAUGUGGAGUGGUUAUUGCGGCCUACAGACCGGACUUUCAACCUUUCUAGUCGCUUAAAAAAUCUAAACUUUUAUUUUAUAUUAGUUAUAUAUAAGUGCAAAUAUUGCAUCUCAUUCAACCUACAAAUUCACAUAAAAUUAUUUGAGUUUUUAGUGAAAAAAAAUUAAACUAGUGAAAGAAUAUAGACUAUAUAAUGUAUAAAAUAUAAAAUUUAUAUCUAAUUUGUAAGUAUACUGAUAGAAUUACUUGUUAUCAAAAAUAUAAGGAAAAAUAUUAGUACUUUUGUUAUUUUUGUUAGGACAGUCGAAGAGUAUCAUUGAUUGUUGUGUCUUAUCCUCUAUUUUUUUCCUUGCUUUGUAUGUAGUGCUUGUUGUACUGUAACAGAAGAAUUUGUCUAUGUUUUCUUGCGUUAGGACAAAAUUAGUAUUAUCAUCUAGUAACUUUGUAAGGAAAAGGUACCACAUGAUCCUAGUGAUGUUAUUUAAAUAAGUGCGUGCGAGAAUUAAGGUAGCGAACAUGGUAAUACUAUAACAAAUGUGGCGUGGAUCAGUUCUUAAAUGAUAUGUUCAAUUAUAUUGAAGGCAAUAUCUUAACAUUCACUGGUCCCAUGGUCUAGUGGUCAGGACAUUGGACUCUGAAUCCAGUAACCCGAGUUCAAAUCUCGGUGGGACCUUCUAUUAUUAUUAUUAUUUUUUGUUAUUCAAGUUGGAUCUGCAUUGGAUAUUUGGAUAUCACCUUAAUUAUCUUUUUAGUGAUUCAAACUACAUCUUUACUCGGUUCCAAAUCAAACUGAAUAAUUGAUAUCACCUUGUUUAUUUGUAGUUAUUCAAACUGUAUCUUUGUUUUCGUUCCAAUAAUUAAGCCGAACCAUUAACACCCACUGGGAAAUGGAUUGCAUAUCACCUUAUCCAUUUUUUUAGUUAUUCAAACUGUAUCUUUACUUUGGUUCCAAUUCAAACUGAAUCAUUAGAACCCACUAGGAAAUGGAUUUUAUGUCACCUCAUUUAUUUCUCAGUUAUUCAAGCUGUAAUGCUGUAUCUUUUACUUUGGUUCCAAUUUCAAUUCCAACUGAAUCAUUAACGCCCGAUAGGAGAGGUAUUGGAUAUCUGCAAAUGCGGUUCAUGACCACUAACUGAUUGUUUUCAUGAAAGAGCUAACUAAUCGUUCUAUGGUUCAAAUUACUGUGAGUUUUUGUUGCUUUACCUCUACACCCUUAUUAGCAGCUACAAAUCCUACCUCUCACAAAAACCUUUGAUUAGAACCACUACAUCAGUACUUAACAAAAGCGUUUUUCAGUUUACAACUUAAAAAAAACUUUUUAAUUGAACUUAAAAAAAUUUCUAAUGAUAAAACAUUCGUACUUUUUUUUUCUAAUGAUAAAAAAGUCGUAUCAUUUAAAAUUAUGUUGCAUAUUUUUUACUGAGUAUUUACACGAUCUUUCUUCCAAUUUAACUAAGGAUAGAUUAGGAGUGAACACAAACAUGAUUUCCCAUCGACCAGGGUUAUUUUUCCCGGCCUUGCUUGACACACAAUAAAAAAAAAAAAAAUAUUUAUUUGGAAAAUCAAAUGAAGUACUAUGAAAAGGAAAAACCAAAAGAAAAAAAAACUCUAAAGGAGAGAGGGAGAAAGAAUGGAAGAGAGUUUUCUUUUUAAUUUGGAGAAUGUAGAGCCCAAAUGGAACACGCAGCAGCAUAGGUUUUGAAAGAGCAGGACGUGUAACGAUGAGCACCGUCUAUUUACCGGGCAUGUAACUGUAUCAGCCACCGGAUUCCCUCACGCUGAUACCUGACUAUGCCCGGAACUUCCUCCCGUAAAUCCAGAUAAAAUCAAAGUAAAUAGAGGAAAAAAAUGCAUUAAGAAACCAUUAUUAAGGCGCAGAAAAAAUUAACAGAUGAGAUUAAAAAAAAAAUAAAACAAUGAUGUAUCGAAAAUAUUAGAAAAAAUAGAGAAAUGAGAAAGGAUGUGGGAUCAAACACAAGAGCGGGAUUCCCUAAGAGAAGGGGAAAAUCCCACCCGGUCAUAUGAUUCCAUAUGUUUCUUUAGCUGGCUAUUUUCGCCUCUAAGGCGUACGGCUAUAUGCAGCACCGACGCCACCAUUACCAGCGAAGAGAGAGAGAGAGAGAGAGAGAGAGAGAGAGAGAGAGACUAGGGUUUCAUAUUUGGGGCAGAGAGAGACGGCAUAGGUAGUAGAACGACGCCUCCGCAUCUUCCGCGUAAACUAGGGUUUCAUCUUGGGGAGAAAGGACCAUUGGAGGGCGCUUUUAUAGGGAGAAUUAAGAGGGUCGGGUUUGGACUUUGUAUUUGUUAACUGGGUGGGCCGCAAAUCUAAAUGGGUAACCUAUUAUCAGGCCCGUAAAGCGUUUACCGCAUAAGGAUCUGAUAUGUGGACAAAUCAAAGAGAUUUAAAUUAGAAAAAAAUAAAAAGAAAAAGAAAAUCAAUCGUUUGACCAAGAAAGAUAGAGGCAAGUAUGUACAUCAUGAAACAGAGCCUCCAACUUGAUCAGGCAAAUAUGUACAUUUUUAAGUUUUUGAUCAUUUUGUUUUGAAUUACUUUCGAUAGCCAGAUUGGAAAUUGUAUUACAAUACUAGUGUUGAAGUUUACGAUUUUGUACCUUUUUAUAGCUAACAGAACAGCGGGUUCCAUUUACAGUCAAUUUUAAAAUAAUCAUUAGUUUGAUUGACAGAAACGAUCCAGAUAAAAAUAAGUUACAAACUGAGAAGGUAUUAGACAUAAAAAAUGUGAUGAUUUGUAGUUGAGCAGUCGCUACGCAUCUUUAUCAAAAAUUACAAGUCAGAAACUUUGAUUCCCUCUCUCCAACUAAUACCUGUUCGGACUUGGGAACGUCAUUUCUUCGCCUUUGAAAACCGCAGGCAUCGGUACUUCUCACCACCGACGGUUAUCUCGAGAGCUCCAUCCUGGUUGUCCUGGCUCAAUGCGGUGCCCAUAAGGACACUCUUCUCCUUCUCUAAGUUCUCCCUCUCCAUCUUUAGCCUUGCCUCUUGUCGCGCGAUCUCAGCCUGCACAAUGAUAAUUAGGUUGAUAUCUUCACAAUUUUCAAAACGAGAUAUCUUCGCUGUUUACAACUACAGAGUACAUAUCUUUUUAGAGUUCAUCCAAUCCAUACAGUUGAGUGGCCUAGAGAUCCACUCGUGAGUCCCUGCUGUGUCUUAGUUUUCAAUAAUAAUAAAGGAAAUGCCAAAACAUGAACCAUUGUGAAGCUGAGUGCCUCUAUCAAACUUCAAAGUUGUGUUCAAGUCAUUUACAAGUCCCCUGCCUCGCUGAUGUGAUUCUUCUCAUCCUCUUUACAUUCGUAUGAACUCAAUUCGAAAUAGUUGUACUGCUAACAAUCAACGAUUUAGGGAUAGUUGUACUGCUUGUUUCUCGUGUUUAUGGGUGGCUGUCUUGGCAAGCAGGGUCAAAUUUCUCAAUCGAAGGAUCGUGGCAGCAUUAAAACAUUGUGAGAACUCGUAUCUUCAACGUCAACUGCAUCUGCGCAUCUAUGAUUCGCAUGAUACUCUUGGAAAGUUUCAUCAGAAUAAGGGUUUAUAGGCUUAGCAUCAAACAUGUGUGAUGACGCUUUUCCUAUAGAUAUGUGAUGACAUUUUUCCUACUCUAUUAGAAAGAGUUUAUCACUCUGCAGUUUCCAAAGCCCUGAUAGGCAGAGAGGCAAGUUUGUUUGAUACAUAACUUGCAAUUGUCAUGCUCUGACUAUAUAAGCUGAUAUUCCACUCUUUCUUUUUUCUAAAAAAAAAUGCUGUCUACAGACAACAUACAUUUUAGAACAACUCAUAAUGAGUAUAGUCUUAUAGAGGAAGAGAUGUACUUUGACGAACUCGGACGACACCCAAACUUCUCACCAAAAGUAUAUAGCACCUCCUAAAGUCCUCUUGAAUAAUAACACCUAAUUCAACCUCCAUGUGUCAUACGUUCAAAAGUUGAAUUAUUGGAAUCUAAGGUCUUUCUCUUUUGCUGCCCAUAUACAGUACUCUCCUGCUUUGUCUACAUUUUCUCAUGCUCCUUACAUAUCUUAAAACCCUAACACGUGAUUUUUCCUCUUCUAUUACCCUAUUAUCCGUUAAAACACACGACAGAGAACCGAACGCAAAUAUAGUACGUUGGAGUUGGCCAUUACCUUACGAUACGAAAUCAAUGUAAAUCGCAGGAGGAAUCAAACAAAACCGUACGCAAUCAAAAUAAAAGGGCAACAUUUCACUAGUAGGAAAUUAACAUAAUAUUGAUUUGAUGAUAAUAACGACACUUUCCCAGUAAAAAAGAAGGAAAUUUUCACCUCGCGACGGGAGAGCUCGGCCUUCCAAGCGGCCUCGCGCUCGGCGACCUCGCGCUCGCGCUCCUGGAUGUAGCUCUGCAUCUCGCGCUCCUUCAUGAUGCGGUCCUGGAUGUCGGCGUCCAGCGCCUCCUGCAGCUCCUUCACGAACCUAUCCACCACCGACUUUAUCCGCAGCGACAUCGCACCACAUCAAUUCACCCUCCCCUCUUCUCCCUCCUCCGCUCAGAUUCUGAGCGGUUUCUAAUGGAGGAGAUCUCCAGGGUUUUCCGGCGAUCUUUUUCAGAUUUGAGAGCUGAGACUUUUCGCUCCGAUGGCCAACCUCUCGAGAUCGGGUUUAACACCAACUCUCGCGAGAAUCUAUUCUUUUCCCCCUUCGACUCUUUUCGCCUCUAACAAAAGUUUUGGACGGGAUUAAGUUUACCUGAUUCGGGUGCAAUUCGUAUGUUGUUAGCCUUUUUUAUAAAUUCGAUCUGGUCCAAAAAUGGACGGAUUAAGUCGGGUCAAGUGAAAAUGAAUAAGUUAGGCCCGUGACUUGAAACUAAGGAGCUGGAAUAUUACGAACCCCAACCAAUCAUAAAGUGCUUAGACCCAGCGGGCCGUAUCAAGUAACUUCCUAAUUUUGUUCAUUCCUAUUUUUUAGUAUGAUUUUGUGCGCAGAGACAAUGGCCAGCAUGAUUGGCCCUACGUAUUACGUAACGUUAGCUUAAACAGGACUUUUGAAUUUUUUUAAACCCGCCAUAAUAGAAUCAAACUAGACCUUCAAGAAGGUCCAAAAGCCCUCUCAUUAAAUCCCUCAAUAACUUCCUCUUUGAACUCGCUAAUUUUGAAUUUCAGCUAAGCCAAAUAAUAAGCUGCGACAAGGCCAUGCCAAACGUACGUGGAGAUGACCAACCAAUCUUGCAUUUAGAUAGUCGUGUUACCCAUGCCCGCAGCGUUAGAGAUUUUUUCCUCUAUUUUUUUUUUUUUUCAAUUUAUAUAAAGGGCAUAGGUCAGCGCAGACUGGAGAAGUAUAGAACUUGAGAAAUACUAAACAGGAGUACAAACUGCUGCGGCAAUCGCCCUGGCCUAAAAGAUGAAAAACGGGAACUCAUCAGGUGAGCAACUAAACUAGAACUACAAUAAGAUAUCGGAGAUCAUAGGAGACAACAAUAUAUAUAUAUAUAUGAGUUCUGAGUCUUCUGACAAUUCUGCAGCGUAACACAUUAGUUUGUUCAAAUAAGCCAAGUUGGUUGUGGCUAUAGAGCAUGGAGUCUAUUCCUUGAGAUGGAGAAUCCCGUAUGGAACAGCAAAACAAAAUGAUUCGACGACAGCAUAGAAGAUUUCAAAUUUAUCGUCUUCUGACCAUACUGAAUCAGAAGCUUUAUGAAGUAUUCACGAGCUGUGCUAAUUAUUUUAGUUAUCAUUAUCCAAAUGUUCACAAGGUUCGAGGUGCUGCUGAUAUACAAACAAUCUCAGCACUCUCUCGUAUAUAGCUUCCCAUUUCAGCUUGUUACGAUGUGGCAACAAAUCCUUUGUGUGCUAUUGAUUGAUAGUAGAGGGAGUGUUGAAUCUCACAAUUCCGCCCUAGAUUCUUCAUCCUUGGCAUGUUCGUUGUAAGAGGCCAAACCUCUGAUGACGGACUCGUAUAUCUCUAUACCUUUAAUGUACUCAUCUUUGUUCAAGAACUGCAAAAGAAUGAAAAGGCUGCUUGUUAAACGCCAGCAUUUAUUCCCUCAAAAAGAAGAAAGAAAAAGGCAUCUAUUAACUAUCUUUGCUGCUUGGUGAUUCGUAGUUUCAUACAUAAACUGAUAAAAUAAGAGCACAUGAAAAUAUAAUGGCAUAAAAUCUAACCCAAAAGUGUGGAACAGCUGAGUUGAAUUUAAUUUCCAAAGAUCAGAAUUAGUUGGUGGCCAGAUAGACCAGAUGGACGGUGAACUAGUGACGUCAUCGCUGGCUCAUGUAUUACUAAAUUUAGCUAUUUUUAUCCCUCUAUAUCACUAAGAGAAAAUCUAUAGAACUGGGGAAAAAACAUACAGGAAUAAGAAAGGUAAUAAGCAAUGGCAUAAUAAGAACAAAGAAGCAGACCUCAUUAUGGUCAUGGAGCAAUAUAGGUGUGUUUGCCAUUGGUGAAAAACCAAACGCCGGGAUCCCACGUUCUCGGAAAUAGCGAGCAUCAGUUGAGGCAGGAAAUAUCUCCGGCUUACCAAGUUUGACAUUGGCUUUUCUGAUGGCUUCUUCCAACAUCGUCCACCAUGGGUUGGAGUUAUCAGCAGGAGUGAUGACAGGCUUUCCGAACAUGUCAUACACAGAAACUUUCUGCUUAAACUGUCCAAGAAAAAGAAGCAUGUUCAGGAUAUAGAGUCAAACACAAAAACAUUUUAGAUGAAAAAAUGUUAACGUCAUCAUCUGAAAAUUAGACGAAUGAGCUUUGUAACGUACAGCAAAGAGUUUGCUGACAUUUCCUUAGAAUAUGUUUAUCCGCAUACCGACCGUUUCUAGCGCAAGAGGCAAAGGGCUUGCUGGUUGGUAUCUGAAGUCCCAAGUUCGAAUCCUAGUUAAUUUACAUUUCUAGCUAAGAUUAUUUUUAAAUGAAAUAAACGAAGCGGGUAGCAUGCUACCUUACCCACAUCGAAAGAUCAACUAAUAUACUAACAGAUGAACUUUCUUUCCUGUAAUGACUAAAAAUCCACUAAUAUUUAAUAGGUUAUAGUGUAUGGAGAUUGGAGACCCAUAAUAUAUAGGACAUUCUGAAAUAGGCCCCUGAACUUCAAAUUUUUUUUUUUAUUGACACCACCUCAAAUUUCAAUUGUUUUGGCUUAAGUUAUUCCCAUCAAAUAAAAGGGGAUUAUGGUGAUUCUGUUAAUUUUAGCGAUUUUACUGACUUUUUAGCUGAUGGAAAUGUUGGUCUCAUUAAUUGUUAAUAGCCAAUGAAGGCAUUAAUUCAUGAAAUUCCUAGCAGGAAUCGACUCCUACUGAUUGUCAAAGUAAAUAAUUUGAUUCCUCCUACUGAUUGUCAAAGUAAAUAAUUUAUUAGCAUAUAUGCUCCAUAUCCCGCUUUUAUCGACAUUUGAGUUUUCACUCAACUAUAUUUUGUAUCACUUACACAAUUACAUUCAGUGAAAAUAUAACAAGUCUUGCAUCACAAGACCGAUGGAUGGACAAUAAAAAAUAAUAAUAAUAAUAGUAACAAUAAGAGCAGCAAAAUGAACUAUUAACUCAAAUCUCUCUAAUUAAAAUGAAGUUACAAAUGAGAUCAGGACCUUCCAAAGAACCGAUGAAUACUUGGUGUUAUAACAAGCCCGGAGAGCACAUACCUCAAAUGUCAUGUUACGCGAGGAAGGUGCCCACUCCUCUGCAAUACGUCUCUCUAGUUCUUCAGGAUUAGCAUUAGGAGGGACUCGGACAUCAAGUCCGACCUGUGCUUCAGAUGGCUGCAGAUUCAUGACAAAACCCUGAAAGAAAAGUUUAUAGGAUGUACUAGUGAGAUAAAAGGUGGCGCUGCACAACUAAAAAUCUUUAAUAGCAUAGUGGUAUUGCACAAUUAAAAUAUUUAAUAGUAUCUCUAGAAUUAAACAACUUAGAACUUCAUGCUUAAAAAAAAAAAAAGAAGAACAAAAAAAGAAAAAGCCAAAGCGAACCACCCUCAUAAACAAAAGCUACUAUAUAUUAGAAAGAACAACAAAAUAAUAAACUUAAAUUAACCUCUAGAAAAAGAUGUAAUCAACAAAAGGCAGAGAAUGCAGGAAAAAGACCAAUAUAUCUAGAGGGAAUAAGAAUAUUGAAAUUUGAGAAUUAGCAAAAAAAUCAAACAGCAAUAACCAAAUAAACUAAUCAACGCAUGAAACUUUUCUUACAGUGGGUGAUGGCGUCCCAGCCUUCAAAUACACCAAAUUGACUGAGACAACUUCUCCCUCGGCCUUCACCCCGGCCUUCACCAGAUCAAACUGCGCUGCCCUGAACCUCCUGAUUAUUUCAACGCUCUUCAUCAAAUUCUCCAUGGCGCUCCCAUCAUAUAGCUUCGCCCCAUGCCCCGGUGCGCCACGCGCUUUAAUGACGAGCCACCACGGGCACCUCUCCCCGUAGAACACCCUGUACUCCUCGCCAGGCGAGGCUAAACCCUCAUCGAGCACCAGACCGACGUUCAUCUCUUCAAACUUGGAGGAUGACGCGAAUGCCCCGGCACCAUCCUUCCCUCCGAUCUCCUCGUCGGGGACAAAGGAGAGGUAGAUUGUGCGGUCAGGGGUGAAUCCGGCAGCGCGGAGGCGGCGGAUGGCCUCUAAGUACUGCAUCCCUACGCACUUCAUGUCCUGCCAGUGCAUGGUACACAGGUAAGCCAUUUGAAUGGAAAGGGAGGUUAAACUGCAAUAAAUUUCAACUUCCUAGUCUCAGUUACAAUAAUUUACUCCCCUAAGCUUACUUUACAUAAGAAUUAAAAGGCUUCAACAAGCAUACUAUCCGAAAGAAGGGCAUCAAGUGAGCAACAUCAUUAGGCCAUCAUUGCUUCGCUUAGUUAAGAUAGAAACAUUCAGGACUCAAUUCUCAAAACUGAAACUAUAAAUAAGCAAUCCAAAUGAAAGUCAAAGUGAAAUUCGGAUCAAACUUCACGAACUACGUUUAUAACUAAGGAAAAUAAUAAUAAUGAAAAAGGAAAAAGUCUAUUGAAUUUAGAGAGAUGGAGAAGAGAAGAGAAGGAUGGGAGGGGUAAAGGGGCGAUUGGGGUGCCUGGGAGCCGCGGGCGAAGAUGUGGCUGGAGGAGGAAUCGAGGUGGGCGGAGAAGGGGGGGUGGGCCCACUUGAGGGGCUCGGCGGGGACGACGUCGGUGUGGGAGUUGAGGAGGAGGGAGGGGAGGGAGGGGCGGCGCCCGGGCCAUCGGAGGAGGACGAGGGGCUUCCCGAGGGCGAACUCUAGCGUCUCCGCCUCCAGCCCGAGGGCGUCCGCCUCCGACCGGAGGAACGCCGCCGCGCCGGCGUAGUCGGGCUGCGGCUGGGCCGUGUCGCUCCGCGCCUCGGGCCCCGCCCACACCAGCAGCAGCUCCAGCUCCUCCGGCUCCUUCACCGGAAAACCCGCCGCCGCCUCCGCCUCCGCCUCCGGCGGCGCCGCCGCCACCGCCGCCGCGAGGAGGUAGAGGAGUACGGAGAGGCGAGUGAAAGGAGAAGAGAAGAGCCUGAUGUUGUCUCUCGCCAUUAAUGUUCUCUCGUUUUCUCUGUAUUUUGUGAACUGAGAGAGUCUGAAACAGAUGGAAUAGAAGGGGAAGAGGUCGCAGAUUACAACCAAUUAUUUUUAUUAACAAGCAGAGGUGAGGAGAAAGCGUAGUGGUUGGUGCAGACUGCAGAUUUUGGAGCAUCUUAGCCCCCGUUUGGUUCGGAGUUAAGAAAAAAUAGCUAUUCCAGGGAUAGGGUUAAGUUCAUGAUUAAAAUGGUGUUAAAAUUUUUUUGUGUUUGGUUGGAGGUUGGAGUUAGUCUAGGAUAAUGAAAAACAGUGUUUGGUUGGAGUAGAUGAGAUAAGAAAAUAAUGAUUGAUAAAGAAGAAAAAGGUGAGGGCUCGGAAUGCGUGCGGGGUUAAAGUUGGGAGGGGAAGGGGGAGGGGGAGGGGGAGUGGGGUUAGUAAAUCCUACUAACCCGGUUUGGGGUGGGAUUUACUAACCCCACCCCAAAAAAGUAGUGUUUGGGUAUAAAUUGAGAGUUAAGGGGUUAUUCCACCCCUUAACCCCCAACCAAACGGUGGCUUAGGGAUAAAAGAAUAAAAUAAAAUAAAAAAAAAUCAAGAGAUCAGCGACGGGAAGGGGCGAGAUGUAAUAUUAGUAUAGAUCCGACGGUUAAGAUGAGAUCAACUGUCGAAUGGAGGGUCUGGAUCGAGGCAAAUCGAUGCAAUGGGAACUCCGCAGAUGGUGAGGUAUCCUUAAACCUCACCCAUCUCAGCCGGAACUUUGCUGAUCAGUUGGGUCUGCGCCCAAUUCACUAAAUUGGGCCGAGCGCCAGACCUACAGGUCCGGAAAAGGAUCCGGGCCAGAUUCCAGGUUUCGGAUCCUUUCGAGUUGAAACGGCUAAUCCUCAUUUCAUUUUCUACAUACUGAUAUCUUUUGAAUCGUUUGCUCUCGUGUGAGCUUCUGUCCUUUCAUUUUUAUUUUUUUUCCUUUUCCAGCCAGCUGAGUGGAUUGCAACAUUCUAAGCUCAAUGUAAACCACCAAAGAAAUUGGAAGGGAGAUUAAGAGCUUAUUACAGUCUAAUGGGAUGCACAGAUCAGAGCAAGCAGCCAAUGUCCUUUUUCUUUGUUUUACUGUAAUUUGACGUGUAAGAGUUGUUCUUCUUAAUGUUCAUCGAACCAUUAUGGGCACGAGGUGUGCUUUGUACCAUUUGAUUUGAAGUUUUUGUUGAAUGCAUUGUAAUUACGAAGAGUUAAUUAAUUAGCAUAGCAUGAUGCUACUAAUGUUGCAUGUAGAAGAAAAGCAUUACGUUUAAUUCACUUUGAGAGAAUUGAAAAACUUCUCAUUCCCAAACAACAGUUAAAUGCAGAAGAUCACGAACAUCCCAGAUCAAGGUUUCUCUUAGCUAGUCACUAGGUUGCUCUUGAGUCUUGACUCGAGACAUACCCACCGGGCUAGAUGAAUCCACGGUCAAAACAACACGCAUAAAAACUGAGCGUUCGAGUAGGAAACAAACACCCAAGCUUUUAUUAGAGUCAAAAACUCCACUCAUCCUCAAAAAUAACAAACAAACAUCUAAACCAACAGUCAAAAACUCCACUCAACCUCAAAAUUAGCAAGCAAACACACACCAAAACAUCCACCACAGAAGAAUUUGAGGGUUUGCAUUGGGUCGGUAUCAACUGUUAAUGAUUUUAGAACCUGCAGUGAGCCCUGCAGUUGCUCUCGCAGUCGUAGAAGCAGGGACCGUCGCAAUGCAUGGGGCAGAGCAACUUCAUUCCCCUACACCGUCCUUCCGUCAUGCAUCUCGCGUACUCCCCUACUCUGUACAAGCUCGAAGUGUAGCUUGGCCUAUGCCUGUGCCAAUGCCUCCUGGCUAUGUACCUUCCUCCCCUCCCUUCAAUGUUGUUGCCUUCGUCACCGCCACCUCCACCGCCUCCUUUUCCGCCGCCGCCGCUGCCUCCUCCUCUGCCUCCGCCACCUCCGCAUCUCCGCCAACAGUCGCCGUUGCCCUCUCCUUCUUCUCCAUCACUUCCGCCGCCACCGCCUCCUCCUCCACCACCCCCGAUGCCACCCCAUCCCCAUCCCCACUGCGAGCAUAUCGCUUUUGGUUGGAGAUAGAAGGCAUUAGUUUGUGAGCUUGAACUUGAGCUUCAACUACUGCUGCACCAAGAGUGUUGUUUGCGACGUCGGUGCUGUUAUCCUUGUUGCGGAGAGAGGGUGCCGCCAUGGUGAUACUUAAAAAAACAAAAGAGAAUAAAAGGAAGCUCUGCCGAGGGAUCCUCACUAAGAAGAGUCCCAUGGCAAAAGCUUCAAUUUCCUGUGAAGAUUUCCUUGUGUCUAUUUAUGAUGCAAAGGAGAGGGAAAGCAACUACUUAUCAUCUUAUAUUGAUCGAUGAGCAAUGGUGGUCGCAAUAAUAGAGACAUGCAGAAAAGCAAAGGGCUGGGACUGACAUAGCCAGAUAGAUGCCUUGCAUUGCACUCCUUCCCCCACCAUGGGAAUUAAGGAGCCCCUUGUGCUCCCUAAUUACCAUUGUUCAUUGCUCCACCAAUAUUUUUUCCAAUUAUAUCAUAAGUGACAUGCCUCUUUCUCUCUCUCUACUAAUAAUAGCAUGCUCACCCACUUGCUGCACUCAUGGUGGGAGAUGGGAGGAGGGAGCCUCACUACUAGUGUCUCAUUUAGCAUCUUUGGAUUUGGUCCCUCUCCACACACCUCCUAGGAUUCGGUCCAUGCUAUGUAUGUAGAAAGUUUAAUGCGUGUUAAUACUAACACAAUCUCAACGUGUUCUUCUAUGCAGCUUUAGAGAUCUAAACAUAGUUCAAGAACAUCUGAUUCUAUAGGGAUAUAAUAGUUAUCACGCGCACUGUAUUUUGACUAUAUUCCUUUAGCUGAUCAUCAGCGUGAUCUGUGGCACUCUUUCUUCUACUCUUCUUUUUUUUUAAUUUUUUUUAUUAAGGUGGCUAAAUCAUCGAUUUCUCCGAAGUUAUUAGCUAAUAGCUUCAAUGAUGACUCCUUAAUAAAUGAUUCGAUACCUAGGAGUACUAAGUAUGGGAAAUAGCAUGGAUAUUAACUCCAUGAUUAUCAGGUGUUAAUGACGGGAAAAGACUCUUUAGUCGAUGGCAACUGCAGCAACUGGAAAAUUGUCAUUAUUAUACCGUUGCCUCCAUCUGUGCCACCACCUCUGCUGCUGUACUCGUCCCCACCUCCACUAUCACCAUUUGUCCCACCUCCUUCAAUAACUAGUAAAAAAUUUUAGUAGCGCGUGAUUAAGAAAAAAAAAAUGUAAAUUAUACAUAACACAAACAAAUUCAGCGUAAAGUAAGCGAUUGCGGAGUGAACCUGAUUCAAUAAUCUCGGACAAUUGGGAACCUCGUUGCUAGUAGGGCCAAAAAAUGUGAAAAGAAACGCGAAAGGGUCAUACAAUAAUCAUAAUUCAUAUAUACAAUUGAAAGAGGCUUCUUCACAAGUAAGGCUAAUAUCUGAAGUGAGAUGCCCCCUCUCCUGCGUGUGGGUUCGACUCCAAAACUUCCCAUCUGUAAUAUAUUUUUAUCCCCGAAAAUUGGAUCCGAGCAAAUUCUUUUGUCUAGAUCAAAAUUACGGAUCCUAAAAAUUCCUAUAUCCUAGCAUGUUUUGGAAUUAUAUUGAGAAAUCCAAAUCCAAAUUUAAAUUUAAAAGCUUCAGUAAAUUGCUUGCUGAAUUUGAGUCUCUACUUACUUCUGCUGUCUAGUCUUUUAACUCUCUAAACAUAAACUUUCUACAAUAGAGCCUGCACGUUUUGAGAGAUAGCUAGCACACUACCCGCUUAGAAUUUUUAGUAUCAAUCAUCAAGUUCUUGACCAUUUACUUUAGAGACAGUCGGUAUUAUUUUAUUAUUAUUAUUAUUAUUAUUUAUUAUUAUUGUGCACACGUAUGGAUUGGGUGUCAACUCUCUCUGACAUACACUGAGGUUCGGUCGGCAUCUUUAAAGACCGGGAACGCAACCCAGGUUCCGAAUCGAGCAAUCUAGCUCGGCCCAUAAUAUCUUAGGACAGGCUUGUUUGGGCUCAAAUGGGCCCAUAUUGGAGGACUAUCUAUAGUGGGCCUCUUUAUAGGCCUGCAUUCAAGACUUUUACCAAAGAUCCGCAUCUAAUUUGAUCGCGUAAAAACGGACGGUCACGAUCAACGGAUCCUCCCGUCGACAUAUUCUUAUCGAGUCUAUUUAAGGGGGUCCUCCUUUUUCCACCCUUUCCCUUCGUUCUUGUGCUCUCGCGCUCUCGACGGCGAUCGACCUCAACACCUUCCUCACCUCGUCGCCGCGAGAAAGGUACGCAUCCUAGAAACCCUUUUUAAAAUUGUUGGUCUAUUUCGAUCUCUCCUUUUUGCUCUCUCGAUCCGUCUAAAUCUCUCUUCGAUUUAAUUGUAAUAGCUAGGGCUUGAUCGUCAGAUCUACAAACCCUAAUUUGCGGAGCUUUAUAGGUUCGUAAUCUUUUCGAUUCUUAUGUUUUGAUUCACGUGAGGAUGACCUUUUCUGCAGGAGAAACCCUUAUCUAUAGUUAAUUGUUCCUAUUCUAUCUUUUCCAAUUUCCAUACUCUAUAUUGACGAUUUUUAGACGGUGUGCAGCUUAGGUUUUUUCGAAAAAAAUCGGGAUUAGGUUUUUCUCGGGUUUGAUUCCAUCACACGCUGAAUACCUAAUUUCGUCGCCAUGGAUGAACUUAUGGGAUGCCAAUUUGUUGGCGAUGUUGAAAAUUUUCUAGGGUUUGAUGCAUCUGGUUCGCUUGAACUGCCCCCUUUCCUCUUUUUUCCCUUUUAUUUCAUCAUAAAUCCAUCAAAAAUUUUGUCUUUUUUUAAAAAAUUAAAGCUCGUUCUAACUUUGUUCUUGCAAUUAUUUAGGGUUUCUGGAGAUUUCAAACUCUGUUCCAUUGCCUGCAAGGGAUGGCGGAACACUUGGCUUCGAUCUUUGGCACGGAGAAGGAUAGAGUCAACUGCCCGUUCUACUUUAAGAUCGGUGCGUGCCGCCAUGGAGACCGGUGCUCUCGUCUCCACAACAAGCCCACCAUAUCCCCCACCCUUCUCCUGUCCAACAUGUACCAUCGCCCCGACAUGAUCACACCUGGUGUCGACACACAGGGCCAGCCUAUCGAACCUAAAAAGAUCCAAGAACACUUUGAGGACUUCUAUGAGGACAUCUUUGAAGAGCUCAGCAAAUUUGGCGAGCUUGAAAGCCUUAAUGUCUGUGACAACCUUGCCGACCAUAUGAUCGGGAAUGUGUAUGUUCAGUUUAGGGAAGAGGAUCAGGCGGCUGCAGCUCUUAAGGCCCUUCAGGGCAGGUUUUACUCUGGCCACCCGAUAAUUGUGGACUUUUCUCCCGUAACUGAUUUUCGGGAGGCCACAUGCAGGCAAUUUGAGGAGAAUAGCUGCAACCGCGGUGGCUAUUGUAACUUCAUGCAUGUGAAGCCGAUUAGUAGGGAGUUGAGGAGAAAGUUAUUUGGGAGGAAUAGGAGGGGACAGAGGAGUCACAGCCGGAGCCGCAGUCCUAGCCCAUAUCGUCGAAGGGAGAAGCGUGACUUUGGAGAUCAUCACAGAAGGGAUCGGCAUGGGAGGCAAGAAAAUGGUGGUGAGAGGAGGCGGCGGCAUGGUAGCCCUAGAAGGGAGAGGAGCCCAGUCAGGGAAGGGAGCGAGGAGCGCAGGGCGAGGAUCGAGCAGUGGAAUCGAGAAAGGGAAGAAAAGCAAGCGUGAUGCAUCGUCAUACAGGUUGUGCUCUUUCAAUCUCCUAGUUUACUUUGUGGGUGAGUUUAGUUUGAGUUAGGUUCAGCCUUCUAAUGUUGUUUUGUGGAACUAUUUGUGAUCGACAUUUCUGUUGAAUAAUUAGAUUUGUAUCUUGAAAGAUUGAUAUGCUGCAGAGUGAGUCAGUGGAUUUGUGCUCAAAAGCCAUCAAAAUAUGUAUCUUUUGGUUAUGGUCUAUUAGGCUUGUUAUGAAAUGUUCUUAUAACUUACCGGUUUGUUAUUUUCUUGUAUAAGCAUCACAUUUCUUACUUUUGUUUUUGGACUUGGUAUCAAACAUAGAUUCAAGCUGACUUGAUAAAAUCACCUUUUAGUUUAGAGGAGUUACUAGAUUUUGCAAUGAGAUUUGCAAUCUAAGUUAAAAUUUCUGAUUGUUUUCUUGCUGCGAUAUGGUUGAUGAUAUAUGUGGGUGCUGUAGCAAGGAAAGUCUAUUGGUCUGUUAAGCAGUCUAACACAUUUUGCUUAGAAGACCUGCAAGUCAUAUUGGUUCUAGUAUAUGUCAAGACCGGAUAAGAAAAGUUAGAAAUAUGUUCAGAUGAUGAAAGCUUAUACAACCUUCUUUCUGUUAGGAUCAUCAUCCUGCCGUGAUGAGGCAAUAGAAAUCUUAACAUGCAACUAGUUGUGGGACUUAGCAUGUUUAUUAAAUUUUAGUCAACAUCGGGUUUUUCCUUUUUUUUUUUUUUUUUUCUUAUACUGGGACACUCUCAUUAUGUCGGUACUUAAAUGUUAAAUGAUGUAAUUUGUUCCCUAAGUGAGCUUACCCAGUAGUACAAGGGAACCAAAAUGUAUUGCACACAAAAAUAGUAGGAGGCGGCUUGUGUAUUUGUUAUGUUCCUCUUGAUGGAUUGGGCAGUCUCAAGGAGUGAACUCUGUCAUGGAAUCAAUAAUUACGAGCAGACUCUAGUGGCGUGGGGCGGUGGAUAAUACCAAGAUGGCAUUUGUCCCAUCUGGCAAUGCUAGAGGUGUUGUUGUUUUCUUGGAGGCAUCGUCUUAUGUCCUCUACAGGUAAUUAUGAAGUUAAGCUUUAAGAACUUCUAUACACUGGUGGUGAGCUGGGAAUGGUUUUCGCCCCAUUCUUUCUGCAUUUGAUGUGUGAGCAGGUUCUGUUCUUUUGCAUAGCACCUACUUGGAACUGUUUGGUCAAUACGUGAUAUGUCAUUAUAGAGCAAUUGAUGGUUUGCGCUGUGUGUUUGUGUGUGUGUUCGUUAUGGCUUGUUGAAGCUGCUACUAAGUUCUUCGAAGCAUGAAUGAUCCAGCUUGAUGCGCUCCUCUCAUUGUUUUGCUCUGAAAUUUGAGUUCUUAAUCAGGUCUGACGCAGGGGUGGGUGGAUGAUGUCGAUGGUAGUGUUUGUCAAUGUGCCGGAACUCCAGGUUUUCUAUUGGCUCAGUAACUGAGCACUGGAUAGGGUCAGGGUUAUAGUCAGAUAAUGAUUAGGUAGAAAUCUGCGGACAAGUAUGUAGGGCUAUAUGCAUGCGGACGCGUGUGUUCCACCUUUGCGCCACCAACUUUUUGAUUGUGCAUUUCAGUAAUGGACAACUAAUGUUGUUUCAAAUGUUAUUCAGGAUAAGUAUUAUAAAUGUUCCCUUACAAGGCAACGAUGUCAACUGUGGUAGAUGAGUAGAUGACUUUAGUGGCACGGUAGUGUCACAUUUGGUACUAGGGUUGAAUAUUACUGGCCGUGAUUCCAUUUGAGUGAGAUGCUAGUAGGAGAAAAGCCGAUAACAUUUGCAUGAAAAGACCAAUCGUCUUUUUUUAGUGACUAUUGCCCACACGCCAACUUUUUGUGAUGCUGUAAAAAGGAUAGAUAAACAAAACUAAAAGAUUUCAGAGAACGCAUCAACCAAGCUUAAACUCCACAAUGGGAUUGCUCAAAUAGAAAAUUUGGGGGUGGUAUAAAAUCCAACCAGAUAUAACAAUUGUGUAGGAAAAUAUUUAGAAGUAGAGUGAAAUUACUAUCUAGCCUUUUCGAAUCCACUUCUGACGUGGUAAGCCAGGCCCAGGCAAAAAGCAAAACCUCCGCACAGCUUUUUACCAGAAUAAGAUAAGAGGCCCUUUCCAGAUUUAGCACUUCCCAAGGCACAGUAGGGUAGCGGCCCAUUUAAGGCCCAGCCCAAAUCCCUAGAUUUACCAGUAAAUCCGUUAUGUACAACAUCGUUAUCUGCGACACCACUAUUGGGGUCCCGCAGGGUGGGUACGACACGUCAGUCACUCUGUGAUGACAUACAACGGUUACACCGAAGACUUUCCGCCGAGUAUGGUAGGUGCAACAGCGAUUUUUAGCGAAGUCUCACCUACAUCGCUCCGCGUGUAAAUCCGAAUCCACAUCGCGCAACGUCCGAUCUCGAAAUGUACGGUCGUAGAUCCUUUUAUAGAAAAAGCCUGUAGAUGCGGCCGACGCAUUUUUAAAUUCCUUAUAUUUCUCCCAGGAGCUUAGAAGUAAUAUUGUCAAAUGUGAGGGGCAUUCGCGUAAUGUGGGCGCGGAGGUUUGGUGGAGAGGUUGUUGUAAGUAUCGCCCCCCGGUAUAUAUUACCGCAGUUGAUGCAGUGGAAAAGAAGCGACACAAGAGAGACGAAGAAAGAAGGAGAAGCGGAGAGAGCAAGAAAAAGGCAGUUAGAGAGAGAGAGAGAGAGAGAGAGAGAGAGAUGGAUUCCGAUUACGGCGUUCCUCGCGAGCUCUCCGAUCUCCAGAAGACGAGAGCUCUCUACCGACCCGAGCUCCCUCCGUGUCUUCAGGUUCACCUUCUUCCUCCUCCUAGGGCUUCCUUUUCUCGUCGCCAUUGUUGUUCUCCGCUUUGAUCCGUUGCCUGAUCCUUGUAUUCUUCUUUCUUGCAUUGCUACUGAUCGAUCAUUACAAUGUUGAAUAUGUACUGUUGAUCGAGCGAUCUUGUUUUUCUUGGCGUUAGAUCGGUGGGUUCGAGGCUCUGAUCCUUAGAUGGGGUGGGAGAUGUGUUUUAUUGAAUGGAUCGGGAGUUUCUUCGCCUUCUUAUUUUUAGGGUUUCUAUAUGUGUGGAUCUGUUGUCCCUUUCAACGGGACACUGUAUCGGGCUUCGAUUUUUAAAAUUCUGAGUGCUUUUUGUCCUCUUUUUUUUUUUUUUUUUUUUUUGCAUAUUUGUACCAUAAUUUUUAUCUAAUUUAUCUCUUUUUUUUUUUUUUUUUUUUUUGGUUUUGAGGUUUGGACCAUUGAUACUGUGCCCUUUUUUGGAUCGUUCUUCGUUUUGGGGGGUCGAAGAAUUGCCUCAUAGGCAAUAUUAGGAAAAUGCGGAGCGGUAUCUAUGUAGAUCCGUGCGAAUACUGGUGCGAGUAUGAUGGGUAAAUUUAUUUUUGAAUAACGGUAGCUGUAGACUCGAAUUAGGUCCAAGGUAUUCUUCUUAGAAUGAUUGGUUUGGGAUGUGUUCCUGUUGACAGCGACAUAAAUUAGAAACCAACCAAUCAGAGAAAGGUAGGUUGACCCUUCAUGGACUGCAGGAAAAAAGCAUCACAAUGUAAACCAUAUGCUCCACCUCUAUGCUUCUUACUUCCUCAUUUCUUCGUCUUCUUCUUGGUCGCGUUCUUCUUUUCUCGUGUAUCUAUUAAUUGCGAUAAUGAUUGAAUUCGUGAUUUAGAAUUACCUUGCUGGUAAAAAUCCUUGGCCUGCUAUUGUUUUGCCUUUGUAAUCUUUUGCAGGUUGCCUAGUGUGAGUUUGGUAGCAUUUGAACCAAUCUUUUAAGUUUUAAUUCUGUUCACAUAAUCAGGGCACUACGGUGAGGGUGGAGUUCGGUGAUGCCACAACUGCUGCAGAUCCUGCUGGAGCUCAUGUGAUCAGUCAAGCAUUUCCCCACACUUAUGGACAGCCCUUGGCUCAUUUCCUGCGGGCAACCACCAAGGUACCUGAUGCGCAGAUCAUAACGGAACAUCCGGCUAUCAGGUACAGACUCCUUAUGUUUUUAUUUCUUUAUAUUAAGGGACUUUUCAGUUUGAUAUCUGCAAAGUCUACACAGAGCGAAGUCGGCGGUUGUCAGAUGCUUAGUAGCACUAGUAAAUUGAAUUUCUGUAACAUGCAUCAUCUUUGAAAACAUGGUAUUUUGGACUUUUAGUUAAAAAAUUGACAAGAGAGUGUAACCAUAUUUUGGACUCUCUUUGUGGCAGGGUUGGUGUUGUUUUUUGUGGGAGGCAGUCCCCUGGAGGGCACAAUGUCAUUUGGGGACUUUAUGAAGCUAUUAAAUUGCACAAUCCGGACAGCAAAUUGUUCGGUUUUGUCGGUAUGUGUGGUUAAUAUAUUUUUCGGUUGUUGUACUUAUCAACUACCAGCUCUCUUUACUGCUGUCAUUUAUUCAUAUCAUAUAUUCAAAUAAAUUUUGUUAUCAACUACCAGCUUUCAAUGCUUUUGCUGUCCUUCCUCAUAUGUACACUGCUACCAAUUUGUACCAGUUGGAAGAUGAGAUCCUUUAUUUAAUUCUUAGCUUUUGCCGCCUUUCUUUUGGAACAGGUGGUACUGAAGGUCUUUUUGCACAAAAGUCGUUGGAAAUCACAGAUGAUAUUCUUUCUACCUAUAAAAAUCAAGGUUUGGAAAGCUUGUAGUGAAUGGUGAUAUUAACUGCUAUUUGUAUUAUAUUCCCAAGUUUGAAGUAUAUGACAAAUAUGGUUCUAGGUGGUUAUGAUUUGCUUGGCCGGACAGCGGAUCAAAUUAGAACAACCGAGCAAGUUAAUGCUGCGAUGGCUUCUUGCCAAGCAUUGAAGUUAGAUGGCCUAGUUAUCAUUGGAGGUACCUAAUUUGGAAUGUUCAUUCUAUUGAUCUUUCUCUGUAGAAAUAAUAUAUGACUUCUCUCUUCACUUUUUGAAGGAGUUACAUCCAACACGGAUGCUGCCCAACUUGCAGAGACUUUUGCCGAAUCAAAAUGCUCGACAAAGGUACUACAAGCACAUGCUUGAGCUGGCUAUGACUUCGAUACCUGCUUGCUUUCUAUUCUCUCCACAGUUUUAGUAUCUGAAACAAAAACCUUGACAGGUUGUAGGUGUUCCUGUUACCUUGAAUGGAGAUCUUAAGAAUCAAUUUGUUGAAACAAACGUUGGCUUUGAUACGAUAUGUAAGGUAUGGUUCUAUUGUAUAUGCUGUAAUUUGUUGGUAGACUAUAUAAAGUCAAAUGUGAGUCAUAUUUGAAUGAGGAUAUUUAAUUCGAAACUUUGUUUUCCUUCUCCUUUCUGACUUACCUUCUUCUCCUGUAUUGCUUUUACAUCAAUACUUUUGUGAUGGGGGGCAUACAACUUCAUAAAAUGGAAGACCUAAUGUUGUUUGAGCCCGAGAAGACAGAUUCUAUUUAUUUUGGAGUGUUAAAUGUUUUCAUAUUUCUGUAUAUUAUUUACUUAUGCAUCCUGAUUUUGAAUUUCUUUUAAGUUCAUAUAAUAUCAAAGCCUGAUUAUUUUCUUUACUUUCAGGUGAACUCACAGCUAAUCAGCAAUGUGUGCACAGAUGCUCUUUCUGCAGAAAAGGUAACGCAUAAUUCCUAUUGCUUCUAAACCUGUAUGGACACUGUUGCCUAAACUACCUGUUACAAUUUGGGCUGACCGGUAAAGAGUAGUCUUAGUUUUUUACUUUGUGAGAUGCAUAAUUUUUCUGCUACAUUCAAUGUGCAGAAGUUGCAUAGAGCUGAUGCAGAUUAGGCCUGUGAGAAUAUAAAUCUACAUUUUGAUAUUCUAUGUUCCAGUCAAUUUAUUGCUUUUGUUUCUCUUUUGCAGUAUUAUUAUUUUAUUCGUCUGAUGGGCCGCAAGGCAUCUCAUGUGGCUUUGGAAUGUGCACUCCAGUCGCAUCCUAAUAUGGUUGGACAUCCUAUUUUACUCAUGCGCAUUUCAUUUAUUAUAAGUUGCAAAAACAUGCACUGUCAAGUUAUAUUUUCGGUAUAUAUUGAGAUCAAGUUACUUGACUCAAUUCUCAGGUCAUCCUUGGUGAGGAGGUGGCUGCAUCAAAGCUUACUAUUUUUGACCUCACAAAACAGAUAUGUGAUGCAGUUCAGGCAAGGGCAGGUAAUGGUUAGAACUAACUGUUCUAAUACCUAACAUUCUAGGAAUGGUUUUUUUGCCUAUUAUUCAGGUUCAAGCAUACCCUAUCUUUCCUGCACAGAUAAAUAUCAUGGCGUCAUCCUCAUACCCGAGGGACUUGUGGAAAGCAUACCAGAACUGUACGCCCUGCUCCAGGUAUUAAAUGCAACUUAUUAUUAUUUUCUGUUUGUUUUAUUGGCACUUUGAAGUUGUUCUACAGUUUUAGCAUCUCAUUUCUUUUUUCCCUCAAGAUUCUGCCCUUUUAUUGAGUUGUUUAACGGGUUUUUUGAAGGAAAUCCAUGGCCUUCAUGUCAAAGGUGUUUCAGUUGAGAACAUUUCUGCUCAGCUUUCACCAUGGGCAUCUGCACUGUUUGAAUUUUUGCCACCAUUCAUUAGGAAACAGGUUUUCUUCUAUUAAUUUGUUGUCACCUUGUGAAAUUAUUCAAAUCAACAUCCGUACUGUUUUAACCAACCUGAGGUAUGCAAUUUUUUCCUCGUGUGAUGCAGCUGCUUCUCCACCCAGAAUCUGAUAACUCUGCACAGCUUUCUCAGGUAAAUCUGCUUUUGUGCGUCUUUCUGGUUUUUAUGAUACCAUUGCUUAUACAUUCUUAAUCCUUUUUUUAACUAUGUUUAUGUCUGUUCAGAUUGAGACAGAGAAGCUUCUCGCUCAGCUGGUGGAGACGGAAAUUAACAAGCGUUUGGUUAGAUUUCUUCUACUUCUCUUUUCUAUUUUCUUUCAAUCCUAGUAUGUAAAUUGUUCUCUUUUAUCAACUCACAAAUGCAGUAUAUGCCUCUUAAUUCCACUAGUGGGUUCUAUCUAAAAGAUUCACGAUAACUAGGAAAGCAUUUCAAAUACCAUGUUUUAGUCACUAUUGUCCAUGUUCUGUAUCCUCAUCAUCUUCAAGUUGCAAGACUACCAUAUAGGAAUCUUUAUCAUUGUGUACUUUUCGUUUUAUGUAUUAGCCAUAUUUGCAGAAGGAAGGCACGUACAAAGGAAAGAAGUUCAAUGCCAUCUGCCACUUCUUUGGUUAUCAAGCCCGGGGAUCCUUACCGUCGAAGUUUGAUUGUGACUAUGCCUAUGUAUGUACUUCUCUACUUAAUAUCUGGUUGUGCUGUGACACAUAAUUAACAUGCAAAAUUAACCAGGUUCUUGGACAUGUCUGUUACCACAUACUGGUUGCUGGUUUGAAUGGUUACAUGGCGACAAUAACAAAUCUUAGAAGUCCUGUGAAUAAGUGGCGAUGUGGUGCUGCUCCCAUUACGGUGGGGUCUAUCUUCUUAACUUUUCGUUGAAAUUUUCUGUAAAUAUCUCUUCAUUUGGGUACCAUCUAAUGUCUCUGAAAAUUAUUGGUCUGGUCACCUGAAUGAAUGGUAUCUUAUAAUUAAUUAAUGUUGUUUGCUUCCUGCUAGGCAAUGAUGACUGUAAAGCGAUGGUCUCGUGGACCUGCAUCCAGUCAAAUUGGAAAACCGGCUGUCCAUCCUGCUACAGUUGACUUAAAAGGGAAAGCAUACGAGUAUGUUUAUUUAACAAUGUUUAACCUAUGUAGUAGUAUCUUUCAUUUCAUUCCUAGGAAUGCUUUGGCAUGUCUUGACCGCGAUAUUUCUUGUAUAGUCGGACUUGCAACCUGUCUCAUAUCUGUAAACUUAGACCGAUCUUAGUCCUCUUUUUUUUUUUUCUUUAUUUUUUCCAGGAAUGGGAGAAGUGAUUUUGUGGUGCUAUAUUGUUUUGAAGGAUCAUAAAGUGAUCUGCAUGUUAUUUUAGUGCUUAAUUAUGGGAUAAUUUGAAAUUAUAAUUGAAUCUGGCCGUAGUGGGGAUUUGUCAACUAAAAGGGAAUUUUACUAUUAUGAAAUUAGGGUUGUGAAUUGUCUUGGUCUGCUAUUCUGGGUCUUUCUUGUUUUACUCUUUCUUUCUUGUCGACAACUGUUAGCUUCUUAUUCUUUUCUCUCGCUCUCUCUUUUUUUUUUCCCUUUAUAUUGUUUCUGUCAGCUAAUACGCUGCUGUCCAGGUUGUUGAGGCAGAGUGCUUCAAGCUUUUUGAUGGACGACAUAUACAGAAACCCCGGACCUCUACAAUUUGAAGGGCCAGGUGGCGAUGCUAAAUCCAUCUCCUUGAGUGUUGAAGAUCAAGAUUACAUGGGCCGGAUUAAGUUAUUACAGGAGUAUCUGGACAAGGUUUUAAUCUCGUAAACCUUACCAGCCAUGAUUAUAUUUUCUGCCUGAAGUCUCUGAAUCCUUCACUCUCUUCUCAUGCAAUAUGUUCAUGAAAAAAAAAAUCUAUCACCCUAAUUUGAACUUAAUUGAUUAUGCUGUAUUGUUUACUGCUAGCUGCUUUAACUUAAUGCUCUGGUUUUCUUUUUUUAAAAUUUAGGUGAAAGGCAUUGUGAAGCCCGGAUGUUCUCAGGAUGUUCUCAAAGCAGCACUAAGUGCUAUGGCUUCUGUAACAGAUCUGCUCACUAUAAUGUCUUCUCCUUCUUUCGGUGGCCGGGCCCCUAUCUGAGAUCUGCAGUGGGCUUCCUCAUAAGGCAACACUGCACUCUCUCCUACUUGCCUCCAUUUUCUUUCGUCUUUUUCCCUGUUUUCUGACCAGUGGUAGGAAAGUUGAAACUUUGAUUUUGGCUUCUAUUUAUUUUUGUUUACAUUUGCGGAUUGAUAGUUUUCAAUUUUGGUGGUGUCAAGUUGUUCGAUUAAUAAUUUGAUUGAUGUGGUUGGAAGCAAAUAAGAGUUGAAAGUCCCUUUGAUUUCUCUGCUUCCUUGCUGGUGCCCUAAUCCAGAUAAUUAUGCUACAUUUCUGUUUCGCUUCAGAGAGAUGUCUGAGAUGUGAAAGAUGUACUUACAGAGAUUUUUCGCAUUUGUUUAUUAAUGCAUUUAAAAGGCUGAAGAAUUUUUAUUGUUUAGUUAAGUCAGUUUCACUGUAUUACUUAGAAGAACUAGUGUGUGAUUCCCUUGACUAAUUUGCAUAAGUUCUCUCUAUUUUCUUCACUUUCUUGCUGUUUCAUGUUUUUUUUUUUUUUCUCCACUAAAUUGAAACAGUAGCGUACCGUAGGGGCAGUUGUAUAUCCUUGUGUUGGUUGGGCUUGAUCAGCCCAUGGGUCACUAUGUUUUCAUGUUUCUCUGGACUUCCUCAAGCCACAUUUUGUAUACCAUCCAGAGUUAGUAAAUUUCGCCAAAUCAACGGACGAUCUCGUGCAUGGUAAGUGAAUUUCGUGACCAAAAUUUUGAAGGGGGGGUGAACUUGCAAAUUGACCAAAACCCCUAUAUCUCAGACGACUGAAUGUUUUGGUUUGCAAAAGCUUGGCUGUGGAUGGGUGGAGUGGUGCAACUCUUCCAAUCCAGUUGAACCCGUUGAAGUUCGCGGCUAAUGGUCUUUGCAUUAUUCUCAAAAAAUGGUCUCUGCAUUCAAAAUUUUUAAAGGAUUGUUUGACUAGGGCCAAAAAAAAAAAAAAGGUUUUAGUUAAAAGCUUUUGUCUUUGGGUCUAAGAAUGUAGGCAUAAGAUUUCCUGGGUUAAAAGCACGACGAUGUUUGUCGGGCUGGGCGGAAUGUGUUUUUCUUCGACUAUGUUGGGGCGGGCCGGACGAAAGAAGCCCACGAAAACACAACCGACCCGGCCAUCUAUUUGUUUGUCUUAAAACCUAGAACUAGAAAGUUUGGCGUCGCAACUCGCAAGUUCCCAUUCCAUUUCGAGUCUUCCCAGAACCCUCUUAAACCCUCGCCGCAGCGAGCGAACGAGCGAUGUCGUCCUCCGCCGCGGCCUUCCUCGUUCGCCGGGCCCUUUCCGCACCUCCUGUCUUCCUACGGCUACGGCGCCCCCCCUCGCUCUUCUACUCGUCCCUCGCCUCCUCCCCCUCCUCCUUCCCCUCCCCUGCUCGAGCAGCGGUUCCUCUCAGCUCCGCGAGGGUCUCCUCCUUCACUCCCCUCCGCUUCGCCUCUUCCUCUUCCAAGGUCUCCGCCGACGACACCCUCAAGCGAGUCAUCGACUCCGAGAUCGACUGCGUCGUGCAAUCCGACGAUCCCAUUAGGGUAAGCACAUCCCCUCUGUCACCCUGAUUUCCCAGUGCUCCACCACCUUUCUUGUGGGUUACUUGCUGAUGCCGAGGUUGUGCUAAAAAAGCAUCUUCCGGAUUUGUUUGAUUCGUCUGUUCGUAGCUGCUUCACGAGCAUGCGUGCUAUGGAUUCUUUCCAAGUUAUAUACUUGUUGUGUUUUCAUUGGUAUUUAACAUUAAGAUUUAUUUUUGCUGUCCUGUUCUCGUAUUCAAAUCUACGAGCCCUCUCUGCUAUUAUUGAUUCGUUUUUCUUGUACGCUCCAUUAUGCCGCUCCCUCUUUUCGGGAUUGGACUCGAUGAACUCCUAACAUGGGGUUUCUAUUAUCUCCCGAAACUUGGGUUCCUUAUAGCUGAUUAGAACGGGAAAAUUAAAAUGUAUGUGAAAAAGCUCGUAGUUCUAUAAUGCCACUGUUAUCUCCUGCUUUGGUGAAUUGGCAACAUAUUGCAAGUAAUAUUUACAGUGUGUAGCGAUUAAGUUGGGCUUGGCUUCUUCAUCUGUCACUUGGGUUCUAUUAUUCUCACGAGCCCAAAUUGCAGGUUUGGCUGAGCUCGCUUUGAAGUGCCUGUGUAAGAACUCAUUAUUAUUAUAUUUUUGAUAAACAAAAUCAACAUCAAAGUUAAUUUCAAGCCUUUUUCUUUUUAAAGUGAGGGCCUAGCUUACUUGGGGGUUACUUGAUAAAGAACGUCGUAUACAUUUAUUUGAUAAGGUGCCACAUUUUGUUAUGCACACGACAAAGAAUGGCAGCAACCUGUAUGAUUUAAUUUUUCUUGCCCUGCUGACAAGUAUGCAACUACAUCGCUCGUCUUAUAUUUUGUUUUGAGGGAUUUGUGGUGUGUUCUACUUUUAGUUGCUACGUCCUAGUUGUUCUGCUCAUAAUUAUGAUCUUCAUUAUCAAUCAAGUAUUCCUAUUAAUCUUCACAAAGGAUUGAAAUUCAAAAUCCAUGCUCUGGACCAUGUGCGUGGUAAGGAUUGUCUGACACCUAUGCAUUCUUAACUUCUCUGUACAGGAAGUUGAUUUGCCUGAUGGAUUUCCUUUUGAGAUCAUAGAUAAUCCCGGUGACCAAACAGUAGUUCUUAAGCGCGAGCUUGCAGGAGAGACCAUUGAAGCCACUGUUUUCAUGAACUAUGAUGAGGAGCAAGAUUUAAAUGAGGAUGAUGAUGAUGAUGAUGCUAGGGAUGAUGGUCAUGAUGAGUCUUCCAUCAAGCCUACCAUCUCUUUGGUCGUGACCAUUCAAAAAGGAGAAGGUCCAUUUUUGGAAUUUUGCUGUAAUUUCAAUGAUGAUAAACUUGAGAUAGAGAGCAUGUCAAUCAAGAAACGUGAUGAUCCUGACGCUCAAAAUGCUUAUGAAGGUCCUGAGUUCUCGUAAGUUCUUCCCCCCUCCUCCUCAUCUUCUUCUUGUUGGGGCUUAGUGAGAUACCUAUUCUUUGCUAGUGCCCAGUUUUUUUGGUUUAUGUUUUAUUUGGAUAUACCUGUUUGAUCGGAUGUCUCAAAUCCCUUUUCUUCAUUGGAAGUAUGUUUGAUACAUAGAGGUUAGUACAUAAGAGCAUUUUAGAGUGAACAGACAUAUACUAGGUGUAAAUCUUUUUCUUUUUUCUUUUUUUUUUUUGAGGAAAAGAUAGCACGCUACCCGCUUCAUUCAUUGGAAAAGUGAAUUAAGUAACAUGAGUGAGGAAACACAGGCCUCGAAGGGGGCAAAAAAAAAAGAAAAAAAAAACUAACGGUUAUAGCGCUGCUGAUCUAUUGGAAUAAGUUGUUCCCAUUGAUUCGUCAGCUGUCUAAUUUUGUGGAUUCCUAGACAAGGGUCUAGCUCGAUCAAUCUUACACCUAAUAUAUGUACAUAAGAGCAUUUUGGAACAUUCUAUCUAUACGCCUAUAUAUAGGUGUAAAAUUUUACACCCCUCAACUUCUAGGGUUCACAAAAUUCCACAAGGGAUUUUAGUAAAAACAAGAAAAAGUUGAUAAGACAAGUGGAGGAAUAAAGGCCCUCGAAUGAGUUGGGUAUAAAAUUUACCCUGGUCUAGGGGUGUACAUGUAGUAUUGCUCUUUCCUUUUUAGCUUUUACCAAAUGAAAUUUUCAUAAUUUGUUUUUUAAUAUUUUUCUGUAGGGAUUUGGACGAAAGUUUGCAGGCUGCCUUGCGCAGGUACCUGGAAGCUAGAGGUAUCAAGCGCUCCAUGUACGAUUUUCUACAUGAGUACAUGAUCAACAAGGAUGAGCGAGAGUACUUGACAUGGUUGAAGAACAUGAAAGAAUUCAUUGAGAAGUGAGCUAUUGGUCUACUUUUCAAAACCAAGUUUUAACAGAUACUCGGGAACUUUUAUAAUCAUCUACUUCUCCAGAAGUAGAGGUCGAAAAUCAUUUCAAUAUACUGUUGUUGCUGUACUUGCCUUUUCCCAAUGUUGUUUUAGGAACCUCCUCCAUCUUCAAAGGCCUACCUUAUUGCUUUCCGAUUCGUCAUAGGUAGUACAUUUCUAUCUGGCAUGAGGAUCAUGCUGCAGCGUCUGAGAGUGAGAGAGACAUUGUUUAUGUUAUUGUAUUGUUUAUUGUAUCUGAAUUUUCUGUUUUCACUAUUGAGUUGCAUAAAUCAAAACGGCAUUUUUAAGAGACACACAGAAAAGUUGUGUUAGAAUCAGUAUGUUGGUAAUCCCAGAUUGCUGAGCAGCUGGGCGGUACAUCUUAUGUUGAUACUAUGUGAUGCUGUGUUGCCUAACCUCACAAAUGUUGUGCAUCCGCGCGUGCAUGAGGCGAAGAGAUGUAGGAACUCUUUGCGUGGAUCGAUCCAUCCAGAGUCCACUCUGAAGGCCGUAUUCAUUGCACCUUUGCCCUCUGCCCACCGCUACUCACCCAGCCCAACCCAACCAUCAAUGCCACCGUCGUCUGCCCUCUGCCCACCGCUACUCACCCAGCCCAACCCAACCAUCAAUGCCACCGUCGUCUGCUCGUAUCUGCGCCCAAUUCUCAAGUAAAAGCUGGGAGACGGAAUGGAUGAACCUGAUGAACAUCGCUAUGGUCUGUGGCUAUAAAGCAGCGGUGUGGAGUGUGGACCUCGUCCACGUGGUUGUCGAGCCACGACGCCCAAAUCGCAGAGCCUGAAUCUCGCCCGUCCGAUAUAUCAUAUAUAUAUAUGGCAAAGAAGAGAUCCGAUUCUACCGAUCUCGAUUGUUGUAAAAAUCGUACGGUCCGGAUCAACCUUCUCGAUCCUCGGCCUCGUCGGCGGCGGCUUCUCGUGUCGUCUUUCGCCGGCUCGAAAUCAGGUCGUCACCACGUGUAAAAUCAAAUCGCGUCUGCACAUAACAGCCGCGAUCCCUGAUCACCCCACACACACACACACACACACACUCUCUCUCUCUCUCUCUCUCUCGCGCGCGCGCGCGUGUUCUCUCCCGACGCAAUGGGCGAGACUAACGGCGACGUACGGACCCCCGUGACUAACGGCGGCGGACCCCCGGCGUCCGUGACGGAGCCGGCGGUAUUCCGGGGGACGGAAUAUUCCCUCGUCCGUACCAUCGUCGCCCUCGCCGUUUGGCUCGGCGGCAUCCACUUGAACGUCGCGCUCGUCCUAACGGCGCUCCUCCUCCUCCCCGCCCGCCUCGCUGCAUUGUCCGUACCCUCCCACCCCACCUCUCCCUUUUCUUUUUUUCUUUUUGCUGUUGUUGUUGUUGUUGUUGUUGUUGUUGUCGUCCUCCUCCUCCUCCUCUUCCCAUUUUGCCCUUGUGACUCUCCGGUAAUUACCCUUGCGGCCCUUCACCGCAGGGUUUUUGGGCUUCUGCUCUUCUUCAUGGUGAUUCCUCUCAACGAUAAGAACAAAUUUGGCCUCAGCUUGUCCAGGUGAGCUCUCAGGCGAUUUCAUAGCUAUAUCUUGUUAUGUUAUAAGGACUAUUUCUCUUUUUUAACUUUUUCACCUUUUGAGAGUGUGAGAAAUGUAGGUACAUUUGCAAAUAUGCUUGCGGAUACUUCCCUAUUACCCUUCACGUUGAGGAUAUACAGGCUUUCGAUCCAAAUCGUGCUUAUGGUAAACCUGCUAGUAGAUCCUCUUCAGUUUACAAAAGCCAAUUCGCCGGAACCAGUUUUAGUCUUAUAUGUGCAUUGUUAUCUAUAAUAAGUUUCUUCAGCCUUUGUUGGCUAGAAGAUGGAGUAAUGGAGUGGUCAAAGCUGUGGUGGGGUUAUAAUUUGCAAUUUUACAUAUGCAGUGUUUGGUUAUGAGCCGCAUUCUGUGUUGCCUAUCGGCAUUUGUAUUCUUGGGGAUCACACAGGGUUUAUGCCUCUGCCUAAUAUCAAGGUUCUCGCAAGCAGCGCAGUAAGUUUCUCGAGCCCAGGACUAACUUUUUUGGAAGAGCAAAUAUGAUUGAAAGCAUGGUGGUAUAUUUGAUUGCACGUACAUAUUGUGGUUAGGUGUUCUAUACUCCAAUUCUAAGACAGAUUUGGACUUGGCUGGGGUUGAUCUCUGCGUCGAGAAAGAACUUCUAUGCCCACCUUGCAGCUGGUUAUAGUUGUGUCGUCGUGCCAGGUGGCGUGCAAGAGAUUCUUCAUAUGGAUCAUGAUUCGGAGGUUUAAUAAUUUUUUCAUUUGGUUUUUUAAUACUGCCUUUUAGCUUGCUUUUCUAUUCAUAAGUACAUCUUGAACAAGCAAAGACUAAAUAUCAAUAUGAAGUACAGGAUGUAAGCCUCAUUUUUGAGAAUCCUGAUAAAUUCAAUCGAAAUGGUACUAUGACUGAAUAGCUUAUGAAUCCUCUAUUUGGUACAUCAGUUCGGGCUGCUGAAUGUAGCAUGUUUGAGCAAUAUGGACUGCAUUCUGUCUUCUGUUUUCUCCAAGUCAUGUUAAAGGGAAAAAAAAAAAACCUAAAUGUUCCGUCUUUGCUCUGCCAUUAGAAGCUUUCCUAUAAGUGCAGUGGCACAAUGUCGAACCUUCGUUUGAUGGAUUUUUCUUUUUCCAAAUGUUUGCGUUCUAAAGACAACAAUUUAAGACUUAUGCUCUGGAAGUUUCUUGUUUUUGAUAAAUAGGUGGCUUUCCUUAAAUCGAGAAAGGGGUUCGUCCGGAUAGCUAUGGAGAUGGGCUGCCCUUUAGUUCCUGUUUUCUGUUUCGGUCAGGUAUUAUUUCGCCUUUUUAUCACAUAAGUAUACAAUCAAACAACGGUCGUACUUCAGGCCAUGUAAUCAUUCCUAACUAUAUGUUUCCAAAGAUGAAAAGGUUAACCAGCUUUGGUUUUAAAAUGUCUCACUUGUAAUUUUUGAGAUACAUAUCCGUCUCCAAUAUUAGAUUAAUUACCGUUAUGGAAACAUUUUUUAGUUUGUGCUUCUGAGACAUAGUUUACUGUUUCUAAUUCUUUUCUUUUUCCUUCUAUUGUAGAGUAAUGUUUACAAGUGGUGGAAGCCCAGCGGAAAAUUAUUCUUUAAGAUUGCUAGAGCAAUAAAGUUUACUCCAAUAAUCUUUUGGGGAAGAAUGGGGUACCUACUAUUUCUUAUCUGAUCUGUUACACUUUAGUAUUUUUCCUCCAUUUUCAUCUGUUUGUUCAAAAUUGAGAGUAAUAUAUGUGAAAUAAAAUUUGUAUUCUCUUACUUGAAUAAAGGACUCCUAUCCCAUUUCAAAAGGCAAUGCAUGUAGUAGUUGGAAGACCUAUCGAGCUCGUGAAAAACCCCCGGCCUACUGUGGAUGAGGUGAAUAACUUUCAAAACUUCCUUGACAUUAUAUGUGGAAACAUCCUAAAACAACUUUGAAAGAUAGUACAUCUGCAGAUUGUUUCUCAAUUAUGAAGACCUUCACGGUGAAAUACAUUCUAUCUAUCAAGUGUUGCUAGUUGCUACUGUAAUCCUUUGUAUCUUUUUUCUUGGUCGACAGGUAAAUCACGUCCAUGCACAAUUUGUGGUGGCUCUACAAGAGCUUUUUGAGAAGUACAGGGCCAGGGUGGGAUCUUCUGAUCUACAUCUUAGAGUUCUAUAGUGUUGGUACUAUAACGGUAAGCUAAUAAAUCUGUUUCCUAUGGUCCUUACAUUGUACGCAACAAAACAUAACAAGUGCUUUAUGCUCGGGAAACAAAUUUUCUCUAGUUUUUAAUAUAUCUGAUCGCCAACUCCAUUAUAAUAUUAUCUUAGAUCUGCAAGUUAUUAUGAUUAGCAGCCUGAAAAGCCAACAGUGCUAGCUUCUUUGAUUGAAAUUUCAAGAGUUGCUCUACUCAUACUUAGCAUUUUGACACUUUCUAGCAUGAAAAGUGGUUUUACAAUGAUCACCUUUUUAUUGUGAGAAACAAUGAGAAGCUAAGUUUACCUCAAAAGGGAUCAAGGUUUAAAACUCUUUUUUUGAUGGCAUCUUCGAUCAGUUGAAUUGAGUAAAUCACCUUCUAUUGAGCCAUCUUAUUGCCCAGCUGCUGUUGGAUUAAUGCACAGAGGUUUGAAGUGAAUUUCUAAAGUGUAGUCUGGAAGAACAAGUCAUACAUCUCAAGUUUCAGUGAAGUAAGAUUGGUUUUUAAAGUUCUGCUCCAGCGCCGAAGCCGUGGUUUAUCAUAAGGUCCGUGGUGUUUUAUGCUUUUGUUCAUCAUGGUUUCUUUAUCUUCUCGUGAUUGUCAACAUGUUUAUUGCAUCAACUUCUUUCCUUUCACUUGCUUGAAUGCGAGUAAACACAAGCAUGUGACCAAAUUUAAGGGACGACAACCAAUAACAACAAAUAUUUGCUUAGUCAACGGCUGCUGAUGCCGACUGAAAUCUACCAUGAAACUAAACAUCAUGUAAAUUACGAAUUUCAAAUUGGAUGGAUAGCUGGAAAAAGUCAGAUCUGAACAGCUAAAUUCUAGUACAAGGCUAGAGUUUUGGCUAUCCGUGUUGCAAUAAAUUCAGAGGUGGUGUUUAACUCAGUUUGGAUCAGUAUUUGUGCGGUAAAAGUUGACCUAAUCUUUCCACCUAGCUUAUCAUUAAGUUGUAUUCAGAAUUGAGAACGUUUAUAGUCAAAAACAAGUAGCUCUAUAAUAAAUCGUGAAUUUAUGAUUUGCUAUAAAGAGGGACAAUUCAUUACUUCUGUCUACCGCAAGAGAGGGACAAAGAUUUUUUGGGCAUCGUCUGUAAGCAACUUGUUUGGGGAUGAUGCCGAUGGGCGCCGCGUGGUGUGCUGGUGCCCAUCGCGACCCUAGAAACAGAAAAAAUAAAAGAAAAUUAAAAUUUGUCGGCUCCGAUUUUUUAGAGAGAGAGAGAAAGAAGCAGGUGAGAGAAAGGGACGGUUGCGAUGGGUGUUCGCAGUCGCACACCACGUUGUGCCCAUAGACUCCGGCCCCAAACAACUUGUUUCGGGACGGAUGCCCAUUAAAUUUUUGUUCGCAAGAGAGGUAUAUGAAACUGAUUUAAAUGACACAACUCAGUCAAUGGUGAUAAGGACGUAAGUCAGUUGUCAAUGGUGAUAAGGACAUAAGGAUAAUAUGGUUGACUUAAACAAUAAAUUCAUUCAAUUGUGGAUUAUAUGGACGACUUAAGCAAGACGGGUCAUUCAAUGGUGGUAAGGACGUAAGGAUAAUAUGAUCGACUUAAAUCUGUACUGGUAUAAAGAAUUGUGAUUGUACUGUAGUUGAUAGUGUUUAGUGGUUUCUUGUUGCAUAAUAAAUGAUUAAUUUACAUUGUAAGUUUUUUUUCUACUCCCCGCCCCCACCUUAAGCCGUUGGAUGCCGUUCUGAGUUGUCGAGUGAUCCAGUGAUUUAGCCAAAGCAUAUUUAGGAAGUGAAUCUUUGAGGUUACAAGUAUGAAAAUUUUGCAGUAAUUUUGUAAGGAUGGUAUAAGCAUCAAUUAGUGCCAUUUAAGUAUGUUGGUAUCGUUUAGAGUGGGUCUUUUCAGUUUUUUCUCCUUUUUUUUUUUUUUUGGAGAGAGAGCAACUGCAUUCUUAUUAUUCAACAAUUGUAGCUUUUAAUGUGUAGUUAUUAUUUUAUUACUUGUUGGAAACUAAACAAUAUAGUGGACUUGGGGAAAAGGCCAAAGCACCAUAUUAUAGAUAAGAGGACAAUAAAAAGCAUUUCAGAGGAUUGCAUCGAGUGCCAGAGGAAUCUAUUCGUGUGGAAACGGGGGGCAAGUUCACAAGAUUAGAAGAGAUUCCAAACAGGUUGGUUAGUAAGAGAGCACAUCAUGCAUGUGGAAGCCCCUAUAUAAAUAAAGUUUUUUUUUUUUUUUUUUUUGAGAAAGAGGUAGUAUGUUAUCCGCUUCAUUCAUUCAGAAGGAGAAUUAAGCUAUAUAGGUGAGGCAACACAGGCCUCGGGGGAUGGCGGAAAAAAACUAAACUGAAAAAAAAAAAAAGCUGACGAACCCUCGGAAUGACCCCAAACAGCUGACGAUCUUUAGGAUGGUCCAAACAGACCCAACUCUCAAGAUUUUUAAGAUUAAACAGCUGACGAACCUGCGGGUGAACCUUAGCCCAGUGGAGUGACAUAACCAUAACUGUUAGUUUUUCUUUUUUCGGUUUAGUUUUUUCCGCCCUAUAUAAAUAAAGCUAGUUGCUUAUUGUCUUGCAUGAUUCCUAUUUCUACAAUGAGCCUUUUUUUUUUUUCUAAAGAGAGAAAAAAAGAAAGAAAGAAAGAAAAGAUACCACUUCAUAUACAGAUUAAUUAAGAGAUUAAGAAUGCUAGUAGCCGGGGAGAGCCACUGCCGCAUAAAUAUGUAAGCUUGUUGCAGCUGAUACCUAAGAUGGUAAAAUAUGAAACCCGUAGUUGAUGCACGUUUUGAAGCAGCUAUUGCUUAGUUGCUAACAUAAAUUAAUUAAUAACUCUAUAUUUUUAUUAAAAUUCUGUUUAGAUGUAUGAAUAUUUUGUUGAUAUAUUUUCAUAGUUUACUCAAAAAAUUGUAUAUUUGGACUAUUAAAAGUGUGAUCAAAUAUUUAAAAUAAAAUAGCACAUUUGAUUCAAGUUAUUUUUUUAAAAUAAUAUAAAUCAUUUUGUAGAUAAAAUAUUAUAUUCUAUCAAAUUAUAGAUUGCAAGAUCAUUCAAAAAGUAAAUUUUUUUUUUUUUUACUUAUAAUCAUAUUAGAAAAAUUUUAUAUCAAUGACAUUUAAGUAGGACCAAAAGUAAAUAAACAAGCACGUUUGGUAACUUGCUUAAAAGAGGUUGGUCUAAAAACCAACAAUGUAUUAUGCAUGGUUGAGAAGUUGAGACUGUUAAUUUUAUUAGUGGGAUGCAUACGUAGUAAAUUUUCUAUGUUCAACAUUUUAGAAGGUAGAUGCAUUUUAUUUUUGUAACAGAGGUUAGGGGUGUAUUGGAGCUUCUAUUAGAAAGCAGCAUAAUAAAAAAAAAAACAGCAAAUAAUUUGAUUUUAGCUGUUGCGUGUUGUUGGAUGAUUUGGCGGGUUUAGAAAGCAAUCUUAUAACUCCUUAGCCGUCGUUAAACAAGUACAUUAUGUGGGAAAGAAAUGGACUGAAUUUUGCUGAACUAAGUGACGGAUUUUGAUUUUCUAUUGUAGUCUCACUGUUUUUUUUUUUUUUGGUCCUCAUCUUUUUUGAGGCUCUGAUUCCUCAAUGACUGUAACUAAAAAACUUGGUAGGUGAAGGACAAAAGUAAAGAUGAAACANAUAUAUAUAUAUAUAUAUAUAUAUAUAAGCAGCUCCAAUCUCGAGAGAAAAGUUUGAUUUUCCAAAAAAUGGUAUAGUUUAGAACGCGUGGCAAAUUAAGAAAUCGCAAGUACGUCCAACUUGUGAUUCUCGUGUGAUCUUACAAACGUGCUAUAGUGGACGUGCAAGGAACCUAAACAUGUGCACAGUUGAGAGAGAAUACAAAAAAAAAAGAAAGAAAAGAAAAGAAAAGAAAAAUAGAGAGGGAGAGAUAUUGUGUUAAUUACUUCGGAGCCGAGCUUUAGAUAUUCAUGUGUUUUAUAUGGCUCGAGUAUCCAUCGUUGGAUUAUCGUGUGAAACGGAACUAGCUAGGGUUAUAAUAAUCAAGUAUUCAAACCAUUCUCCAACUCUAUGUUUGCUUUUCAUCUCUCUCGAAUUUAUAUCUUUCUCUAUUUCGGAUUUUUUUUAUAUUUUUACUUAUCAGAUUGUUUUUAAAAAUUAUUCUGUAUUAUUCAAGUUCUAUUUAUCAACGAAUGCCGAAUCUGCAGGUUUUUCACUUCAAAAAAGUAAAUUUACUUUUUUUUAAAAAAAAUCCUUUGAAUCGAAGUUGAGCUCAAAUAUUGGUUGUUUAUUUUUCCUACGUUGUUUAUUUUAUCUACUUCACUUUGCUCCUGAAUUUGUUUUCAGUUCUCUUUAUCUCUGGUAAAAUAUUUGACAAAUAGAAAUAUUUUGAGCUAGCUUAGCUUCUCUUGCAACAACGGACGUGAGGUAAAUACAAGGCCUUGAGGUUUAUGAGCAAAUCAAAUUAAGCUCAAUUUAAAAUUUCUGAUUCUAAGAGGAGAUCGAAGAAUUUUUCGACAGAGUGCUUUUUUAACAACGAUCAACCAAGGUUGAUAAACAGUUCGUGUGAUUUAGCAUUAAUGUAUUUACGAAGACACUGUCACGCAGUUCAUAAAAGCUCCAACUAAUUCUCAAGCUAUCUUAUAGAUUGUGGUAUUGUGCAGUAGCGGGCGUAAUUCCUAAUGCGAUUUUUUUCCCGUAUUUGCACAUUAAUUUGUUGCCAUAUUCGCUUAUGGACACCUCCAUUUCGUUGUCCACACAAUCUUAAUGAAGCCACGUGAAAUUGUCCCCUAGAUUUUGGGUGUGUAUUUCUCUUUUUCUGGUCACAAGUCCUUUAUCAUCUGGGUCCAUAAACAAUCCAUAUGUAUUGAAUAUUUCAAUAUUCAGAAUUGUGAAUUAAUUCUAUGGAAGUCAAUUGAAUAGGCUUCAAAUUUUACUGAAUCAUGCUUAAUUUCGACCUCCUAAUUGUGUUUCGUUUUUAAUAUUAGGCAUUUGUUUUAGUUAAGAAAGAAUUGUUACUGCUGAUAAUUAGGAUGUCUAUCAUCACUGUUUAGUCAUCAUUUUAUAAUCAAAGCCGUAUCACUCUUAUAUAUUUUGCUAUGCAAACUACGACCUCAAAUUAUAAGAUCUCAUGCUCAUAUUGUUCAUUAAACUUUUUUUUUUUUUUGUUUCAAUUGAACCACCUAUGACGAUCUCAAAUUAACAGUAUUUUGCAAGCUGAAACACUAGCUAGAAUAGAAACUUCAUUUUAUCUAGUUAUGUAUAAUUUUAAGCUACUAUGCCAUGACUUGGUUACUUUUGAAAAAUUUUUUAUUUUUUGACAGUAACAUACUCCUUGUUUUCUUUUUAGUGCAUUGCACGAUUUUUGAGCUUCCCGUGCUAUGGAAAGUUCUGUUGAUAAAAAGGGAAUCGCGAGCAAAAUCAAACCUGCUAAUUUCGCUCUGUCUCUUUCUUUAAUUCGUAAGAACAGCUUAAGUAGUCCUCAAAAAUACCAUCAUAAAUAAUUAAUUCAUUUAUCAGUAUUAAAAUAUCUUCAUUCUUUUGCCAAUAGUUCUCUUGUGCAUUUGACGGAAAAGCACAAAAAUCAUAAUUAACAAAAGAUUACAUCACCGACCAUCCCUAGCGUAAGUGGCAAAAGGACUUGAUGGUUGGUAUCCGAGAUUCAAGUUCGAAUCCUAGUUGAUUCACAUUUACAGCUAAGUUUAUUUCUAAAUAAAAUGAACAAAGCGGGUAGCUUGCUAUCUAUCUCUCUCAAAAAAAAAAAAAAACACAAAACAAAAGAUUACAUCUCGGGGCUGUUUGGUUUAAAUUGUGUAAUAUAUCAAAAAUAUUAAAAUGACAAAUUUAUUUUUAAUUUAUCAAGCUACUUCCGUGAAUUACUAAUGAUUCUCAUCAAGUAUAGAAAUGAAAAUAUCUCUUAAUUCAUAAUAAUAUAAUAUUCCUAUCAUCUCAAAAUCUAUAAUGAUUUCACCAAUCCACUAAUAUCUUUUAUAAUAAUUUAUUUGAAUUGAAUAGUAAUAAUUUAAAUAUUGUCGAUAGCAAAUAUAGAAAAUUAAUUUUUUUGGAAAGGAGGGACCUAUACUACCGGGUCAUUGUCUGUGCGUUGGAAGGUGGUCUAUACUCUGUAGAGUCGGAAAGGAGAAAGGACUAGGGAUAUUGGAUUUAGAAAUUUUAAAUAUAGUUUUACUGGUGAAAUGGUGGUAGAGAUUCCUCUCGGGCAAAACCCGUUAGUGGGGCUUCCUUACUGAAGGUCUAUACUACUCUUGAAGAAGUCCGUUUGGAGAAGAUGUCUCUUUCGGACCUAAUUUAUAGUGGUAGCGGAACGUUUUAGCUGCUAGGGCUCUUUUUUUUAAGUACGAAGUUUCAUGCUUGUUUGGAGAUGGAGAUAAAGUGAAUUUUUGGCCGGAUAUCUGGAUACGAAUUAAUGAACCUUUAGAAUUAAUAUUUUUAAAAUAAUAAUAUUUUUUUGAAAUUGUCUUUUUAAAAAUCUCGCAUAUUAAUUCGUAUUAGCUAGUUAUAAUGUUGGUAUGAUUUGUACUGUUUCAUCAACCAAAAUUAAUUAAUUCUGUUCCCUGGCCAAACUGCAUCUGGGCGGUGCCGCACAGUACUAUACAGUUGUCACAGUCUGUUUUUUUUUAUUUAAAAAAAAAUCAAAAUCUCCUAACAUUAACAAUAUACAAACUCAAGCAAUCCUACACGCGCAUUCGGUGUACAAGAGACUCACACACACCAACUCCUCACCGCAACCGUUCGAUCGCCCUGCUAAUAAGCACGGAGCCGCACCUUCUCUUGUAAUCUGAACCGUCCAUUCGAAUAACCAUUUGGAGUUGAAAGUUGAAACAAAAGAAAUGGGGAUGGGGAGGAGAGCACGUGACGGUAGCCCGACUGGGCGGUGACCCUACCGCGGUGUUACGCUAUUAAAGCGCCCCGAACUUCUCCUCCCCGUUCGUCCCCCGCCCUUCACAAAAGCCAAAGCGGUUGCGGUUGCGGCGGCGGCGGUGCGGGGUGCGGUGCGGUGCGCUUCCUCUAUCCCUCUUGCGCUCAACGCCACAUGGAAGUUCGCCGGAGAUUCCCCCAUGGCUCCGCGGCGAGCCGUCCGCCGGCGCCGGGGACCUCCAAGAACCGCCGCGGCGGAGGCGGGGGCGCCACCGCGUCCGCUGCCGCCGACCGGGUUCAGGCAUCGGACGCGCUCCCGCUCCCGAUCCGGCACACGAACCUCCUCUUCUCCGCCAUCUUCGCGGCGUCGCUGGUGUACCUGAUGCGGCGGUGGCGCGAGAAGAUCCGGUCCUCGACCCCGCUCCACGUGGUCGGCCUCGCCGAGAUAUUCGCCAUCUUCGGGCUCGUCGCCUCCCUCAUCUACCUCCUCAGCUUCUUCGGCAUCGCCUUCGUCCAAUCCAUCGUCUCCUCCAACGACGAGGAGGACGACUUCCUCCUCGCCCCCCCGUCCGCGCCGCCACAAACCCCCGCCGCCCCCGCGCCCUGCUCCCUCCUCGUCUCCUCCGAGUCGGCCGCGGCCGCUGCGGAGAAAAUGCCUGAGGAGGACGAGGAGAUCGCGGCCUCCGUGGUCGCCGGGAAGACCCCCUCGUACCUCCUCGAGACCAAGCUGGGAGACUGCCGGAGAGCCGCGGGGAUCCGGAGGGAGGCGCUGCGCCGGAUCACCGGAAGGGGAAUGGAGGGCCUCCCGCUCGACGGCUUCGAUUACGGGUCCAUCCUGGGGCAGUGCUGCGAGCUCCCGGUGGGGUACGUGCAGCUCCCCGUGGGGAUCGCGGGGCCGCUGGUGCUCGACGGGAGGGAGUACUAUAUCCCGAUGGCGACGACGGAGGGUUGCCUCGUGGCGAGCACCAACAGGGGCUGCAAGGCCAUCGCCGAGUCGGGAGGCGCCGACAGCGUCGUCUUGCGCGACGGGAUGACGCGGGCGCCCGCCGUGCGCCUGCCCUCCGCCCGGAGAGCCGCCGAUCUCAAGGCCUUCAUGGAGGACCCCGCCAAUUUUGAAACCCUAGCCCUCGUCUUCAACAGGUAAUUAACCUAAUUAGUUAAUUUUCUCUCCCUCCUCCCCGCACUUGCUAGCCUCGAUUUUUUUUUUUGGAUCAAAAAUGGGGGAAUCCAUUUCCUCAUUUCCCGCUUGUCUGAUGUAUGUGAUGGUUGUUUGGUAGCUGUGUAGUUCUUCGUUCGGUGGAUUUUGACCGAAGGAUAGAUCUCGCCAUCCGGGUAAAAUUCGUGCCAUUAUUGAAACAUCGAGAGGGUGAUGGUCGCUUGUUUUUUUAUUUUCUAUUUUGGACGUAUCCCGAUAUCAAUUUAUCUUUGUGGUGUUUUGUGAUUGGUUUAUGUUGUCUUUUUUUUUAAAAAAAUCUUUCUUUCUCUCGGUUUGAGUCGUAACCUUUUUCUGUUAACUCGCCUUUUGGUUUGAAUGACUGCUUGCUUUUGGUGCUUACUCAAUCAGCGAUAUACAUAUCUACUUUCCACCAUAAUUAGCGUUAUACAUAUCUACUUUCCACUAUAAUCCGCAACGCACGGAGAUUUAAGACAUCACCUAUGCGCUCUUCGAACAUUACAGGUCCAGCAGAUUUGCGAGGCUCCAGAGUGUCCAAUGUGCGCUCGCUGGGAGGAACCUGUACAUGCGAUUCACCUGCAGCACGGGAGAUGCCAUGGGGAUGAACAUGGUUUCAAAGGGUGUCCAAAACGUAUUGGACUACCUGCAGAGUGACUUCCCCGACAUGGACAUCAUCAGCAUCUCUGGUUCGAUUCUUUCCCCGCUGCUUUAAGUUAGUUGAUGCAGUUUAAGCUAAUCGUCAUGUGGCUUAUAGGCUUCAUAGGCUCACUCAUUAGUUGACUGACACGAAAUGAGAAACAAAAUCUAUAAACCAAGAACUCCAACAUGUCAAGUUCUUCAUUCUGAUUUUCAAAAGUAAAAGAAUUGACUUUAUGCAUAUUUGUUAUUCUGGAAAAAUAUUAAUUCUUUAUGCGUCAGCCCUGAUGUUUCUUAUUUGAUCAGGUAACUUCUGUUCUGAUAAGAAACCAGCCGCUGUGAAUUGGAUCGAAGGUCGUGGGAAGUCGGUGGUUUGUGAGGCGACCAUCAAGGGGGAGGUGGUGAAGAAGGUCUUAAAGACUAAUGUAUCAGCACUUGUGGAACUCAACAUGAUCAAGAAUCUAGCUGGAUCAGCGGUUGCUGGAGCUCUUGGAGGGUUCAAUGCUCAUGCCAGCAACAUUGUGUCUGCAAUAUUCAUAGCCACUGGCCAGGAUCCUGCUCAAAAUGUGGAGAGCUCUCACUGCAUCACCAUGAUGGAAGCUGUGAAUGAUGGCCAGGAUCUUCACAUCUCUGUUACCAUGCCAUCAAUUGAGGUAAUUUAAAAUCUUCUGUUUACAUCUUUAAUGCUGUCAUAUGCAUGCGAUGGUUUUAUGGCCUUUCUAUUCCAACAACAACAAUUGCGAAGCACGUUUCCAUAUGUUCCAUUUGCUCUACAUGGUUUUCUUUUUUCUGUUUAUCUCUAUCGUUGAUACAACAACAUCUGCUUCCAUUAACCUGUCAGACCUUGCUUGCAUUUUUCUUUUUUUUAAUUUUAAAAAAUUACCUCGUCAUCUUUUGGCCGUGACUUAGAUGUGACAUUCACCUAUCUUCAGCUGAGUCCUCCCUUAGUUGUUCCUAAGCUAGGACGUACGCAUGUAUUCCCCAUACACCUAGCUUCAUCUGCGUGCCCCCCUACUUGUUCCUUAGCUUGGAUGUAUGCAAUUGCAAUCCUUGGCACGUCGCACUUUUGUUUUCGAGCUCUGUUCCAUCAGUAUAACCUUAUUGUGUUGAAUCUAUUUCCUGUAACUGUGUCAUGUCAACAUGGAUGAAUAAGUUUAAGGAUAUAUAACAUGCCAGUGGUUGCGAUCAAUGCAAGCUAAGAAUAGCACUUGCAGAGGACAAGUUGCACAAAAAUUGAAGAACAAUAAAAAGGUUUCAGAUGUUUAGGGAAUUAUACAUCAGAUAUUUCAUACCGCACCUGUUAAGAGAAGCAAGCAAAUAGUCAGAGCGCUCUGAGAGGACCCGAUGCUGAUCUGGGAUGAGUUGAGUAAUGAUAAAAGACCUAAUGGCAUACAAAAAUUUGGUUUUAUGAAUAACUGUGCUGACAAGUAGUUGGAAAUGUAGAUGAGGUGGUAUUCUCUGUUGUUGUUUUGUUUAUUAUUUUCUCCUUUUCAUAUAAGCUCUCAGUAGCAUUUGUUUCUCCUAGUCACUGGUCAAUCAGUCUAAUUGAAGAAGAAACCGGUAAAUUGAUCUGGACUGAAGCCCAAUUAGCAUCAGCUGCAGCUUUUACAAGUUACUUCUAGAUAGUUCCACUCAACCCGGUUUUCUUAUCCUGCUAAUCUUUAAAUAAUCUUUCUUCUACUAACUUACUUCUCCACUUGUCAAGUUUUUUAUCCAUUCUACUAUUUGGCAAGUUGCAGGAUGAAGCAUCACCCUUGAUUAUUUUUUAGAACCAAUUUGUUUGAUGAGCUCAAUAUUUUAAUUACUAUAAAGAGAGAUCCAACUCUUGUUGCUUUUAUUGUUUUCCUCUCUGUUUAUAUCUGAAAGGCUCACGUAAUCUUGUAUUGACAGGUUGGUACGGUUGGUGGUGGGACCCAGCUAGCCUCACAGUCAGCCUGCUUGGACCUAUUAGGUGUGAAGGGUGCCAAUAUGGAAUCCCCUGGGGCCAACGCCCGGCUUUUGGCCUCCAUUGUGGCUGGCGGUGUCUUGGCCGGCGAGCUCUCUCUUAUGUCAGCUCUUGCUGCCGGCCAGCUCGUCAGAAGCCAUAUGAAAUACAACAGGUCCAGCAGAGAUGUCACCAAGGCUGCUACCUCCUAAGUUAUUCCCUUUUUCGCAGAUAGACCCUCCCAGAACCUCGAAAUUGUAGUAAGAAGUUGCAAAGAACGUAAGAGAGGGGAUGUGUGCUGUUUGGGAAUAAACAAAAGAGUGUAGCAUCUUAUAGGCAGCUCGAGAGGUAGCACUGUACUUUCUGCAUUAUCUGUAUAUGUGCCCCUCUGGGAAGUUAAUGGCGCAAUGCUCUGGUUUAUUCUCCGAUUCUCCUCGCCCCUCAUGAAGGGCUGUCUCGCAUGCAGAUGUUUAUGUGAUUUAACUCUCGGCAUCUUUUUCUUUUAUUUGUGAUUCUGUUUAUUUGUGAUUCUGUUGUACCAGACCUCUCGUGGACGAUGUGUAUUUUUCUGAUACCAGUUCUGUUCUCAUUGUCUCAAUAAACUCGAGGAGCACAAAUUUGUACUUAGACAUUCAAAGCUUUUCAAUGUGAUAAAUUUUUUACUUUUUUGGUUUACGUUGUAAUGGUAGUCUGUCACUCGGUAUAUUGUAAUGACAAUCUAUCACUCGCGACGUUGGUUGAUGUUGCAGUGAAAUAGGAACUAAAGUUGACAGGAAUAAUAUUCUUCCGUUUGGACCACAUUUUUAUCUGAUUAGUACUAAAAGGAAUAAUGCUCACUGCGGACAAUCUUUUUAGGCAGAGUUGGAUAGGAGAACAGCUAUAUAUACUUUAAACCAGCUGUAUAUACUUUAAACCAAUAAAGUUGAAACCUGCGAUCACUUGUUUUCAAGAUGCCUCUACUUUUGGUAUCUUUUUUUUUGUUUGACAAAUGAGUUGCUUAUCACGUCGCCCGAGUACAGUGUAACAGUGUUUUAGGAGAAAUGUUGCAGCAAGAUUGAUUGCCACAGUCGAAUAAAUGAACUAACCAAACUUCAUUUACAGGAUAGAUAAUCUGGUUAGAAAGAAAUAGUAUUAUUUUUAGAAAAUGACGCUAUAUCCAGCUCAAGUUCUUCACCGUAUACAUUCAUUCAUACAGAAUUAAUUAGAAUAAUAUCGUUAAUUAUAUAAUUGUAGCUUAAUCCUUCAUCCCCUUCUUUCCUCCCUCUCCUCCUAUAUCUCUCUAUCUUUUUUCUUUUUUUUUUUUCUUGAGGCCUUAGUUGUCUCAUCUAUAUUGUUAAGUCCAUACCACUUUAUGAAUAAAAUAAAUAUUUUGCUAUUUUUUCUUUAAAAAAAAAGAUUCUUUCGUUUGUGAUGCCAGGGCUUGCCAACCUGGUGCAACAUAUUUGGUAAGAAAUUGACGGCACGAUAGUCAACUAUUGGAGGAAUUCUACACUGUCACACUUGCACCACGUCAUCAAUAACAAGUCAAUCACAUUCCUUCAUUUCAAACAAAAGUACAAUAAAAAUAUUUUUUUACAAUCAUGAUGGAACAUAUAUUUUUAAAAGGAUUAAUUUGAUUGGUUUGUUACGCCACGUCAUUAAUAUACCCGUUGCAUUCUAGAAUUUUUCCAACUAUUGUAUCAGCACCGAACGAUGAAAUCAUCAGUCAUCACAUCAACUGAAGUUUUGAAAUAAAUCUAAUUCUCUGCCUAUAGGAAACGCAUAUAGGGAUUAUUUGGCUCUUAAUUACAUCAACCGAAUUCUUUCUCCCUUUUAUUUUAUUUUCGUAUUCGAUCUAACUUCUAAUUAUUUUUUUAAAAAAAUAAAUUAAAAUUUAAAUUUGAAUCUUAAAUAUCAACUAUUAAAUUUUUUUUGUCACUUCCUCCUCUAAGAAUGGUCGGUUUUAAUUUUUAAUUUUUAGAAGGCAAACGGGUCGCUUUGGUUUUGGUCCAGCGGUGGUGAGGCCACGUGCUUAAGGUCCCAUCGCACGAGGAGGCAAUGUGCAGCUGUCGCACGUCUAACUAUGAUAGGAAGUGGUGGUGACAUGAGCGGGCAUCUGUCCGGUGUGAGCCAACCUGUCCAGACUUGCAAAUCAUUUGCGAGGACCACGUCUCCCAAUGUGUUUUAUUCUUUUAUUACUCUUUUCCCGUCUAUUUGUCCAUCUUAAACAUACGUGUUUUAAAUAACAUUGUUUAGGCCCACGUGUCGAUUACCUGAUAAUUUUUAUUAUCUUAAUGAUUUUCCUCUUUGUGAAUAUUCUUUCGUAGAGAGAGGUUUUUUCCCUUGCCACGAACACAAAAAUGUGAUAUUCAAAGUGGGGCAAAUAUUUUGGUAAUUCUAAUCUUCUGAAACACUAGGUUUGACUUAGGUUUCGUUUGAGAUUGCGAAAAGAUUACGUUCUGUACAGUAAAAAAAAUACGAUGAAAAAAUAUUCUAUUUAUUUUGUACGUAAUAGUACGUUUCGCAUAUCGCAAUAAAUUAGUUACGAUAUAUUUUUUGCGGUUUCACCGGAAAAUCCAAAAGUAUAUCCCUAUAUAUUUUUAUCUCAACUCCAUUUUAUCUAAUAACGUCAAAUAAACUUUAAUAACAAACUAAGCCUUAGAAAAAGGAUUUACUAUGUUCAGUAAUGAUUUAAUGUUUUCCUUAAAGGGAAGCAAUCAACGGCAAUUAAACAAUCAAAAGUAAUAUUUACUUCUUUAGGAAGAGAAAAACAAAAAAUGGCAUUUGUUGAAAGUUCCUUUUAUGCAAAUCUUAAAAGUUGGACAAAUAGACAGAAGUUUUAAAUUUUACGUUCUCACCGUUUUUACCCAAAGAAAAGUUUGUAGGCACAUUAAAGAGCUUUACUAUAUACAAAACUGAACAAAAGUAUCUUUCAAGGCUUGGCUAGCGAAGGAUUGUAAAUCCACCGUAAUCGUAUAAUUGGUGCAUUUAUUAUAUCUUAUCUUCUUCCUCAUCUCGUAAUAUCUCAUUAUUCUUUUCAAUCUAAGUCUUCUACCAUUGCUAACCAUCAUUGCUAAUUUAACUAGGCUGAAAUAUUAUCAAUAGCACAAAACUAUUAGUGUUACUAGUUUUUUAGCCCUUAGAUUGAGAAAUGUGCGGUUACGAUGAUAUGGACCUUCUAAAGUUGAGUUGGUGGUUGGUUGAAUAGUAUAAUCUAACGGAUAAAAAUAAUUAAAUGAUUAAAUCUAAUUGUAAAAAACUCGAUAUCAUCAAGUUCUUAGUGUUAUCGAUAGUGUUCUAGCCGGACUCUUGUUAAUUUGAUUCAUAAAUAACACAUAGACGUACGUUCUGAGAAGUUGCUGGCCCUCCGUUAACUCCGCUCUGUUAACGCCCAAGGCCUCAGGAAGGUAUACAAGGCCCAAACUCUCAGGGCCAAGUCCAAGCCUAACAAAGAAGAAAAGAGAAAAAGAAGGCAAGCCCAAACAAAGUUGAGCCCACCCCAACAUGGUGGGAAGGCCCAUAUUGAGAAUGAGCGAUAAGCCCAUAGAUCCCUCACUAUAUUCGGAAAUAAGAAAAAAAAAAAGAAGUAAAAAGUAAAAAACUUGCGUCUGAGGAAGAGCGAACGUGGCAGUUGGAACGCAGUCCACGCGGAGCAGGCCCGUUCGCCAUUCCCGGACCAGCUCGAUUGUGAAUUUGUGAUCCGACUCCGCCUGGUGUAACAACGCCUUGUUUCAUUCACUGACAUGAGAUGCGGGUUCCGGGUUCCCCCAAGUCCGGUCGAAGCUUGAUCCGAGUGCGCGAGAGAGAGAGAGAGAGAGAGAGAGAGAGAGAGAGAGAGAGAGUGGAGGAGGAGGGGGGUUUGAGUGGGGUUGGAAGGAAGCGUGGAGGGGCGGCGAUGGUGAGCAGGGGGCAGUGGAGGCGAUCCCUGGGGAACGUGCGGUCGUUCGUGGGGAACGCGACGGGUGGGCUGAGAGGGUGGCCCAACGUGGCCUCGUGGGCCGUCGCCGGCACCCUCGCCUACUUCCUCUGGGUCAAGCCCGCCCAAGACCUCAAGAAGGAGCAGCAGGUAAUCCAUCCCCACCAGUCCCCUCCAACUUCUUCUUCUUCCCUUCUCUGUCGCCUUCCAGAUCAUUCGCUGCUCGCUCUCCUGCGCUUUCUCGCUCGUUCUUGUUCUAUCCAUCAUACAAAUUCUAGCCCCGCUUAAUUGGUAACAUCUUUGUUAGUAGCAAACUCAAAGCACGUUGAAAUCAGAUGCCGAAUCGUUCAUUGGAAUCUCAGCAAACCCUUGCCUCAAUUCAUAACUGCUCAUGUUUACGGGGGUUCGGUGGGAUUUGUAGAUUGCCUUUUUAUUUAGAAAAUGCUGUAACCUUAACUAUCUGACAGUCGUAGCACUUCUAGUUUGAAAGCAUGGAAAGUGAGAUUUUCAUUAUAGAUGGCUUAGAUGCUGGCAAAUUGUGUGAACUAAAGAUGUUUAACUGUAUGCAAUAUGCGAAAAAAGUUGUAUACAAACUGUUUGAGAGGCCACACCAAUCGUCAGAACUAGCUAGAAAUCGAUUUCCUCUUUUUUUUUCUCUUUUUUUUUUCUUUUUUGUAACCAUCCUAAGAGAGUAUCUGAUUUGGGUCUUUUGACAUUUAUUUCCCUACAUAAUGAAAACUUCUAAAGUUAUCAACAUUAUCCCCACUAAUUUAGCUGAUACUGAUUCAUAGUAAGGAGUAAAGAGACUUGUGGAUUGAAAAUUUGAAGAGAGCUUGAAAUAUCUGACUGCUGAUGGAACUUAUCUCAUCAGACGAAGUUGUUGGCAGCACAAAUAUAUGCCCUACCUGUAGCUACCAACACAUUUUGGGAUUACUGCGUGACCUAUUCUAUUUACUCGCUCUUCUUCAACAGUAACCUUGCUCUGCAAUGAACAUAUUUGAACAAUUUAGUCUGUGAUAAUAGAUUCCUCGAAAAAAUUGUAAUCACUGGUAUAGGAACCCGAGUCUAUACUAUUAUUUAUGUUUUCUGCAACUAUACUUCAAGUCGACGGAGGAAAACUUAGUUCCUUGAAAUGAAACGGACUCCUAAAUGAAUAUCUCCUUGAAAUGGGAGGAGGUCCUGUCUAAAAAGUAGUUUAGUCUCAUCCGCUAUAGCUUGAAGAAUUCCCAACGGGCCAGCAUAUUCAGGCCCAAUAUGUUGUUGUAUCGCUACAGAUAUUUCUCCUCGAAAACUCAAGUUGUAUCUAGUUACAAUUCGUAUUCAUUUUAUUUCUUUUUUCAUUAUACAGUACAGCAAGCGAAUUUAAAAAUAUUAAAUUCAGAGAAUUAUAAAACCUAUGUUCCGUCGUAAGUAGAACAUCUAAUGAUUCUCUGAUCUAGAGUAAAGCUAGAAUACUUCUAGAAGUACGUGGGGUUAUUUACUUCCGCGUAGUUUCCAGUGAUUGGACAGCCGAAUUGACCAUUGUCAAAAACGAUCUAAGCUAUUUGAACUUUCUAGAUAAUAAAAUUUUAAGCUUUUUCGGCAUCGUUUAACCAAUGAUCCAUUGACCUCAAGUUUGCCUUACAUUAGCCUCUUUUUUUUUUGGAACCACUUGAAUACUAAACAAACAAUGCCGAAAAUCUACAAAAUUUGGUUUCUGGAAUGCUUUAGUAGUGUAGAUCAUGUUUGAUACUGCCAAUCAUCGUUGAUUCAUAUUUCCCAUUUCCGGAAAAGAAGGGGAAGUAAAUAUUCCUGUUUACUUCGGGAAGUAUUCUAGUUCUAGUCUAUCUAAGUUACAUUAAGUAGAAGCUAUCAUUGUUGACUGCAUGACUGUCUGGUUGGACCCUUGAAGUUAUUUUUUCAGCAAGAGGAACUAAACAUGUGCCUGUAGUACCAGCUGAAAAGCAUUUUCCUUUUCAGAUAAAGUUAUUGAUCUUGGCAAUGUAUAUUGUGAUGUAUCAUAACUAUACAAAGGUUAAACAUUGCUUGUCUUAGUAAUUAGAGUUUUUAUAUUAAGAUUUUUCCAUAGUUGAAGGAGCCAGUUUCUCAUUGAUUUUCAUGAUUUUGACAUAUGAUUACUCAGAUAUGUAAGUUUACGAACAUUUCUAAUAUGUGUUGGUACACCUGAUGCUUAUUCUAAUUCAUGGCUGAUCUUUUUUUAUUUCCUGUUUCUUUUUGUGAUUCAGGAGAGAGCAGCUUUAGCCGCAGCCUCAGAUCCGUAUCGCUAUAUUGAGAAAAGAAAACCAAUUCCUGAUCCUCAGGUAGCCUCUUUUGCCCUUGCAGGCCUUUCUCUUUGUUCUAUGUUCUUAGAUUAAUGUUGUUUAAACCAGUAGUACAAGCCUUUUUAAUCGUGAAUAACAAGAUCAGAUAAAACGUCACGGAAACUGCAACCAAAGCAUCAUAUCACCAAAACAACUUGUUUAACUGGCUAGUUGUCCGAGCUGUUACCCUGUCCUAAGAAAUUUCCUGGGGGAUAAAUGCUAGCUGUGGCUAAUAUUUAGAGAUGAUUUUGGGAAAGGUAGAAUUGCGUUCUUGCCUAUUUCUUCUUUUCUCUAAUACAUUUCAUUAUUCCCAGGAAACUGGUCUGAUAUAUGGAAAGAGAAAGGAACCCAAGAAUGAUGAGAAUUGAUUAGCUUCACUUACCCGAUGUGUAGAAAUGGUUUUAUGCUGCUUUUGCAUCACUUGGACAGCUGAUUUCUGUCACUCGUGGCUUGCAUGGUAUAUGCUUUAUUGUUUUCUCGCUUUUGCCAUUACUGAGCUUGAAGCUCAAAACAAGCUGCAGAUGAUGGGUAAUGCUACACGUGGUCCUCCACAAUCUUCCAGUAAUUCAAUAAAAACGUGUUGUACAAAGAUAUAUACAUCUCAGCAUACUUCACCAUCACUUAAAGUGUUUGUUUCUCCUCUUUUUCUUUUUUUGUUUCUUGUGUCUUUUUGGUCCUUUGAAUUUGUAUGGACCUACGUUAACUGCUAAAAUUUUCUAGAUACUGUCUUUAAGGCCGUGCACAUAUUGAUUCAGUCUCUAGACGACAGCUUAUCAUGUCUGUAACUUUUCUUUUUAUUUGCUUAUCCUUUUAUCAAUCUUCUGGCCUACAUGCCACAUGUUGGCGGCGUUUACAAGAUUAGUAGUUCAUCAAAAUACUUUCGCCAAGUAGCCAUACGCUGUGAAACUCUGAAAUCUGGCAUGGUUUAGUUGCCAGGAUGAGGAUGAGGAUGAGGAUGUGGUGACCCUCUAUUGCUUUUCUUUUUUCCGGCCUCACCUGUACCUUGUUAUGACCUUUGCAGUUUCAUGCCAAAAAAAAAAAAAGGCAAUUUUGUUUCUUUCUCAUUCAAGACGAAAGGUUAUAUAUAGCCCAUGUCUUGGCAGGACACCUCCUUCCAACUUACGUGGUCAAAAGCAAGAAAACAAGUUCUGUGGUAACUACAGUAUGGUAUUUUUGUUUCAUCAUGUACUGUGAUUGUAAUAACAUUUUGUUUUGUGGCUGUUAUUUUAUACAUUUAUGAACCUUGUUCUUUUGGUUCUCGCGUGAGAAAGAACAGAAACAAAAGCAAAAACAACCGGUAAAAUGCUUGAGAAAAAUCAAUAACAACAGAUGGAAAACAACAGGCAGUGAUUUGUUUGGAUUUCUCGCCCAAGUAUUGGGAACACCCUCAGUUUGUUUAUUGUGUCUCACUCAUCCAGCUGUUACCAUCCAUCCCACGGAUUUUACAAUAUCAAAGCACUUUAAUUUCUGUCGAGAUCAUUGCCGGAAAAAUACUGAGCCCUCAAUCGGGACCUCGUUCAGGAGUCUCACUCGGUUGUCAUGUGUUUAUUUUGUUUCAAUUCAAAAAUUAUAUUUUUUUUUUAAUAAAAUUUUAAUUUUCUUUUAAAAAUUUAAUAUAUAUAAAAAAAAAAUAGCGAACUAAUACGUAUCAACCGAUUGGGGACUCCCCGUUGGAGACUUUUCAAUGAGUUGCCAUUGUGGAGUUUUUCAUUAAUAUUUUAUUCUGAAAGCAAAUAUGAGCACUCAGGCAUCUUAGCUACACUUCGUUUCUUUUCGAGUUCAAUAAUUAUCUUGAGAUUGCAUUAAACUAUUGGGAUUUGAUAGUGAGACAGGCGAUUGUUUCCCUUCUUGUCCUAACAGUUAUCUAUACUGUUCGAUUCACAUAAACCCGUCCAAUCUUUCAUUACGAUUGGGAGAACAAAUGCACAGAUUUUGAAGCAUUAGCGCGCAUUUGUGGGGCCCGUGGGUCUAUGAUACAAAUCAGUACGAUAUGGGUUGGUGGUUACGCGCGUGAUCACGUGCCCACGCGGCCCACGUGGAAAUACGGCCCAACCCAGCUGGCGCGCUCUCCGCUGGCCCACGCGCUCCUCCACACGUGUCUCGCCGCAGCUCCGGCCAGUGGUUCCUUCCCACGUGGCACCCGAACAGCGAACGGUGUUUCAUAUUGUCCAGUUGUUGAUGGCUCAGCACGUGCGCCUUUUUAAUUUUGCCGCCCAUUCUAUAAGAUUUGAAAUUUAAAGCCUUCGCAUAGGGUACUAAUUAACCGGCCCNUCAAUAAACUAUAAUUCUCACCAAUGCCGUGAUUUUAAACUUCCUAUUAAAUGCUUCAAACAAUUGAGAGGGGAGCACUUGUGCAUACCCCACAUGAGAUCAUAGAUUAAGACUAGUAAUGGAAGAGGGAACAAUCAUGUCUGAUCCCUUUGAAUAAAGUAUUGAUCGAGUUUGCGUAAAAUUAUUAAUUAUUACAGUUAAAGUCAGCACGAUAAAAGUUAGUCGAGAUGGGCUACAUUGUUUAGGACGGAUGCAAUGAAUUAGAUCGAGGAACAUGACAAGUACGGCCGAUUGGACGCACAUGGUCUCCCACCACCGACGAUGAUGAGGCAGCGCGCCGCUCAGAUUAUUAUAAUCUAAACCCCACUUGCCCCCCAUCUUUUGAUCGAAUAAUUUAGUACUUGGGAUGCUUGACCCUCUGAUUAAUUAUGCUUGUUCAGUGGUUGAUUGUCCUUCUAAUUUGCCUUUUUCUUCUUUGCAGUGCAUUACUAGUUUUAACUCAUUGGUGGAGCAUCCACUAAGCAUGUCCUUUUUUACUUUGGAUUAAGCAACGGAGAUGCUCAAAAUAUUGUAAUUUAUAUAAAGAUGGACUUUUUUGCGUAUUGAGAUCGGAGUCUUUGACAUGCUGCAAAUCUUCGAGUGGAUUAGUGAAAGGUAAAUCAAUUAUAUGGUUUUCGUCUGACUUAACGAGGGUUGAAGAUGUAAUUUCGUAGAUCAAUUGACAUUCUUUUUACAGAUCGAAGGUGAGCUUUUUAUCUUUUUUUGUGUUCACAUAUAUAGUAACGUGCCUUGUUUGAGUUUAGUGCUUAGAAAACAGUAAAGAAAAACAAAAUUUAAAAUUUAGCUGGUGAAGAUUGCAUUCGAGUGGUCUUAUUAAUUAUGUGGGAUUAGUUAAUUUCAGAUAGAACAUAAUGACAGAAAUCCAUGCCCUGCAGCGAGGUUAAACACGAAACAUCACGGGAUUAUAGUAAUUAAUUGUCGUUUUUUUCUUUUUUUCUAAAUCAAACUUUGCUUUUGUUUUUUUAGAACAAAUGACAGCAAAACAAUUGGGAUAGAAGUUCCAAUAGCGUUCUUUUUGAUUGCCAUGCUUGGUGACUUUUGACUUUGAUUGAAGUAAUUAAAUGAGAUCUCAUGAGAAGUACUCAAACAACAAAAUAAAAGGAAGAGGAUACCUACAUUUUCAGCAACUGUAAUAACUCUAUCUCUAUGAAAGAACUCUAGCUAGCACAUUACUUUUCAAUUGAAAGCACUAGAUAUGCUUUAGCAUCUGUUGACAUAUUAGAGUAUACUUUUCCUUUGGAACCAAUGCCAUGCCUAGACUAGCUUUGUACUCUUUAAUUGUUCUUUCAUUAAUCUACUUUAAAGGAUUAAAGAGCUCCUUAGUGAUGUACGUAUGUCGUCUGGCUUAAAAAAUUCAUUGUUUCAUUAAUCUCCACGAACAAUUCUAAGCGGCCUAGAACUACCUGUUAAUUCCCUUCUAUUUUAGCAAGUUUGAUCGGUUGUUGAUCUUGUGGUAGAAUAGUUAUAUUAAUAUGGUCUACAAUGGAUACAAAUAAUGUUUCAUUAGUACAUAAGAUUUGACAACAACAAACACAUCCUAAAAUAUUAAAAGGAGGGACGAUAAUAAAAUUAAGAAUACAAUAAAGAAACUCAAAAAACAUUGGAGUGACUUCUCCUUUAAUUUGAUUCACUAGCCCCAAAACGACUGCAAUAAUUGGCUGUACGUGGAACAAAGUAAACUAUAUUGUCCAAAAUUUGGGAUUAAGUUUUUUCAUCAAGAAGGGGAUUACAUUUGCCAUUAAAUCCAUUUAACAUGAAGCAUGAAUCAACUAUAUCUAGUUCAUCAAGGUUAAUUGGACAGGUGCAUAACAUCUCUUUGUGUGCAUGUCUCCUCUCGGGUUGAACGAUCCAACGGAAAAAACAGUGCAAUAUAUAUACAGUAAGGCAAAAUGGAGGAGACGUAGCGUGAUAUGACAUGUGGCAUUUGAACAAAUAGGAAGGAGAGUCAACAUGGAAACAAGAUAUGUAAAAUGAAAUUUUAUGAGGUAAAUUAAUUGGCGUGAUAUCACAUCAGCAAAGGCAUAAAAAAUCGGUGUAGAAUUAAUCAACCAACCUAUAAAAUAUAUAGAGCUCUAGGCGAAGAAGAUGCAAGAAAGGGACCGGCCAUGCUUUAUUUAUUUAUUUAUUUAUUUAUUCAGUAGAUGACUAGCAUGAGGUUUAAUAGUGAAUUUUUUUUUAAAAAAAAAGUUAACUUAUUGCAACCAGUUCACGAACUGAAAAGCCUGCCUUUAUUUAGUUAUUUUUCUUCUUAAAAUCUAUACAUCAAUUUUAAUUGUGCAAGUUGUGGAGUUUCUAGGUCACAAGAUCUCAAAUACUCGGUUUGAGUACUAAAGUAUGGUGAAUCAACUUUCGCAGGUGUUUAAUUUGAAAUCAGAUUUAUUUGGUACAAUUGCAUUUUUAAUGGGGCAACGACAAUAAUGGAAAUGACGAGAAAAAUUAAACUAUUUCCCAGAUGUUCAUUAAAAGGUCAAAUGGCAUGGCAAUAAUUUUCUUUAUAUAUCCUUCAGCUUUCACAACCUUUAUUAUGUUUGAUAUUGAAAUAUAAAGUGACAAGUUGCACGUUUUCGACAUGAAAUCUAGUUUUUUUCCUCUGGCCAAAAUAGAAAAAAUAAAAUACAACUGCAACAAUAUAUGGUUUCCAUUUUGAGAAUGCUCUAAUCAUGUUUAUGUUUUUGUUUAAUUAGAGCACGUUCCUAUGCCCACGCCGACAUGGGAAAAUCGAUCGAGUGGCAUUUCGUGCUCCCACUUUCUCUUAAGAAGGAAAAGAAAGAAAGCAAAAACAAAAUUCAGGAACUUCAAGUUACAUUCCUUCUUAUUCUUUUCUUUCUUUCUUUCUUUCUUGCUUUCUUUCUUUUCUUUCUUGCUUUCCUUCUUUCUCUCUUGUUUUCUUUCUUUUCCUUCUUGCUUUCCUUUCUUUCUUUCUUUCUUGCUGCCCCUGCAGCAGCAAUAAUUUAUUGCUGCUGCAGCUGAGCCACUGCUGGCUGCUGCACAUGCUGCUGCUGCUGCAGCUCCUGCUGCUUGCUGCACUGCUGCUGCUGGCUUCUGCCUUGCUCGCAGCAGCAGCAAGGAGCUGCUGCUGCUCCUGCUCACAGCAGCAGCAAGGGCUGCUGCUGCUGCUCUUGCUGUUGCUCUUGUUUGCAGCAGCAGCAAGGGCUACUGCUGCUACUUUCAGCAGCAGGGAAAAAGGGGUAAGGGGGAGAGAGUCAAGAAUUUCCUACCUCUUUUCUUUUUCUUCUUCAUCUUCUUCUCUUUUCUUUUCUCUCCUCUCUUUGCUGCUCUUCCUUUCCCUCUCUCUCUCAUACGAAUGGAGGAUGAAGGGGAUAAGCAUGGAGGGAUAAGGAUGGAGGGUGCCCUGCCUNAAAAAAAAAAAAAAAAAAUCAUUCCCAGGGUUGACCUGCGGUGCUUUCAUAAGCCCAGAUGUCAUCGUGUUUGUAGGUCAAAUUCAUUAAAAGAACUCCUGAACGCGAUUUAAAAUGUUUAAAAUACUUUACAACUAAGGUUUAAAUAUUUUUAGAAUCAUUUAAAGAUAAUAAACUUGAUUAUUUUUAUAAAUCAUGAUUAAUAGCAUUUAUUAUGGUCCUAUCAGAGACCUGCAUCAAUAAUCGUUAGAUUGUCUGUUAAGAAUUUGGGAUCUGAGCCUUUCUUGCUCAUGUAAAAAGUAGAGCUCGAACUCCCGACCUCUUCAAUAAUAUAGUAGUAUAAGUGGUUAGGAUUAGAAAUGCAAAUAAAUAUAGUCUCAUUCUAUUUCAAAUGAGACGGUAAAUAACCGAAAAAAAAUAAAAAAUUAUACUCAUUUUAAUUUGUCAAUAAAAUUGAAGUAGAAAAAUUUAGAUCUGACUCAAUUGCAUUCCUAUUCAGAGCACGUGGGUUCUGUUCUUAGUAGGUGAAAGUGUGGGGUGUUUGUUUGGAUACAGCGGAUGGUGUUGUCCAGGCUGGAUACGGGAACACAAGCCCGGGAGUUCGGGCCAAGGAUCCAGAGAUAAGGUUGACCAAGUCCCGAUGCCCUCACCGCUCACCACGUGUCUGACAGCUGUACGGCUGGAAAAACGCACCCAUCCCGCCUCGACCGUUUGACCGCACGUGAUGCUCCCAUUUCUCUCUCUCUCGCUCCCGCUGUCUCUCACCCUUCCCUGUUCCCCCUGGCUAGCAAAUAGUAGAAGACUAUUUUUCAAAAAAUCAAAAUUUUGUGUGAAGUUCUUUUUUUCUUUUUUUUUUUUUUUAAGUUUAUCUUGUUUGAUUAGACCGGAUAAAAAAUUCGAAUAUAUAUAUAUAUAUAUAUAUAUACGGUAAAAAUUUUUUUUAUUUUAUUUUAUUAGUUGAAAAUUUUAGUAUAUAAUUUUUUUUUAAAAAAAAAAUUUAACAUAAUACUCAUAAUGACGAUAAAAAAUGAUUAAGAUGAUGGCUGGAUGGCAAACGUUACAGCAAUAUAUUAGAAGAGAAAAAAAUUUUCUUUUACACCUCAAAAUGUUCGUAAGAAAAAAUAUUCGUUUUCUCAAAAAAAAAAAAAAAAANAGCAAGUGGCAAAGAACUUGGUGGUUGAUACCCGAGGUCUUAAAGUUCGAAUCAUAGUUGAUUCAUAUUUCCAGCUAAAUUUAUUUCUGAAUGAAAUAAAUGAAGCGGAUAGCGUGCUACAUAUCUAUCUCUCAAAAAAAAGAAAAAAAAAGUUACAAAUAAUGAUUUCGGAUCAGGCACACAUGUAAAUUAUAUACAAAUUUUACAUAAUUGAAUGCAUAUUUACGUAAUUAUUAAGCAUAUAUUCAUGCAUAAAAAUCAACCCUUCUUCGUUUUUCAAAAUCUCUAGGUUGUGUCAAGGGCCAAUGGAGUAAGAACUCGUAUCUUCCUGUAAUAGCAAGAGUUAUGACUAGCAUAGUGAUUUUUACCAGCAACAAUCACGCCUUGAGUGAUGCUUGACCAUCUAUUUAUUGAAUUUUAAGUACUGCCAAGCGAAGAAACAACUUGCGACCAGAAGUUUCCAGGAAAUUAAAAGAAGGUGCUACUAAGCUGGGGCAUUAAUAAUUGCUUGCAAACUAGAAUUAAACAGGAUUAUAGAACUUAAUAAAUUCAUUUUCUUUUCCGAAUAUCUAACCGUCAUUCCCUUCUUUUAUUUCUCUAAUAUCUUGUUUUGAUUAGCAAGCUUUAUAUAUUGAAAUUAAGCCCCUCUCAGUUUAAUUAACUGGACGACUAAGCAGAUCGAUCAUGUUAUACGCAUUUAAUAAUUUUCUGUGGCAAGAUCUAGACUAGUGUUCGUUGUGUUUCUUCUCAAAGUUUUUUUUUUCUUUUUUUUUUUCUUUUUUUUUUUCUUUUUGUCAAUGCAAAGCUAAUAAUACUAAACGCCUCACCUGUACCAUCCUCAUAAUAGGCCAAUUAAACAAACAUACAUAAAAUUAUUAAAUGCGUAUAACAUGAUCGAUCUGCUUAGUCGUCCAGUUAAUUAAACUGAGAGGGGCUUAAUUUCAAUAUAUAAAGCUUGCUAAUCAAAACAAGAUAUUAGAGAAAUAAAAGAAGGGAAUGACGGUUAGAUAUUCGGAAAAGAAAAUGAAUUUAUUAAGUUCUAUAAUCCUGUUUAAUUCUAGUUUGCAAGCAAUUAUUAAUGCCCCAGCUUAGUAGCACCUUCUUUUAAUUUCCUGGAAACUUCUGGUCGCAAGUUGUUUCUUCGCUUGGCAGUACUUAAAAUUCAAUAAAUAGAUGGUCAAGCAUCACUCAAGGCGUGAUUGUUGCUGGUAAAAAUCACUAUGCUAGUCAUAACUCUUGCUAUUACAGGAAGAUACGAGUUCUUACUCCAUUGGCCCUUGACACAACCUAGAGAUUUUGAAAAACGAAGGAGGGUUGAUUUUUAUGCAUGAAUAUAUGCUUAAUAAUUACGUAAAUAUGCAUUCAAUUAUGUAAAAUUUGUAUAUAAUUUACAUGUGUGCCUGAUCCGAAAUCAUUAUUUGUAACUUUUUUUUUCUUUUUUUUGAGAGAUAGAUAUGUAGCACGCUAUCCGCUUCAUUUAUUUCAUUCAGAAAUAAAUUUAGCUGGAAAUAUGAAUCAACUAUGAUUCGAACUUUAAGACCUCGGGUAUCAACCACCAAGUUCUUUGCCACUUGCUUUAGAAACGGUCGGUGUAAUUUAAAAUUAUUUGCUCAUGUUGGAUGGUAUCAAAGCAAAACUUAUCUUUUUCUUUUUCUUUUUCUUUUUGUGCAUAGAUAGACCUAUGUAUUAGCUAGCUAGAGACAUUGAUUAAUACAAAAGUGCUUUUGCCAUAGUAAGUAACCACAAAUAUUUCAGGGGAUUCACGGGAAGUUUAAAUAUUUGGAGAGCUUCCCAAAUAGAAAAUACAUUGAAAAGAAAAAUAUUAUUUCUGAAUAGAAAAAGAAGGCACUCAAACAAACAAAGCCACCCUUUUUGGAGAAGUGUAAAAGCUAAUUAAAAAGGAAUUAAUCCAAAUGAAAAUGGCUGUUUAAAUUCUCUUCACUUCCGGAUUUGCAUGCGUGGCAGUAGGGAGAAAGAAUUCUAUAUGAAGCUCACUCCGAAACCAAUUAACAAUAUCUUUUAUAAUUUUGAAGUUAAUAAAAGAAUUUUAACCUAAGAUUAACAAUGUGGCACGUUAUAUAAUAAUUGACCCAUGUUACACAGAUAAUUUAAUUUUUAUUCCCCCUCCAGUAUAUGCCAAAAUAAGGUCAUACAGACCACAGAAACGAGAGGAUAAACGAACUGCCCACAUGAUUGGCCAAAAGGACCACAAACCCCACAAAACCCCAAUUUGUAAGAAAAGGGAUAACAUUAUUGUAUUUUUCUUACCCUCUCCACUUACAUCUUUGAGCAAUAAAAAUAUUGUUAGAUAUUCGGUACAACAAAUAAUAUGUUCAAAUUAUAUAUAUAUAUAUAUAUAUAUAUAUAUAUAUAUAUAUAUAUAUAUAAUUAAUAGAUAUAUCAAAUUCUUGAUGCUAUCGAGUUCUCGACGUUGAAUAAAAGAAUAUGCAAUUAGAAUGAUAGUAGUCUCCUAAAUUUAGUGAGUGAUUAGUUAAAUAGUAUAAUCUAACGGAUAGAAAUGAUCAAAGGAUAUAUCUAAUAACAGAAAAUUUGAUAGUAUAAAAAUUUAAUACGAUCGACAAUAUAAUACCGGACUCUCUCUCUCUCUCUCUCUCUCUCUCUCUCCUCUCUCUCUCUCUCUCUCUCUCUCUCUCUCUCUCCUCUCUUCAUAUAUAUAUAUAUAAUAUAUAAUAUAGAGCUAGGCUACUAUACUAUCGUAGCACGGAGCGCUCCGUGCUACCAAGUUUUUUCGAUGAUGUGGCUUCCAAAUCGACGAUCGGCUCCGUUAGAGUUGAUCUACACUAUUGAAAGUAUUUAGAAACUAAAUUUCAUAAUUUUUCGAUAUCAUUUACCUAUCAAACAAGUAGUCUAAAAUUGAACGGCUGAAAAUAAAAAUCUCAUAAAAAAUGAUGAUAAAAGAUUUAAAUUCUAGAUCAGAUAUACUGAUCUUACUCUAAAUAGUGAAAAGAAUUUUCUAUAAAAUUUUCAUCGCAUUUGAAUUGUUUUACACCGUUAAACUCACAAAUACACCACAAUCCGGCCAUUAAAAUUGUCAAUUUUGAGAUCUUUUGAUCACUAGUCAAAUGAUAUCGAAAAAAUUUGAAAUUUAGUUUCCAAAUACUUUCAAUAGUGUAGAUCAAGUCUAACGGAGCCGAUCGUCAAUUUGGAAGCCGCAUCAUCGAAAACAACUUGGUAGCACGGAGCGCUCCGUGCUACCGAUAGCAUAGUAGCCGGACUAUAUAUAUAUAUAUAUGAAUAUAUGAGUUGGGAUAUUAAAAGCAAUAAAAUAAGUUCUCUAUUGCAUUUUGUAUGACAAAAUGCAUGUAUACAAUUUCUAUGACAUCUCGCCGAGUACUUCCCAAAAUAAAAUUACACAUGUCUAGCUCUUAUAUGAUAUGUAUUUUCCAAAUAUAUAGGAUUAUACCUCUUAAGUACAUAGCAACAGAAGAGGCCGGCGGGAAGCUAGUUAUUGCACAAUACCUUGCCUCGAUAUCCUGUAAAAAAAAAAGACUCUAAAAUAAAAAUAACAAAUAAUAGACGUAUGAUCACGGAGAGGAGCGCCUUCCUACGGUGUCAAAUUGAAACAUCAACGGCAAAAAAUUGAAGGAGCUAAUGAACGAAAAAAUAGAUAAACAAUAAUCAAUAUGAUGCCACUAUUAAUUAUGUCGCUACAACAUAAUGUGUGAAAACUGAAAUAGACCUACUUGUUCAAGUGAGCAUCAAUUCUACCACAGUGUUACUAUUUGUUAAAUUAUCCAAUUUCACUGACCAACUAAUAGCCUAUUCCAACUUGUUAUGAUGUCAAUAAACACAUACGAACCCACUUCGGAGUUCAACAGCUGGCAGUUUGAUAAUCGCAUAACCACGUAGCUGCAUAUCCAAACUCCAAAGGGCCAAGGCUCGCCCGAAUCACUUAUAAUACUUACUGAUUAUUAUUACCUACUAUUUGUUCUUAUGAAGUAUAUUCAACAAAUCACGUUUUAUAUAAAUACUUGUUAUGAUGUAUAGAUAUUUCACACACAAAAGAAAAAAAAUACAAAACAAGAGAGAAAAUAUAAAACUAAAUAAUCUAAAAUAUUUUGGUGAAAACAAACUAAAACAUCUUUUAUUAAAGAAACUAAGUAGCACAACCUGUGCUCUAUGCAGCACUAAAAACUGCAGGCACAAUAGGCUUCAUGUAUCUACAGUGUCCUAGCCAUUUCAUUUAUAGCGUGCAAAGUAGAAUUUUACCCAAAUAAUUUAACCGUUUUAAAGAUAAAAUUUAUCUAACUUACAUUAAGAUAAAAUAUUACUCUAAUUCUUAUUUAACUCAAUUACAAAAAAAAAUAAACUUUAAUUAAUUAGACUCUGAGUUAAAAUGAGUAGUAUCUCUUUAUAUAUAUAUAUAUAUAUAUAUAUAUAUAUAUAUAUAUAUAUAUAGAAUUAGACUGGAAUACUAUUAAUAGUAAAAUUUUCUUUUUGCUAUCAAGUUUUUAACCCUUGGAUGAAAAAUUGUAGGGUUGGGAUGAUAUUAGUCAGUUAGAGUUGAGUGGUCUCCCUAGGGUUGAGUGGUCCCCACUGGGUUACAGUAUUUAAUCCAAUGGUUAGAAAUGAUGAAAAGAGUUGAUCUAAAGGUUAAAAAACUGGUAGCAACAAUAGGAUUUUGCAAAUAAUAGUAGCCCAGUCCAACUCUAUAUAUAUAUAUAUAUAUAUAUAUAGAAUUAGGUUGGAAUACUAUUAAUAGUAAAACGCUCUUUUUGCUAUCAAGUUUUUAACCCUUGGAUGAAAAAUUGUAGGGUCAGGAUGAUAUUAGUCGGUUAGAGUUGAGUGGUCCUCCUAGGGUUGAGUGGUCCUCACUGGGUUAUAGUAUUUAAUCUAAUGGUUAGAAAUAAUGAAAAGAGUUGAUCCAAAGGCUAAAAAACUGGUAGCAAUAAUGGAAUUUUGCUACUAAUAGUAGCCCAGUCCAACUCUAUAUAUAUAUAUGUGUGUGUGUAUUUUUGUCUCAUAAAAUAUUAUCGAUCUGUACGAAAUAAAAUAUAAAAUAAUGGCAACAACUUACAUUUCAGAUCUCAUUUAUAUAUAUAUAUUCACCAAUCAC